AAAAUGUACUUGAAGGCAUUCCAUUGCUAGAGAAUAGGGCAGAACUAUCAUUGUAGGUUCUACCUUGCAGGAAAAAUGCAGGUUGUUGUGGAGUUGGUAACUCAAUUGAAUGACUGCUAAGAUAAGAAGCAAUUGUCAAGAUUGAAGGUCUAGCCUCUGGAUCAUUUUGAACACAUAAUAGACCAAUCUGAAUGCACUUAAUGACUUCAGUUUUAGAAAAAUCUCCUUUAAUAUUUGGGUCCAAUAUAUUUAAAGGUGUUUUAUCCAUCCACUGUCUCCACACCUGAAAAUAUAUAACAUUUGGUCUAAGCUAUGAGAUUAUUAGGCAAAACCAGCUUUAAAUCUAAAAUUGGAUCGAAAAGUAUGUAAAGUUUGAUCAAAAAUUAUUUCAACUAAGAAGUAAUGAAAAGAUACUAUUGCUAUAUAAUUACACUCACAGAAUUCAAGAGGCUAUUAGCAACAUGUUGUGGUUCAUAUGAACUUAUAUUCUUCUUUCCAGCUACNUCUACCUUGCAGGAAAAAUGCAGGUUGUUGUGGAGUUGGUAACUCAAUUGAAUGACUGCUAAGAUAAGAAGCAAUUGUCAAGAUUGAAGGUCUAGCCUCUGGAUCAUUUUGAACACAUAAUAGACCAAUCUGAAUGCACUUAAUGACUUCAGUUUUAGAAAAAUCUCCUUUAAUAUUUGGGUCCAAUAUAUUUAAAGGUGUUUUAUCCAUCCACUGUCUCCACACCUGAAAAUAUAUAACAUUUGGUCUAAGCUAUGAGAUUAUUAGGCAAAACCAGCUUUAAAUCUAAAAUUGGAUCGAAAAGUAUGUAAAGUUUGAUCAAAAAUUAUUUCAACUAAGAAGUAAUGAAAAGAUACUAUUGCUAUAUAAUUACACUCACAGAAUUCAAGAGGCUAUUAGCAACAUGUUGUGGUUCAUAUGAACUUAUAUUCUUCUUUCCAGCUACAAUCUCUAGGAUCAUGACUCCAAAACUAUAAACAUCUGAUUUUUCAGAAAAUUGUCAAAACAUUGCAUAUUCUGGAGACAUAUAACCACUGUACAAAAAAAUGAAAUUUGACGUUAAUUUAACUUGAAUUUACCGUAAUCAAUAAGAACCUGAAAAAGAUAAUAGAGUAGUGAACAUUUGAAACUUACUAUGUUCCAACAAUUCUAUUUGUACUUCCUUCCUCUUGACUUAUUUCGACCAUCCGUGCCAAACCAAAAUCUGAAAUUUUAGGAAUCAUAUUUUCAUCUAAUAGAAUAUUACUAGGUUUGAGAUCGCGAUGUAUAACUUUGAGUCGAGAAUGCUCAUGCAAAUAAAGAAUUCCUCGAGCAAUUCCUCCAAUGAUGUUAAAGCGUUCAACCCAAGUUAACAACUUUUGCUGAUGAGAAUCUACAAAAUUGUUCAUAAAAUAAAAUCAAGUCCAUAUAUAGAAAAACUAUAUAUGUAAUGUAUGAAUCUUAAUAUUGACAAAUGAAAGAGUUUUAGGUGAAAAGUGUCAUACCAAAUAAAAAGUAAUCAAGACUCUUGUUGGAAACAUAUUCAUAAAUAAGUAUCUUCUCAUGUCCUUCAAGACAAAAGCCAAUAAAAGUCACUAGAUUUCUAUGUUGAAGCUUGGCUAUCAAUAAAAUUUCAUUCUUGAACUCCUCUACACCUUGCUUAGAACUUCUUGAAAGCCUCUUUAUAGCUACUUCUCGUCCAUCAGAAAGGAUAGCCUAAUUAUAUGUUAAAAAAGAGUUGUGUUAUUUGAAGAUCCAUUUAUUUGAUAAUUUGAGACAACAAAAAAUUUACGAAUAAAAUGAGGUAUUGGCACAAAAACUAAAACAAUAGUGAGAAAAGGUAAAACAUAAUGUGAGUAUAAAAGAGAAAGUUAUCAUAAAAAUUAUUAAAAAAUGGUUUUGUCCAAAUAUCAUUUCUCAUUAAAAGAAAUAAGAAUUCCUUUACUUUUGAACAAAAUUUUCAAUUACCAUAGAGUAAAGAUAAGAGUAAUUUACUAGAAAAAUGCAUGAACAAUACUAAAAACAAUUUUGGACUUUCUAAAAAAAUGUUUAAUCUACUUUUAAUAUUUAUUUGAGUGAAACAUUAAUUUAGUCACUGUCUUUAUAAGUGAUUUUCAAAAUAGUCACUGACUCUAUUAAUAUUUUAAAAUAAACUCUGUCUUUAUCAAAAGUUUCUCAAUUAAGUCCAUGUUGCUAAGUUUUAUUCACAUGACAAGAAACUUAAUUGAGAGACUUUUGACAAAAAUAAAAGCUAUUUUAAAAUAUUAAUUGAGUCAGAGACUAAUUUGAGAUUCACUUACAAAGAUAAUGACCAAUUUUAUAGUUUACUCCUUUAUUUUUUUAAAACUUUCUUAAUGUCUUGCUUAUCUUAUUGGUGUGGAAAUAUAAAAACAAGAAAUAUCAUAUAAGUAAACAGACACUAAGCCUUCUCUUAUGUUCUCACCUUGAAAACCUCUCCAAACCCUCCUUUGCCAAUGUAAUUGUCCUUAGAAAAGUUGUUUGUUGCUGCUUCAAUUACCAUCCAAUCGAAUUGCAGUGGCUCUAAAGUGGCACUUUCUUCACCAACUAGAUAAAAUUUAUUUGAUGUUGGUAUUAAACUUGUUAAAGUUUAUAAGAAAUUGCUUUUUUAUUCUUCCAUAAAUAAUACUUACAAUUUUCUCGAAGAAUGGUCCUACGACUCUUUCUUCUCCUUCUCUUUAUCAAAUAGUAGCCAAUAGUGAAGAGCAUCACCAAAAUAAUAGUAGGGACAACAAUGGAUAUAAUUGUCCUUUUCUCUGCACAAAAGCAUAAAUAUUUAUAGGGAUUUGUAGCACCAACUCGUUUUUAUUAAGGUGUGUUUUAGCAAAGAUAUAACUAAAAUGUUGUUAAAUACACCUUAAGAUGAAUGUUGUUAAAAUAUAAUUUCUAAAAAAUAAGUGGGUGUAUGUUACCAACUCUUAUAAACAUUUGCUAGAAUACAUCUACUUAUUUUUUAUAAGGUGUAUUUUAACAAGUUAUAACUAAAAAGUAGUUAAAUACACCUUAAGAUGUAGCUUGCUAAAACACUUCCACAUAUAACUUUAAUAAAUGCGUUCCAGCAAAUCUCAUAUUUAUAAAUGUCAUAGUUUACAUGUAGAACUAAGCAAUAAGUUUCUUAUAAUAAAAAAUCAGUAUAUUGUACCCCAUCCAUUUAUAGAAUUGUUUACCCUUUAAAAAGAAAGUCAAGACAACAUUCAAUUUAUGUACUUGUAUGCAGUUGCUUUCAAAGAAAAAGAAUAUACUUUCAUAACAAGGAAAAUUUUAUCGUACAUCUAAUAUAUUUGAGUGUAUCGAUACAUCAAACUUAAAAAUUUAUAGUUAAAUAAGUUGUGUUUUGAAGAAAACUAUUAUUUUUUAUCAUUUAUAAUUAUAAUGAUUAAAUUUUAUUCACAAAAAACAUUAACGAAAUAAAAUUGAAUUUUCAUCGCUCAUAAUAGAGAACUUUGAUUAUUUUAUAUGAUAAUAUGUUAAAAAUUUACUAUGAUUUUUAUAAACAAUGAAUGAUAUAUUUUUCUUAUGAAAUGAUAUUUUGUAAAAUAUAAAUGCCGACAAAUAACUAUUUAUUUCAUAAAAUUGAUCGUUAAUUUAUAGAUUUAGGAAGUAAGAGUACCGGUACACCAGAAUUUAUGAGUGUACCGUAGAAGUUCCCUUAAAACAAUUGGUCAAGCUUCAUUAUUUUUUUCCAUUUACAAGUAAAGCUUCGUAUCCAAAGGGAAAUGCUAACUUGUAUCUUUAAGAUACAAGUUACCAUUUUUAGAAACUUUUAUUUAUUGGAAUUCAUGCAUUAAACUUAAUUUUUUAACUUUUAAUUAAUUGAAUGCACAAAUCUUAAAGAAAUAUUUUUAUUUUUUGAUUGCUUAAUAUGUGCCUUUAGGGCACAAGUUAGCAUGACCGACCAAUAUAAACCGAGUUGGCUUGACCCUUGACCUUUGAGUUUGCUCUCAAAUUAGAUUCUCUGGGGCCAAUUUCAUUAUUUCUUCUUCAAAAAAGAUUGAGCUGAUUUAUGAACUUACAACUGUAAAGUGGAUAACUCACUUUAGUUAAAGCAUAAAGUAAGAAAUAGCAAGUUCAAAGAAAAAUAAUGAUCUGUAUUUUAGCACGUUCAUAUUCAGGAUUGAAAUAUCAAUAUAUGAUUUUCUCACUUUAGAUGAAUCUAAUCAUACUUGAAUAAAGAGUUCACCUGUAUGUCUUGCAAAUGUUGUAGGACUUCCAGGCGGUAGAGCUUCGUCGCCGUCCAUAUAAAAUUUGAACAAUUCAAACCUCAGAUUGCAGCUAGGAUAUAUGAUUCUUCCUCCAACACUUCCCAAAAAUGACCAUGGAAUUUCUCUACUGAUCAUAUCAUUUAGACAUGAAUUGCAAUCCUGACUAGACAAAUCUUUUGUACAUUGUUCAAGAGUAUACAAAGUUUGUUUAUCAUUCAAAAUUAAUGAAUUUUUCGCAUAUUUUUCCUCGUUGUUCCCCGUAACAUUGACAAGUUCAGAUAAUUGAUUUGAUAAUGCAUUUGUGAACAAGUUUUGGUCCGGGAUGGAACCAUUUGUAAUAUUUAUAUCGCGGAACAUAGGCCCUGUUUCAAUGCUGUGAAUGAAAUACCUAUUCGAAUAGCGAAGCAGGCAAUGGCUGUACCAAAUUAUACCCUCUGGGAAGGAAUGACACUUUGAGUAUAGUUGUUCCGUUGCAUUUUUGACGCAUUGAACACAAAGGCGAGGCGGAAGAUCACCUCGACACAUGAAGAGACCAUACGCAAUUUCUUCCACUUUAAGCCAAUAAAAUUUUUUGCCGAUGGUGGCGUUCGACAACAAAUAAGACAGAAGUAGUUUGAUGUUUUUGUCAGUGAUUGUAUUGUAAUUUCUUGAGCAAUUAUAGGAAAGAUAAAAUGGAUCUUCUGAAAGUAUUUUAGAAUCUUGUAUGGAAUCAUUUGUUUGAGGAGCAAGCUCAUUUGGGGAAAGAACAUAAGUAGACCUAUAAAAUGGAUAUAAUUCAUACCUAACAUUACAGCUAGGAUAAAGAAAUCUCCCACCAACCUUUCCAACACAGCUUUGUGAAAGUGUCUCAAUAGCACUAGUGAGACAGGUUCUGCAAUCAUUAGGCGACAAAUCCAGCGUGCACUGAGCUAGACUGUAAAGGGUCUGAUUUUCCGAAACUCGUGCUUCUUUUGUUGCAAACUUGUUCUUGUCACCACUAAGCGGACUUGCUGCUUCGUCUGCAGUUCGAUUCAUGGUUGAAAACAAUAAAGACACGAAGCUUUUCGUGUUUAAGAUUUCAGCGGUAUUGCACCAGUGAAAACCUGGCAUCAUAUCGAUCGUGGAAAAGAAAGAGUUGUCAGAGAAUCGAACCAUGCACUCGCCGUACCAAAUCACAGCUUGUUUGGACAAAGAGCACUCUGAGGAUAGCUGAUUGGUUGCCUUAACUAUGCAGUCAUGACAUAGAUGAGAGGGUAUGUCACCUCUACACAUGAACAAUCCAUAGACGGAUACGGACGAAUUUAUACUAGUGACUGUGGUGUUGUAGAAUUUGGUGUUGCCUAUGGCUUUUGAUGACAAUGAAUUGAAGAGGUUUAUGAGAUUGCUUUGGAAGGUGCUGCUUGGUUUGGUAACGUUGAUGGGACAAAUUGUAUUCAGAAAUAAUGGAGAGUCUUGUGCCAUUGUUGCAGAAGAGAGGAAUCUAACAAGGAUAAGGAUAGAUAAAAGGUGAAUUGUAGAGUAAGCCAUGGAAUUUCUUUUUUAAUGAAUCUCCAUUGUUUGAUUUGCAAUGAUAUGUAAACAGUCAUAGACACAAUUUUAUAAAGCUUUUUAUAAAGGUGAACACUAUAGCUGGUGUUUUGGUGGGAACCUUCCUUUUUGGUUGGGACCUAGGCAUUAUCAUUUUUCUAAAAUUGGUUUAAAGUUUUCAUGCUUUGGUCAGAGCAUACUUUUUUGAAAAGAAAAAAAAAUUAAGGUUUUUCUAGAAAUGUAUUUAGCUAAAUAUGUAAUAAAAAAAUCUUGCAUGUCUAUUACUCCAAUCUACUUAAACUUGCAAUUUUUUUGUUAGUAAUUUAAGUUCAUUAACCUCGUUAAUUAGUUGCAUAUUAUGUAACCAAAAAAUUAGUUUCAUAUUUAAAUUUAUUAUUAUAAACUAUCAAUGAAAUAUGACAUCAACGUGGUGGAGGGAGAUUGCUAAAAUCCGUGAUAGGGUGGGUGGUGUUGGAGGUAAUUGGUUUGAGGUGAGUGUCUCGAAAAAGGUUGGAAACGGGUUGCAUUCUUAUUUUUGGUAUGACCCGUGGUUAGGAGGGACUCCUUUGUGUGUGUGGUUUAGGCAUUUAUUUGACUUGGCUAAGAAUAAGUUGAAUACGGUGGCUGAUAUGUUUUCCUGGGUUAGCGUGUGGGGGUGAGGCGUGGAAGUGGCGUAGGAGGUUGUGGGAGGAUGAGUUGUUAGUGGAGUGCAGGACGUUACUUCAUGACAUUGUUUCGCAGACUCAUUUAUCAGAUCAAAGGGAAUGGCAGCCCGAAUUUGUUCGAGGUUAUUCAGUUCGCGGAUUUUAUCAGCUAUUAAACUUCUAAGGAUUUGAUAUCUUUGGACAUGGCGGUGGAUCUAGUUUGGCACAUAUAGGUUCCUUUGAAGGUCUCCAUUUUUCCACGGCGACUACUUCAUGACAGAUUACCUUCAAAAUCCAACUUGGGAGCUUGCGACAUUAUCCCUUUAGAUGCUCAGUAUUGUGUGACUGGGUGUGGAGGUGUUGAAUCAACUCAUCAUUAAUUUAUAUCUUGCAGAUCAUUCGGCUCUCUUUGGCCCUUAGUUUGGUCGUGGAUUGGGUUUUUGGCAGCAGAUCCAUAGUCUCUUUUGGAUCACUUUAUUCAAUUUGUGUAUGCAACACAUGGUUUAAAAGUGCGGCCCUCAUUUUUAUAGCUCAUAUGGCUUCUUUGUGUUUGAGUGUUGUGGAAAGAACGAAACAAUACAUAGAACCUUCAAUUAUUCCGAGAGUUCUAUUCCACAGCUAUGAGAGAAAAUAAAACAUUAUUCUUAUUGGUGGAUGAAGGGAAUGAAUGUGAAUUUUGUCUUUGGCUAUCAUUGUUAGCAUUCGAACCCUUUUACUUGUUUAGGCAUAAGAUGAAUGUCUUUUUUGGCUUCUUUUUGUGAUUGACUUUGUUGUAAACUUUAGUGGUAUUUUUUGGUACUCCUUAUCCUACAAAGAUCACAUUGUUCAUGUUAAUACAUUCUAUUUUUGCUUGUUCAAAAAAAGAAAUAUGACAUUAUACAUUUGAGUGGCAUCGGCUCAAGGGUAAGAGUUUUCCUUUCCAACUUCAAAGUACAAAGUUCAUAUGACAUUGUAUAUAUUUAGAAUUUCUAAAAUGUCAUAUUAAAUAUUAAAAUGAAUUUUAAUCUCAUAGGUUUAUUAGUUUAUUAGUCAAUUCAAAUAUAUGUCAUAUUGCUUACUUAAAUACGUUCAAAUGAAAUGCUUUUUAAUAAGCUAACAUCCCAUACAAAACUUUUUCCUUUUAAAAAGGUUAGACUUAAACUGAAAAAUAAGUCUUUAUCAAGUCACCGACUAUGCCUAAACUUAAUUUUUAUCUUUUACCAAAUUAAACUCGAACCUUAUAAAGUUUAACUCCAUCAAACCUAUUCGCAGUGGUACCCAACAAACCUACAUGGUAUCAAUGAAUUUUUCUUAUAUAAGUUAAAUCUUUGACUUUUUUUUUCUUUCCAUCCUAUUGAUUUCUUGCGCGUCCUAUGUAGUUCGGAUUGUAUAAUCCAAACGGCAUAAAUAUCUUAUAAAAACUUAAAAAAUAUGUUAAAAUAUUUCGGAUUUUAAAAUGCGAAUAGAACGUGCGAGAAACUGAUAAGUGAAAAAAGUAAUAGCCAAAAUCUUUUCAUAAAGGAUUUUUCUACGGUGCCUCCUUUUUCAUAAAAGUAAUACCAUUUUAAGUAUUUUCCAUCAUUCAUAGAAGUAUUUUACGAAUUUUUUUUAAUGAUAUUUAGAUUUUCAUUAAUAUUUUAAAAAAAUUAGUAUACGGUUCAAGGACCGACGAAUCAGGAGGAAGGAUUUUCAAACUAAGACUGAAUGGAUAUUUUGGAUUUGAAGUCUCCAUUGCGUCGAAUUUUCUCUCUUCCUUUGAUUCUGUGUAUCUGUUUGGAUCUUUUCGUUUUAUGAGCAUCUUUUUGAAUAAAGUUUUUCCAAGGUUGUGGACCAUAUGCAAUGUGGAAUGCUUCUUUAUGUCAAUCAUCUUUCAAUAUUGACCUUAUCUUCAAGUGUGUAUCACAUGUGGUUUGAUAAACACAUGGAACGUUGAAUUAUACUUUACAUUAUCAAGUUUUACUCCCUCCAUAUUUUCGUUUGAAGUUUGAUUUUAUAUUCCUAUUGGUUUUUUUAUUUUUAUUUUGAAUGUUAUUUAUUUGUCUAUUUUAAAGUAUUAUAUGAUAUAAUUUGUUCAUAAUUAUAUGAUGAAAGUUUUUUGAAAGAAAAGAUGCUUAUAGAAUUUCAUUAAUAAUAUUACUAGAAUAAGCUACCGUGAGAUUGAUUCUAUAACAAAAAAAAUAGUAUAUGUGGCAGAGUUAGAUACAAGAAAAACGUAGUUUACCUCACUCAAAUAUCCUCCAUUUUGCACACUUGCAUCGCAAAAGGACACUAAAUAAUAAUAAGAGCAAGACACACAUGUGUUGGCAAACAACCCAUAUACAUUAUCCAAAUAAGGUUCUUCACCAUGGGAGGAAAUUUUAAACGACAGAUGCUGGACCAAAACCCCAGGCGCCUCAAAUGAGUCGUAUCAACCAAAUUGUCAACACAUGACUUGUACGCACUUCAGACAAAUACAAACCAUUUUUCUCAGCUUUCCAAACCAACUGGUCAUUAGGAACAUGAUUAAACAGUGCAUGUUUAGAAUAGAAGUCGCUAUGUCCUGACUGAAAACCUACUUUACUAAAUCACCAUUCAAACUUUUGGAAUUAGUAGUCCAUUAAACUAUCCACCAUAAAGUCACGAACAAAGUGAGCCCUUGUGAUAUUAGCAUCAAUACAACCAUCAUUCAAAAAUCGAGGUUCAUCAAGAAUGGAACUAGAGGUACCUGAGUCUAUACUCCAACGUGAUCCACCACGAACAAUAAAUCCAGCGUGCAAAAUACUACGCCAAACAUAGUUAGGAUUAUGGCCCAAUGUGGUAGUGAGAUAGCUUUUUGUAGGAAAGUACCUGCUUUAAAAAUACAGGAAACAAGAGAUUGCUGGUAUGAGAGAAAUUUCUAACCUAGCUUACCUAACAUGUCAGUUUUAGAAGUUGAGAGGUCUUUAAACCCCAUGCCACCAUAGUUUUUAUGCAUUGAUAGCUUCUCCCAUGACAUCCAAUUGAUACCACGACUAUUGGUGCCACAAUGCCCACACCAAUAAGAAUUGAUCAUUUUCUUUGUAGAUGUAACAAGGGUUGUUGGUAAUUAAAAGAUGAUCAUGACGUAUGUUAGAAUAGCUUGAAGAAUUGAUUUAAUUAUUACUUCCCUCCUCGUCUUAGAAAGGCACUUACUACUCCAAGAGUUAAUCUUAUCCCAGACUUGAUCAUUGAUAUAGGAGAAAGUAGCAUUCCUAUCCUGCCCUAUCAUAGAUGGCAGACCCGAAUAUUUUCUUGUGCCAAGGACAAACUGGACUCCCAAAAUGUUAGUAAUGGUCAACGUCAUGGAAUCCGACACAUUCCAACUACAAUAAAUUUCUGAUUUGGAUAAGCUAAUGGCUUUCCCCGAGGCUGUCUUAUAGGUAGUAAGAAUAUCUUUCAUUAUUUGAGCUUGGUUCACAUAAGCUUUGAAGAAUAGGAAUCAAUCAUCGACAAAGAGAAUACGAGACACUGGAGGUGCAUCUCUACAAACUUGAGUACCAUUAAUAACACCAUGAUCUUCAGCAUCUCGAAUGAGAGAGGACAACCCCUCCGCACAAAUAAUGAAAAAAUACGGGGAUAAAGGGUCUACUUGACGCAAACCUCUUCCAGGAAUAACUGGCCCCACUAAUUCAUAGUUGACCAACGCAGAGUAAUCAACCGACUUAACACACAUACUCAUUCAAUGUAUCCAUCUAUCAUUAUAACCCCUUUUCAGCAUCACCUGCUUCAAAAAUUCCCAGUCGAUACGAUCAUAUGCUAUACCUAUAUCUAGUUUCAAUGCCACACACCCCUCACAACAACAAGUCUUUGUUUUCAUGUGAUGGAUGACUUCUAUUGUAACCAUGACAUUAUCAAGAAUUGACCUCCUAGGUACAAAGGCUGACUGAUUAUCAGAGAUACACUGUGGGUGAAUAAGCUUCAAUCUAUUUGCGAGAACCUUAGAGAUCCAUUUGUAGAGAACAUUACAUAGGGCUAUUGACCGUCAAUCUUUCAUUGUAGUAUGAGAAUUACCUUUUGGGAUGAGAGCAAUGUUUGUCAGAUUAAGAGAAGCUGGAAGUUGACAUGUAUCGAACCAUGCACAACAUUGUUGAAAUAUCUCGUCACUACACAAAUUAUAGAGUUGCUAAUAAAAACCAGGAUCAUAAACCAAAACAUUCUCAAGCAAGAAAGAAAAAAACAAAACAAGAACAACAAAAACAAACCAAAGAAAAAGAGCAAAACAAGAAACGAACCAACCACAAAUCAAUCUGGUAACCUACCCUUAGAGCAGGUAUUAUGAACCUGAAAACCCUUAUGUAUUUUCUUUUUCUUAUUCUUAAAGUUUAGGGUUUAUGGUUUAGUCUGAGAUACCACCUCAGUAAAUGGCUCAUCGAUAGCAACAAAAUGGUUCUUCAAAUAAAUGAUAGUUGUUGCUAUCUCUUCCUCAAGAAAACCAAAAAUAUCAAUCAAAAUCAAUUUUAUAUUUAUAAAUUCACUUUUACCUCUCACAAAAUUAAACACUGUACACAUAGUACUCGGAUAAAACAUAUCAACCAAAAUCUGAAUUCAGCAUGUUUGGUACUAACCGUACUGAUGCCAAUAAUUAUAAAAUUGAAAUCCUAUCAAGACUGAAUAUUAAAAGAGAAAGGAACAUUGCAAGCAAGGAGAGUAAGCAUAAGUCCUUCACAUCAUCACAAUAGAAGAAACCAUUUAUACUAUGUCUUCUAAAGCAAUCUGUCAUCAAGCUACUGUUUUGCCUUGUUUUCAUCGUGCAAUCUGUUCCCAGAUUUAAAAGAAUGGUUCCUCUUAAAAAAAAUCUAUCAUUUUUUUUUUGUUAGCUUUCUUCAUUGAAGAAAGUGUAGAGACUUUGAUUUUAUAUUUUGUAACCAAAUAUAUCCUCCGCGUGCAACUAUGGAGACCAGGAUAUUUAUCCCCUCUAGAUAACAGAGAUCUAUUUAAGGGGUUAAUCUCUUUCCUUACGUCCUUGCCAUAGAUAGAACCCUGGACCAAAUGGUUGAUAGGUCCAAGUAUCUAUCACUUGUGCCAAACUCUAUUGGCUAAGUUGUGUUAAAUUUAAACGUGCAGAGAAGUUCUUAGGUGGACACUAACAUAACAUUAAAAUUAAAUCAAAAUCAAAAGAAACAAAUUGUUUCUUUCUUAUUUUGAUAAUAUAUGGGAUAAUUGUAUAAAACAGUCUUGCAUGCAUGAAGGAGGAUGCCAAUUUAUGUCCUGCUCAUGAGUCACAACUCCUACCGCUGCAGUGUCUAGCUAGCACACUGCUAUCAGGAACCUGAUCAUCAGAAUAUUUGGAUCUUAGAAUCAUAGUGAAAGCUGCAAGAAUGUAAUGUGAUUAUGAAUGUAUAGUGGUUUAACUAAUAAGGUGACUAAAGAAGUUUAUUUAAGCUUUAAAAUGAUAUAAAACUCUGCAAACUUACGUAGAGAAAAGGACAUGUAGAUAUGUUAGAUUUCAACAAAUAAUCUAUCUUGUUUUUCUUAGCUUUAUUAACUGAAUAAAAUGUUGAGACUUUGAGUUGUAUUAAAACAUAGAAAUGGCAAGGGACGAAGUAAAUAGAGUCCACUGAAAUUAGAGGAAAAUAGAGUCCACUGAAAUUUGUGAUAAAAUAUUAUAAUAAAUAUUAAGAAAAUGGUGAAGGAAGAAUAUUUCAAAACCUCAUUCUUCCAUUUUAUGUCAUCUUAAACUUCAUCAUUGUCACCGGGGAGUGAAAGUAGAGACUCUGUAUACAACACCACACGCGAUGAUCUUAGAUUCUCACGGAAGUAGUGCUGCCCUAACAACUGUCCUUUAUCAUUGUACUUCACCAAUAAAUUAACAUAGUUUGUUCCAAUGAUAUCAUAAUUUUUUGUAGAGUAUACAGGGAAAAUGUCACAACGAGGAAGAACAAGUUUCUUAUUCCAAGAGGAACGCACUUUGUAUUCUUUCAUCACCCAUAUUUUUGAUGUAUGAUUUCCAUAAUCGACAUCCAAUAGACUAAGAAAAUCUCCAAAUACCCACAAAUGACGAUGUGAAAACUGAUAGUGAAAAUCAUGAUCUGGAAGAGGGAUCUCAAAAAGUUUCCUUUCUAUUAAAUCAAAGGCAACAAUAACAAACACAGAUAAAUCAUACCGAAAAGUCAACCAAUGAAUAGCCCUAUUAAAGAAAACCCCUUGUUUGGAAUGAUCAUUAUUGGGAUUCAUAUAAGGGAAAUGAGCACCCUCAAUUUGUUUCCAGGUAUUAUCUCUCAAAGAGAAAACCUCCAAAUGUGGUAAAACGACAUUAUUGGAUAUGAUUGGGUCAUAGCCCAUUAGAACCACCAAGUAAUCAUUUCUUGACUGGUCAUAACCAAAACCAUAUAGAUUAGUAUUUACACGAUGCCUUAUGAAUUUGGAAUCAAGAGGAGACAAAGGUAUUUGUUUUUGAAGUCCAGUAGACGGGUUCCAUAUGUAGAGUCUUGAAAAACAGUGGAAAAAUAUAAAUCCUCUACAUGAACCUUUAAUAUAAGCAUGAGGAUAGGGAAUAAAAAAAUUAUUAAGGUUCACUGAAGAAGCAGAAUCUUCUGCCGAUUCAAAAUCUAUCGAUCGAAAUUGAAGAGGUGAACACAAAAUGGACAGAAUUCUUAGAGUGUGUGUUGCGGCGGCAAGAUCAAAAUGUGAAUUCGCAAAGUUGGGAUGAGAGAUGAGAGAAAACCAAGACUUACAAACACACUUGAAACGUGAGAGAGACUUUACUGGUUACCUUAGCAGGAUUUCGAUUAUCAGUUCAUGAGGCAGAUACAUAUGCGUUGUCUUCUUCUUCAUGCUUCUUCUUCCCUCUGGUACACUUCGAGUAACCCUAAUUUUAUCACCGAUGAUUGAUGCUAAGUUAUUUCUUUUUUUUUUUAUUUUUUAUGAGAGAGUAAGGUAAAACUAAAUUUAUUCUAUUCUCGUCCUAAAAAAAAAAAGGCUAAACAUACUAGUAUAUCACUACUGAUCUGUAGAAUAAUCUACAAAGUCGGUUGGGCCGUUAAUGAGCUUUAGCUAAGGUCCUAUUUUUGUUGUUGCUAAAUAAAACCACAAAGCCAUUAUAAAAUAUUAAAUAUUUUUCUUUUAAAAAAAAAACAUUAAAUAUUAUAUGAUGCCAGCUGUAUCAACAUAAAUUUGUAACAUGUACUCCCUCCGAUUUCUAAAUAUAAACAAAAUUAAUUUUUUAGAUUCAUUCAUUUAAUGAUGCAUGUGAUCCAUAUUAUGAAUCACAUAUAUCAUUAAAUGAAUGAAGCUAAAAAGUCAAUUUUACUUGUAUUUAGAAACAUAGGUAGUAUAGUAUGUUGAAGGACCAUAUUAAUCAUUUUAAUUUGUAACAUGUAUAACUAAAUAUUUUUAUAUUUUCUGAAAAUUUCUUAGAAAAUCGGAAAAAAAAUAAAGGAUAAAGGGGCCGUUUGUUACAGAUUAAAAUAUAAGUUAUUUUGACAUAAAAUAAUUUAGAGAUUAUAGUUUAGAGAUUUUAUGAAAAAUCAAGAUCUAUUUUGUGUUUGUUUACCGUAAUAAAAAUCACUUUUUUUAAACAAAUAAUGUAGUUUGUUUGGAUACAACUAUAUAAAAGGAAUUUUUUGUUACAAAAUUAGUUCAAUCUUUUAAAAAAUAUUUUCUCUCUCCUCUAAAAAAACAUCUUUUUUUUGAGAAGCUGCUCUUAACAGCUUUUUAUUUGAAGUUAUUUUAGAUUUUUUUAGUAAAAAGUUGUAACAAACGGAUGCAAAACUCAAAACAGUGUUUAUUUUUUUUAAAAUAAAUAAUUUAAGAGAGACUUUACUGGUAACGUAAGCAGGAUUUCGAUUAUCGGUUCGUGAGGCAAAUACAAAUGCGUUGUCUUCAUCAUGCUCCUUCUUCUCUGGUACCCUUCAAGUAACCCUAAUUUUAUCACGAAUGAUCGAUGCCAAGUUAUUACUUAUGAGAGAGUACCGUAAAACUAAAUUUAUUCUAUUCUCGUCCUUAAAAAAAGGUGAAACAUAGCGUCGUAAAAAAAAAGGCUAAAUAUAUUUGGGUAAGGACCAUAUUAAUCAUUUUAAAUUGUAUGUAUACUUAACAUUAUAAUAUUUUCCGAAAACAUUCUCAGAAAAUCGGAGAAAAAUAAUCAAGGAUCAAGACUCCCUUAGAAUGAACUUUUUAUAAGACUCCAUCCGUCAAAAUUCAAAAUUCUAUCCUUUAGACUCAUUUUUUAUUUUUAACUUUUUGCAGCUGUUGAAAUAUGAGAAAAUUCUUAAUGCUGCUUUUGUAUAAACUUAUUCCCGAUUAUAUAAUCCAAACAUAUUCAAAUUGUGUUCGGAUUAUAUAAUCAGAAACCUCAUGAGUGUUUUUGUAAGAAAAAAGGGAGUGUGAGAAGGUAAUAGGGUGGAAAAAGUAAUAGAUCUAUUGGUUAUAAUAUGUGCUCUAACAUGGUAGACGGACUUGAAAAAAUACGUUAAAUGGGCUUAACAGUGAAAUCUUGUUUUCCUUUCUAGCUUAUACAUACCUCACAGCUAGUAUUGGGCAUAAUCCGAUUUAUGUUUGAAGGAGCAUUCUUCGUGCUAGAUUUAUUGUACGCGGGGGUGUAAGGUGGAGUAUUGGGACAGGUGAAGCUAUUACUCUCCUUGAUGAGUCAUGUUUAUUGAAUGGUGGGUUUAUUAAAGGUAAUAUCGAAGGAGCACAUUUUGUACAAAAUUUUGUUGUCAAUAGAUUUCUAAAGAAUACUGCUAAGAGAUGGAAUGAACCCCUUAUUCGGCAAGUCUUCAGUCACGAUAUUUCUUCUGCCAUCAUAACAACAUCUUUGAUUGCACAGGUUCAGCAUGAUAGGCUAGUUUUGAAAGCAGAAAAGAAUGGGGUUUACUUUAUGCGCAGCGCGAAUAAACUUUGUGUCGAAGAGUUAAUUGAUACCUCUCUCAUUUAAGGAGUCCGGGGUAUUGGUAGGGGAUUUGGCGAAAAUACUUUUUUUUUUUUUUGAAAACUCGGUAUCCGAUCCAAGAAUCGACUAAUCCGAGGGACCAAUCCCACCGCCCACUUGCGGGGGCCCCGUUUAAAGCCAGAGCAAGCUCUGUAUGGACUUAGCCCACUGAAAUUGGCACCAUCGGGAAUCGAACCUCAGACCUCUGGAGGAGCAAACUUCAAGAUCCCAAGCCAACCACUAGGCCAACCCCAAAUGGGAAAAGGGAGUUGGUUGUUUCCGACCAUGGGAAAGAUUUUUUUGACCAUUAGAUCAAAUAAGGAACACAUUUUAAUCCUACUCUCUAAAACACUAGAUUUUUUCACACUUUCUUCUACCAUUACUCUCUCUCCUCCAUGGUCACUCACCCACCACCUCCACCAGAGCAUAACUCCAUUGUUUCUGUCCAAUCUCUCAUCAACAAUCUUCAAUUCUUCUUGAAUUGCAAGAGGGUUAAAUCAUAAAUAGUAAUUAAAUUUAUUUAUUCUCCAAAUCUAAUGAAUUUUCAAUUCAAUGAUACACUGUAAGUCUACAACAACACAAUCAAAAGUUAAUUCAAAGAGAAAAAAAUAAAAUAAUGGAUUGCAGUAUUUCAUUUUGCAUUAAGAACCCACAUAACUUUGAAAUCAGUAGUUGAUUCAUGAACUAAAAAAAUAUUGCAAGAAAAUUGGCUUGCAAUAUUAUGAAUCAUGAUGUGUUGAUCAUGAAUUCUGUCAUUCGAUGCAUCUAAUGGAUUUGUUAUUUUUUGUUUUGUUUUAACAUAGGCCUCUAGAAGGAUGAACAAUGAAACUAAUUGAGUGUUGAAACCAUGUAGUUAAAUUUGGAAAGGAUUGUAAAGCAUAAAAUGUUAUAUUCAAUGUCUUAGAGAAAUCAUUUGAUGUUGUUGUUGUUGAUGAUGAAGAUUGUUUGAUUGUGUGUAAAAUUCCAUAUCUAUGAGGAUGAAUAAAAUAUAGGUAGACCAUGAUAAGAUCAAUACACCUCUUUAAUCUAAUGGUAGAAAUUCAAAUUUCCCAUGAUGGGAAAAAACUUCUUUCUCCUAGGCUAAAUGCCAUGUCGAGGAAUUUUGCCAACUCGAGAAUGGCUACUAGACAUAGGAGUGCAAUGCCCAUCUAAUUGUGUAAGUUGUGAGUUAGCCAAUGAAGAUUUGGCGCAUAUAAUGUUUGAAUGUCCCUUCGUUGUACAACUCUUGCAUAUUACAGUCUACGACACGAUCUACAACAUGCAAUCAGCAAGGAGAUCGUGGUUGUUGAUGCAAUUUUCAACCUUCUGCGCACCUUACUGCUGAACAUAGUCAAAGAUUCGCAGCCAUCCUUUGGAGCUUAUGGAAACAUAGGAAUUUAAAGGUGUGGGAGGAUAAGAAUGAGCCUUGUGCUAUGAUUGUUGACAGAGCAUGUAACAACCCAUUUUUCCGUAAGAUAAUUUUUUAAAUUAUUAUAUGUGUUUAAUUUCUUGUUUAUGUGUUUGAUGUGGGAUUAGCGGAUUUUUAGGCGAGAAGGAUAUUUUAGUCAUUUUUAGGACUAAGGGUAUUUUGGUAAUUUGAGGAGCGAGGGUAAACUAGUAACUUUAGAAUAAAGGGUAUUCUAGUGUUUUUGUGUGAAUAACUUGAGGUAAUUAUUUUCAGAUGGUAAUUAAUGAUACUAGCAUUGAAACCCGUGCCAAGCAUGGGCUAGACUUUCGUCAAAUUUAAUAUAUUGGGUGAACAUAUGGUAUCAUGCACAUCUGUGUGGUCGCUUUGUGUUCAAUGAGUCAAUCAACACCAGUGUUGGCUCUCCCGUACGGUCCAACGUACCAUAGGCCCAUUCAACUUUGUGGGGGAAACGAUUGUUGUUCUUGGUGGUAGAUUACAGAUGCAGAAAGUCUCAUACUUGAGAUAAAGAGGUCAAUGUGUCAAGUGUUAUUUAAAGUUCCACAUUGGAUGCAAUAGUAAAUGUUGAACAAUAUAUAAGUGAUAUGACUCAUAUAUUAAUGACUUAAUGUGUGGUUUCUUUUAAUCUAACGUGAUGAUCAAACUCAAUAUAGGAUCCUCCGAAACUCACAACAUUAUGAUGUACUGUUUUUUUAGUUUUUGGAAGUUAUUUGUUUAACUUUGGGUUAAUUACAGUUUUGAUCAUCAUAUUUUCACUCACUCAUAUAAUUUGUCCCUCCAUUUCAAAAUCACAUAGUUUUGUUCCCUCUUUUAGAUUUUAUAAACUUAAAGAUGGUGAUAUGUCAUGUUUAAAUUAAAACAUAAUGAAAGUUUUCAAAUAAUUAUGUUGGUAUUGAUCAUUUUACAUCAUUGGAUUGUAUGUCAUGUUAUUUAAAAUAUGUCCAUCAUUGUUUUUCAGUCUUAAAAUAAGAUAAAGAGAUCAAAACUGAGUGAUCUUAAAAUGAACGGACCAAUUUCACGAUUUACUAUAAAUGAGGGACUAAAACUGCAAUUAAGUCUUUAAUUUUUGAAUUUUAAAUUUUAGUUUUUUGAUGCUAUUCUUUUUCUUGUGAUUUUUUCAUUUAACCUCUGUUAUUCUCUUUCUUGUGAAUUUAUAAAAUCUGAAAUUGCUGAUCAUUUGUUCCUUACCUGUCACUUUGCUACUAAUCUCUGGAAAUGGCUUAAACCUAUGAUCCAUUACUCCAUCAAUUGCAACUCCAUUCUCUCUCUGUUUGAUGUUUGUCAAAGAGGUUGGAGUUCGAAACGCAAGCUUACCAUCAUCUCAUCAAUCAUCUAUAUUCUCAAUGCUAUCUGGUCUUGCAAGAACUCUUUUAGGUUCAAAGGUGAAAAACCAAAUAUGAAAUCAACAAUAACGCAUAUUAUAGCAAAUGUAUCUAUAGCUGGCAACCUUACCAAGUUAGCUACUGGUUCUGCAUUUAGAGAUUUCACUGUGUUAAAGACUUUCAAAGUGAAUACACAUUAUCCUAAUGAACCUAAGAUCACUGAAGUCAUAUGGAGCCCUCCAAUAUUGCAUUGGAUCAAGUGCAACACUGAUGGAGCAGCUCUUGGCACCACCGGUCAAGCAGCUUGUGCAGGUAUUUUCAGAAACCGAAAUGGAGAAAGCCUUGGCUGUUUUGCAGUUAAUUUAGGGAUUGAAAAUGCUUUUUAUGUUGAGCUCAUGGGAGUGAUUUUUGUUGUUGAAUGUGCUAUUAAGAAAAGAUGGACUCAUCUCUGGAUUGAAAACGAUUCAAAAUUGGCUAACUUGGCAGUCAAGUCACAUAAUAUAGUUUCUUGGCAGAAAAAGAAUAGAUGGCUAAACUGUUUGCAUUUGAUGACUGGUUUGACCUGUAUGAUCACACACAUGUAUAGCGAAGGAAAUCAUUGUGCUGAUAAGCUAGCCAGCAUAGGGUUAACCGUUGAUGGUUUCACUUGGUGGUCUUCACCCCAUGUUAAUAUUAGAGCAGACCUUGUCAAUAAUAGACUUGGUCUCCCCUAUUGUAGGUUCUCUAAGCUUACUUUGAGGGCUUGGUUUGGUCCCCCCUCCUUUUUGUACCUCACUUUUGAUUUUAAUAUAUUUUGGAUGAGGCCGUGAUAGGCUCAUCAGUUAAAAAAAACAAAAUAUUCUUUUGGUUAAUGGUGGGAAAUGAUAAUAGAAAAUUGAAGAUGUGUUAUGUUGGGUUGAUAAAUACAUGUUUAUUACAUAUUUAAAAUUACGUGGUGUUUUUUAAUUGAAUCUAAUUUUUUUGCUAAAAUGAUUAUCCAAAAAUCUUCAACUCCUUCAACAAACUCAUAGAUUUAUCAACAACUCACAAUCUUUCUUAUACUUUCACAAACAAAACACACAAUACUUAUUUUUUUUUUCUUUUAGCUUCUCUCAUAUUCAAAUUUAUUUUUGGUAUCUUUGUUUUUCCUUCUAUUUUUUCCCCCCUUCCCAUGUACGAAAGGAACAUAAACCACUUGUAAUGAAACCAACACCAACAAAUUUUUUUAAACAUACUGUAUCUUCCUUUGAUCUUAUUUGACUAUAUCAUGUAAUUAUGAACAGGAGAGUUGCAAAUUUGAAUAAGAGGUGUUGAUGUGUCAAGUAUGAGUUAAAAAUUUAUAUUGGAUGGAAUGAUAAAUUUUGAACAACAUAUAAUUGAGAUGGAAGGAUAUAAAUUUCACUUGUGUAUUUUCUCUUGGUCUAAUGUGGUGAUAAAACUCAAGAUAGGAUCCCUUGAAAGUCCCAAAGUUAUGAUGAAUUAUUUGUUAGUUUGUGGGUCUCAUUUAUUUAAUUUUUAUAUGUUAAAUUUUAGUUAUUGGAGAUCGUUCAUUUUCAUGCUAUAUUUUUUAUUCAACCUAACUUAUUUCAAAUUCCUUCACUUUUGGUCUUUGGUAGAACUUCACAAUGGAAAAAUACAUGUGUUUUACUAAGUUGACAAAAUACAUACUUAUUUAAAAUUUUAAAUUUGAGUCUAAUUUUUGGUAUAUUAAUUACUCCAAAUUCUUCAAGAAACCCAUAAAAUUACCAGCUACGAACAAUAUUUCAUAUACUCUCACGGUCAAAGCACACACUCAUUUUUUUUUCCCUAACCAUUUCUCUCAAGUUAAAAUUUCUUUUUCAUCUUAUUUCUUUUUCUGGUUUAGUUUCUUUAUUCACAUGAAUGAGAGGAAUAGAAACAUCUCUUCAUAAAAUCACCGCAAGUCUAUUUUUUUUUUUACAAUGUUGUGACUAAGUAUAACUUUAUUUGGUUAUGUUACCAGAUUGCAGAUGUAGAGAGUCUCACAUUUAAGAGAGAAGUUAUUUUGUCAUAUAUGAGUGAGUAUGUGGUAAGAAUAAUAUAAGUGAGAUGACUCAUACAUAAUGCUUUAAGGUUUUAACUGAACAUGUGGUGUGUUCGUCUCACUUUUAUGGUUUCUAUUAAUGUAAUGUGAUUGUUCAACUCAGUUUAUGUUCCCCUGAAAGUCACAACAUUAUGAUAAACUAUUUUAUUUGUUUUAGAUGCCUGUUGUUUAAAUUUUUUUAUCUAUUUUUUUAGUCAAUCUUUAUUAUUUUAUAAAUUAUAAAAUUGUAGACGCGUAAUACUGAGUUGACAAAUUAAAUGUUGAAUGCUAACAACAUUCACUUUUGCACACUCUCUUUAGCACUCACUAUUUUAUUGGAUGAAAUCAAUGUAUAUCCCACCACUUUAUGCGAGUUCUAUUUCCAAAGUGUAGAUCCGCAAUGAUUUAAACCAAUAAGAAAGUGAGUAUUAGAGAGAGUGUUCAAAAGAGGGUGGUGCUAGCACUACUCUAUUAGACAUUUUAAGCGCAGAUGUGGUGUUAGUCUUACUUGUAUGAUUGCUAUUAUCAUAAUGUGAUAUUUCGACCAAUUCUAGGCUUCCUUUGUAGACUCAACAUUAUGAUGAACUAUUUUGUCGAUUUUUGAAUGUUAUUUGCUAUUUUUUGAAGAGUUAAUUAGCUAAAAGGUCUCUAUAAAUAUCAAGAAUUUCUUUGUACCAAAAAAAAAUUGAAGAAUUUCAUUUUUAAUACCUACAAAAAUAAAUCGCACAUCUUGGCCCUUGUAAAAUUAUUAUGUCAGCAUUUUUAAUCACUGUAAAAUUUUUCGUCAACAAUUUGGCCCAUAAAAUGUUCAAAGGAAAAUGUUACAACGAUUAAAAAUGUGACUUAUUUCUAUGGACUAAAAACAAAAAAAAAUCUUAUUUAUAUUGAAUAUUUAUUUAAUUAACCUUUUUUCUGUAAAACUUUGUUGUCAGAUGUCAUUAGCUUUCAUUGUAUUUUUGUAUUCAACCUCCAUUAUUUUAAAUUCUUUCACUUCUAGUUUUUGGGGGAUGUGACAAUGGAAAAUCUAGAUGAGUUAUGAUGAGUUUACAAAAUACAUGUUUAUUAGACUUUUUAAAAUGAUGUGAUGUUUUUUUAAUGAAGUCAUACUCUUUGGUAAUACGAACCCAAAAAUAUUCAACUUCUUCAACAAAACCAUAUAAUUACCGGUAACUCAAACUAUUAUAUACUAUCACCGAUGAAACACACAGUACAUAUUUUUCUCUUAUUAUUUCUCUCAUGUCCAAAUUAUUUUUUUAUCUUAUUUCCUUUUCUAACUUCUCAUGAAAUAAAAGAACGUAAACCCCCAUGCAUUAAAUCACCAUCAACCAAUUUUUUUUUUAUUUUUUUUUUUUACCAUCAAAUGACUUCAUCUGAUUUUAUUUGGCUAUGUUACAAAAUCACCGAUGCGAAGAGUCUAACACGUAAAGGAAGAGAUGUUAAUAUGUGUUAUAUUAGUUAAAGUUUCAUAUUGCAUGCAAUAUUAGAAAGUGGAAAACAUAAAGUGAGGUUGCCCUUGUAUUUAAUGCCUUUAGAAUUUGCAUGAAGGUGUGAUGUUAAUCUCAGUUGUGCAGUUUCUCUUAGUAUAAUAUGAUUAUCCAACUCAAUUUAGGCUCAUGUGGAAGUCUUGUCAUUAUGACGAAUUGUUUUCUUCAUUUUUAGAUGUCAUUCGCUUAAUCCUUACUUUCUCAUGAAAGAAAGGGGAAAAAAAACUCCUUGUAUGAAACCACCACAAUCCCAUAGUUUUUAGCAUGGUGUGCAUCCUUCUAGCUUUAUUUGGUUAUGUCUCUCUAUUAUAGUUGCAGAGAGUAUCACACUUAAGGGAGAUAUGUUAAUAUGUCAAGUGUGAGUUAAAGUUCUAACUUGAAUGCAAAAGUAUAUGUUGAACAAAAUAUAAAUGAGAUGACUGAUAUAUCUGAUGACUUAAGGUUUUGAGUCAAUAUGUAGUGUCAUUUUUUCAAUUGUUUAAAAAAAUCCAUAAAAUUACCAACAAUUCUUGCAAAAAUUUUACAAGUGAUGUCAAUCACCAAGCAUAAUUAAACUAUUAAUUUCUUCAAGUAAAAAAUCAAGAUGAAAUAUGUUUCAGGUAUAAGGAAUAUUUCAUUUGUCAUGAUUAAUUUGAAAUAAAAAUCUAUUUUUUUUUCAUUGUAAUUUUUCAACUCUAAGGAUUUAGUCUAGUAGUAAAAGAACAAACUUUGAUUUAAAUAUUCUGAGUUUCGAGCUCUGUUGGUAUCCUUGAAGAUAUAUAGAUGUAAGUAUAUUUGUGAGAGCUCUUUUAUCUCUAAGGUCUUCCAUAUAUUGCACAAAAUCAUCACUCUUUUAUCUCUAACAUAUUUUCAUCACUCAUUAAUUAUCCAAAAUUUUUUAAAAAAAUAAAAAAAAACCAUAAAAUUAACAUCAACUUCUAGAAAAUGUGUUUGAUCAAACAAUUGCAAUUAGCAAGAACAAUUAAAUCAAUAGCUUCUUUCAAUAAAAAAAUCAAGAUAAGAGAUGAUUCGGGUAUAAGGAAUAUGUCAUUUUUUCUCCCCGAUGACAAUGAUUAACAAGAGCAAUUAAAUCAAUAACUUCUUUUAGUAGACGAUUAUUACCAAGAACAAUUAAAUCAUAAAUUUCUUUUAGUAAAAAGAUCAAGGUGAAAAUGAUCUCGGUAUAAGGAAUAUGUAAUUUCUUGUACCUGAUGCCAAUUUAGGUAGGGUAGUAAGAUUUAAAAAAAAAAUUAUUUGUCAUGAUUAAUUUAAAAUAAAAACCCAUUUUAUAAUUUUUUUUUCUAUUUUCAAACUCUAAGAGUUUAGUCUAGCAGUAAAAGGACAAACUUUGGAUUUAUAGGUUAUAUAUUUUGACCCUUGUUAAUAUCCCUGAAGAUAAGUAGAUAUAAAUAUAUUUGUGAGUGCUCUUCCAUAUCUAAGAUAUUCCCCACCUUGUACAGAAACAAUAUUCCCUCACCAUACAAUUUUUUACCGAAAAAAUUCAUUGUGAUUUUUGUAUUUUAAUAACGGCAUUAAAUGUCAAAUCUCAAGAAUCAUUAUGAUCAAAUGAUCAUUAAAUAAUUACCCAGUGUACAUUUUUCUGUAUAGAAUUAGGCAUAUAUGUAUUAAAUAGCUUUUUUGUACCUAAAAAAAAUAAAAAUCGAGACAAACUUUAUAUAAAAUUAGUAAAAUUCAUUGGAUCACACUACUAGAAAAAGCAAAAUUAGCGAGGGAAAUUAAUGACGGAAAAAUGAAAUUCCUCACAAAUUUCUUGGUCGCAAAAAUUAGUGACGGAAUUAGAGAGGGAUUUUACGUUUUCCCUCACUAAAUUUUCCUCACUAAUUUUGUUUUUUUAGUAGUGUCAUUGCUCAAAUUUACUUAUGGCCAUCACUCAAUUCUCUUUCAAAAUAUUUAUACCUAUUUCGAUAAUCAUAUGAUUUUCCCAUGUUUUUGAAUAAUCAUUUUUCUUUUAGAAUAUCUCAAAAGUGAAACUUUUAUUUUGGAAUAAAAAUUUGAGGCUUUUCAACGACUACUAUAGAAAUUUUAAAUUUAAACAAAACCUUUUUUAAAAUCAAACAUAAUGCACAUGUUUGAACUUUAUUUUGCAUAACGGACAUGAUAUAUAAAAAGAAUAUAGUGUACACGAAACAGAAAAAUUGCACUACUAUUAAAUCAAGACUGCAUUUUUGUCCAUCAUUUAAAGUUUAUUUAUCAUUGUAUCCAUGAUUGGUCAUUUUUAUUGAAAUUUCGUGUGGAACACAUUCGUAAAGUUUAACAUCUGCCUUUGCGUAAAGUUUAACAUUCGUAUCGGAUCACAUUUUGAAUUAAUUUUUUAAAAUCAAACUAAACCGCAUACAUAUAAUUUAGUCUUUAUUUAUUUAUUUUUUUACAAAAAUUAAUCUUUAUUUACUUUUCAUUAGUAUAAUAUAUUGAAUUUAUCUAUCAUUCCUUAGAUUUUAAUUUUGUUAAUACUACUUAUACUUAUUAGUUUUUUUUUGCAUUUCAUACGUUUCGAACUCACACAGUUUCCUUAAAAAGGAAACACAUUUUCUUGUUUUAAUUUUUUUAAUAACAAUACAAUUAUUAUUAUUUAUUUAGUUGGGAUGAAGAGGAAGAUUCUGAAAAAAUAAUUGUCUAUAUAUAGCGAAAAAAUCUUACAUUAAUUAUGUCAUAUGACAUUUAAGGACGAAUGAAGUAAUCUAUAAUCAUUGAUUGAUAUUCAAGUUAAAGGUUAAAAUGUAGAGUUUGUACAAAAAGUUACUCAUGGACUUGAUAUAUUCAUCUUCUUAAAAAUAUUUGUAUAUAUCCAUGCCUAAUCAAAAUGAUGGUUUGUCACUUUUUAACAUCACGGACAAACAAAAACCUAAUAAUGCGCGAACUAACAAAUUUACAUAAUAAUAUUAGAAAUAAAAAAAAAUUGUAUUAAGAGCAAUGGAAAUUAAUUAGAGGAUUAUGUAAAAAAAUGACAAAUCAUAAUGACAGUAUAAUUGCAAAUUAAUUACUAUAAUAAUUUGAUAACUGAAGUGUGCGUUGUAAAAUAAAUGAAAUUUUAAUGAUUAGAAAAGUCAUUAGCCAUUAAUAUAAUUGUAGGAAAACUCUUAAUCGUGUAUAAUAAUUGAUAGAUAAAUUGAAAUAUUGAUAGAAAAAUAGUGUUUUUUUACAUUGAAAACGGUUGUUUGAAUUUGAAUAUUAAUUUUGUUAUUUUUCGUCACUUUCUAUUUUAAUUUUAUGUAUGAUUUCAAAUAAUUAAAUUGAUCAUUUUUUCCUUUUAAAAAAAAUGAUCAUUUUUGUUUAAUGUAUGGAGUAGAAUAAGAAUUAUUUAAAUGACGGGAUUGAAUUUGAAACUUUAGAAAGUAUGUUCACCAUUUCAUACCCACAAAUUAAGCAACUUUGAAAAAACAUUAAACAUAUAUGAGUAGAAGAAGAAUGAUUCACGACAUUAAUGAUUUAUAAAAUAUAAUAGAAAAUAUAUCAUGUACUUCUUCAAAAAAGAAAAUAUAUCAUGUAUUUUUUUUAUCAUUUCUACUUCAAAGUCAUCCAUUCAACCAAUUUUGUGAAAAUGUGAAUCUUUUUUUUUUUCUUGUCUAUCGACUGAUUAUAAAGUUAAAAAAAUAAAAGAAAAAUAUAAUAUAAUUGACAAAAGAAAAUAUAAAAGAUCAAAAUAUUAAAAAUAAAACAGCAACAUAAGAAAUGUUAACCAAAGAAUAAUAUAUAGAUAGAAAAAGUUGAAAUUGAGAGAUUAAAAUAAAAGAAAAGGGGGGAUGAAGUUGUUAGAUUUAAACUUGGUAAUAAAAAUCCUUCGUAUAUAUUCUAAUUGAUACGUGAUGCAUUUCUUCUUUUCUCUUAAUUGACUUCCAUAUUCAAACUAAAGAUCUAGUAAAAAACAAAGAACAUAUAAUCACGAAAAGAAAAUUUAAAAGAGAAUAUGAUUAAGAAAACAACAACAUAAGAAAUCCCAAUAAAAAAUAACCUAAGAAUAAGAAAUGUUAAACAAACAACAAAACAUUAAAAAAAUAAGAAAUAAAAAAAUAAAAGAAAUGAGGACGGGGUUGAAAUCAAUGAGUUUUUGUGGGAGGAAGAGAUAGAUGAAAAUAAUGAAAAACAAAUUGUCUAUAUAUAGAAAAAAAAAAUCAUAUCAUGAUCCAUUUUGAUUGGCUCAAGAAAAACAAAUGAGUCAUGAUCCUCUUUUGAUUGGUUGAUAUAAAAUAAAUGUGUCAUAAUCCAUUUUGAUUGGAUGAUAAGAAAACAUUAAAUGAGAUGGAGAAUAUAAGCUUGCCACGUGUACUUUAAAAAAAAAUAGCGCAAAUAUAUAUAAUAAAGAUAAAGAUGUUUAAUUAGUUAAGUAGUAAGUUUUUAAUUAAGUGGUAAGAGACACUAGAUCCUAGACCCAUUAUGAGAUGAGUUAACCUAACCCAUUAGUUGGAGUAUAUAAGGAUAACACCGGUGAAAAUUAGGGUUCAACUUUUUAUUUCAUAUAUUCACAUAAAAGGGUGGCUAGAGAAAAAUAGAGAAUUGAGACAAAAGAAAAGAUAGAAGAAAAAGGAAGAACAAAGUGAAGAAAAGAAGAGCAAAGCUGGAAUUCAAGAGGGGAGUGAAGAUUUGGUGAAGUGACUUAAGCUUAAGGAUGAUUUAGGUAAGGGGAUAGGUUUCUUCUUUCAUAAUAAGUUAUAAUAAUGUUAUUAGCUUUUAGGACAUUUUCUUUUAAUUGAUUUGUGAAAUUGAUGAUUAUGUGUGAUGAAAUUCGUGCUUAUAAUUGAUUGGUAAUUAUGAGUAUGUUGAAAUUUGUGGAAUUAAGUUGUUUGGGUGUUCAAACUCAUGAUUGGUGUUUUGAAAUUAGUUGUUUUGAGAUUUUUACUGAAUUGUGUGAAACCAUGAAUUUGUUGAUGAUUAUUGUUCAAACAUGUUUUAAAUCACUUGUUGAAUAAUUGGGUAUGUUUGUAUGUUGAUGUGUUAUGAAUUAUUGGUGUUGAUUGUGAGGUUUGGAUUAAUUUGUGAUGUUUUGGCGAAAAAUGUUAAUGAUUUUGAAAACUUGGUGAAAUGAUGUUAUGAACCCAUGAUUAAUGUGUUUUGAUUUUUCCUUUUAUCUGUAUUAUUUGUUGGUGAAGUUUGCACAACAAUUUUAGGUCAAUUGGGGUCAAAAUUGGGAUUUUUGGGGAGUUUUUUUGUGAGUUCCCCGAAAGAGAACCCAUUUCUGAGUUCCCCUGUUUUGUGCAGUUUGCUAACUCGUUCCCGAUUAUUUUGUUGGUGUAAGCCCUAUAGCCAAUAAUUUAUGUUAAACCUAUGAUAUGUAUCAUGACUUUUAUUAUUAAAUAAUAGGCUAAAAUAUGGUUUUGCUCCCUGCAAAUAUGUCUCGUUUUGGUUUUAGUCCCUGUAAAAAAAAAUUGUUGUUUUUGGUCCCUGCAAAAUAUUUUGUUUUUGGAAAUAGUCCCUGCAGAGACUAUUUCCAUAUUUUGUUUUUGGAAAUAGUCCCUGCAGGGACUAUUUCCAAAAACAAAAUAUUUUGCAGGGACCUUUUUCAAAAUCAAAAGAUUUUGCAGGGACUAUUUCUCUAAUAAAUGGUUCAGUCAUCAUGUGACACGUGUGCAAAUUAUCACAAAAGUGNNNNNNNNNNNNNNNNNNNNNNNNNNNNNNNNNNNNNNNNNNNNNNNNNNNNNNNNNNNNNNNNNNNNNNNNNNNNNNNNNNNNNNNNNNNNNNNNNNNNACAAAAUAUUUUGCAGGGACCUUUUUCAAAAUCAAAAGAUUUUGCAGGGACUAUUUCUCUAAUAAAUGGUUCAGUCAUCAUGUGACACGUGUGCAAAUUAUCACAAAAGUGGAGCCAGGGACCAAAACCAAAAAGAGACAUAUUUGCAGGGACCAAAAACAACAAAAAAAAUUUGCAGGGACUAAAACCAAAACGAGGCAUAUUUGCAGGGACCAAAACCAUAUUUUAGCCUAAAUAAUAUAUGAUACUCUUUAUUAUACUUGUUGUAAUAUUAAUAAAGUCCCAAUAAUAGAUAGUUCGUGUAAUGGUAUAUUAAUUGUGACUUAAUCAUGAGAUUACAUUAAUAUAAAGAACACUAUUCUUAAAUGUAUCCAUAGUCGAGCUUUAAUAUAAAUUGGAAUAAUAAUAAAGCGCAAAGACUAUUAUAUAUGUAGACUGAUGACCACAACUUAUUUAUCAUGGAUAUGCGAUAUUAAGUUUAUACAUAGCUAUAAACAUUACGAGUAAUAUUUAUACUGGAAUGACCCACCAUGAGAAUACUAAAUAGUAUGUUAUGAAAAUGUCAUAAGAUAUUUUCACAAUGAUAAUGGUGUAUAUCACUCUUAGACCUGAAACGACUAUGAUGCCUAGAUAUGGACUCAAGUGUUUUAUUGUCAUUCUAACAUUGUUUGUAAAAGGAUAACCAUAACGUUGGCUAAUGGAUAAUUGAUGAAUCAUGCAGAGGGACAUGAGUGUCCUAUACUAGAUUUGUCCCUCCUCAUAACAUGAGAUAUAUCUUUAGGCCUCUUGAUGAGAUAUAACUAUAAAGUUGCAUGGCCAUGCCGAACUAAGUCAAUAUGAGAUAUUAGACUUAUUCGUUAUUCAGUAUAUUUUGGGAUCAAGAAAUAUAAAGGCUAAAAUAUGGUUUUAGUCCCUGCAUAUAUGCCUCGUUUUGGUUUUAGUCCCUGUAAAAAAAAAAAUUGUUUAUGGUCCCUGCAAAUUUUUUUUGUUUUUUAAAAUAGUCCCUGACCCCAUUUUUGUGAUGAUUUGCAUACGUGGCACAUGAUGACUGAACCUAUUUUGUAGUUUUUGGUCCCUGCAAAAUAUUUUGUUUUUUAAAAAGGUCCCUGCAAAAAUUUUUGUUUUUGAAAAUAGUCCUUGGAGGGAUUAUUUUCAAAAACAAAAAAUUUUACAAGGAUCAAAAACAAUUUUUUUUUACAGGGACUAAAGCCAAAACGAGGCAUAUUUGCAAGGACUAAAACCAUAUUUUAGCCAAAUAUAAAUAUUGACCUAUACAAGGGUGACAAAAUCUAUGCCUUGUGAUCAAUAUAGAUAUGAGGACAAAAGAGUAAUUGAACACAUGAAUGUUAUGAUGGAAAAGGUUUUGUCAGAUCACUUAACAUUCUUGUCACUUGGAUAGCAAUGAUGUAUUGCUAGAUACCGCUCAUUGUUUAUAAUUUUAAAUAUUAGAUUUAAUAUUAUUUCCAACGUGACUAGAACAUAUGGGGUCACACACAAGAGAACAGUCAAAAGAGAAAUAUAAAUAAGACUUAUAUGAUGGGUGCGUUUAGAAAUUAACACUAAUUAGUUAGCAAAAGACUAAACUCAUUAAUGGGCUUACGGAAGUCCAAUAAUGACUUCUGACUUGCAAAACAUAAUAGGAGUUUGUUAUCUCGAUUUUGGGGUAUCAAGUCAUUAAUUAGGCUUGAACAUUUCAAUCUUUGAUAUUCUCUAUUUUUUUUUGGGAAGGGUAAAAUUGAGAAAACCCUUAGAAACUCUAAGUUUGGGGGUCGUUUUCGUUACGGGAAGGUGUUAAGCACCCGUAACGACUAUAAUAUUCUAUAGGAACAGAUUUCCUAGCUUUAUGUCUACGCUUUACUUUUAUGCUUAUUUAUUGAAAAAGAGAGUUUAUUUAGGUUAAGGAUUUGGAAAGAAAGUGUAUGAGAUUUCAUUUUANNNNNNNNNNNNNNNNNNNNNNNNNNNNNNNNNNNNNNNNNNNNNNNNNNNNNNNNNNNNNNNNNNNNNNNNNNNNNNNNNNNNNNNNNNNNNNNNNNNNGAAAUUUGGACAGGAAAAGACUAAAAUGCCCCUAGGGACUAAACUGACUCAGACAGACUCAGACGCAAUUUUGAAAUGGUUUUUAAACAAAGACUCAACAGUGAUUUGUAAAACAAGUUGAAAAGACUCAGAGACAAACACAGGGACAAAAAUGGGUUCCACUGCAGGAAAUGACCAAAAUACCCUUUUUGUAUGAUUUUUAAAAUAACAUGCAAGAAAAAGCAAUGCAAUGAUUCAGAGAGUUUUCAAAUGACUUGUAAUGUAAGAAAGACACUUUGGAUGAUCUUAUGCAAGAAAAACACAGGCAAAAUCAUGAUUUGCAAAUACCUUGAGACAGAGAAAGUAAAAUAUACAGAUGAAAAUAAAGUGAAGAUUCAAAGUAAAACAAUAGUAAAUUGACAAUUAUCAGUGGUAGAAAAGAAAUUUGAACGAGUAUUUUUAGGUCCAAAAUCAGGGUAUAACAGAAUUCUAUAAAUAGAACACUUGUGUUGAAGUCUUUGUUACACCUUUUAGAAACCCUAAUUCCCCCAAAUCUCUAAUCGCUUGGCUAGCACCGGAAACUAGAGGAGCACCGUUCAUGUGGAUUAGUAGAGGCUCUGUUGUUUGCUUUGCUUUGUGAUUGAUAUUUUUCCUGCACUUCGAGGUAACAUUCAUUCACUAAUUCAUGUCAAAUUCAUAAUGAUCCAAGGAAUGAAAAUCGAAAAUUUUAUUUCGCUGCCUGUUUAUACAUAAAUCUGAAUCAUUUACAAUAUUCAAGGAAUUUCAAAGUGAAGUAGAAAACCAACUAGGAAAGAAAAUAAAAAUGAUUCGAUUUGAUCGAGGUAGAGAGUAUUUGAGCUUAGAGUUUGACAAUCAUCUAAAAGAGGGUUGGAUCUUAUCCCAACUCACACUUUCUGGAACGCCACAAUGGAAUGGUGUUUCCGAUAGGAGAAAUCGAACCUUGUUGGACAUGGUCCGAUCAAUGAUGAAUCAUGCUAAUCUUCCAAACUCCUUGUGGGGACACGCCUUAUUAAGUGCAGCUUAUACACUUAUUCGAGUUCAAUCUAAAGCGGUAGAAAAAACAUCGUAUGAGAUAUGGAAUGGUCGAAAAUCCAACAUGAGACAUUUAAAGAUUUGGAGUUGUGAAGCUUAUGUAAAACGACAAAUAUAACGACAAAUAUCUCAAAACCCUAGCAUAGCAUUUUUUUCAAUAUUUCUCUCUUCUUGUGUUUCUUCCAAUGCUUUGGAGUAGUUAAGUGAUAUGCAGUUUGAUAAUGUCAACUUUGAGACGGAUUCUAAAACCAUUCAUGAUGCCUUCUACUCUCGCAAAUAAGACGUUUCCGAAUUUGGACAUAUAAUUUUGGCUUGUCAAUCUCUCUUUACUACCCACUUCACAAACUCUCGAUUUGAGUUUAUGAGGCGACAAACAAAUGAGGUUGCUCAUACGCGUGGUAUUAAAAAUAUCAUUUUUAAUAAAAUGCUAUAAGCAUGUUUCCUACAAAAAAAAUUGUCAAGUUAGUUUCUUCUUCUUACCAAGACUUGAACCCUGGUCCUCCAACUCCAUAACUUUUUGCUCAAACCAGCGGACCUAGCCGACCUCACAUAUCUUCUUAUUCUAUAAGCUUAUAAGGUUAAGCUAAUGCUUAACCCUAAUCCAAAGCUAAAUUUCCCUCAUAAGCUUCUUAAACCUAGCUUCUUUAGCAAGCCUUACAUGUGUAAUUAAUGUUAUUUUAUUUCAAAUUUAAAAAACAACUUUUCUCUCCUACUACUUUGCUUAAUUCCAACGCCAUGUAAGCCUUGGUUCUAUCAACAUUUAAAACUAAUCAUAUUUCCAAUGACUCGUUACAUACACCCUCCGAUCACUAAUAUAAGCAAAAAUACAUUUUUUAGAUACAUUCAAUUAAUAAUGUAUGUGAUAUUUAUUAUAUGUCACAUACAUCAUUAAUUGAAUGUAUCUAAAAAGUAGAUUUUUGCUUAUAUUGGUGACCGGCGGGUGUAAAGCCCAAGGAAGCUCAUGAUGCCUAUCUUCAACAUAUUAAAUCUAUUGUUUUUAGAAUUUUUCAUUUGAAAAUAUGAACAUCACAACUACUUAUUUCACCAUUGGUCGUCAAACUCAGCAAAUAAUCAGAGUUCCAAAGGUUUGGUCGUGGCCAUAUGGGUUAUGAGAUUCAAUGUUCCAUUGCUUAUAAAUUAAAUUAUUUGGUGACUCGAUUUUUAUACCUAGAUUAUUUCUGCCAACUUCUGAUGUAAGAAUUCCUUUAAUGAUAUGAUUAAUGUGAAUCUAUGUUUAUGAUAUGACUUAUACGAGAGCUAUUUUUUUUUUUUAAUAAUAUUUUGUUCUUGACAAGUAUUAUGGAAAGAAGAAUAGGUGCCUCUUUAGUCGGCAAGACCCGUGCUACGCCCGGUGGUAUGGUUAGUUCUAUCAUAUGGAAAAUUCUAUGGUACAUCAACAUUUUGUGUGUACCGGUACACCAAAUAUUAAAUUAAUAAUUAAAUUGAUCGUUUUUUGAAGAAAAAAUAACUAUUUUCUAUCAUUGACAAUUAUAAUAAUUAAAUCUUAUUUACCAAAAGAGUCGAUGAAAUAAAAUUUACUUUUUUUGAAUUUUUAUUGCUCAUAACGAAGAAUAUUGAUUAUUUUUUAUGAGAAAAUGUUAAAAAUUUAAUAUAAUUCAUAUAAACAAUGAAAUAAUGUUUUUUUACUCAUAAGAUGGUGUUUUCUAAAAUAUAAAUAAUGACAAAUAACAACUUAUUUUAUAAAAUGAUCAUUAAUUUAUAAAUUUAUGAAGCAGAGUAUCGGUACACCUCAAUUUAUGAGGUGUACCGUAGAAACUACCCUAUCAUAUAGUUAUAUCCAUCCUUUAGGAUCAUAUAUUAGGUCAAAUUGUAUUCUCUCUCAAUCAAUGCAUCAUUCCAAUUCAUUUCAUCACUAGUAAGUAUUACGUCCUUUACUAGGACGUUUAUCCGUGCUAACGUCCGGGACAUUAAAAAUGAAAAACCUAAAAAAGUUCCAAUAUUAUUCAUUUACAUAAAAAAUAAAAUAAAUAAACAUAAAAAGUAUUUAAGGGCAUACAAAAUAUUGGGUCGCACAUUUUUGAAUAUUUCCUUAUAAACUACAUUUGAAGUGGUGCUGAUACAAUCCCCAUUGUCAUCUGUUAAUAAUAUCUUCAUACCAUCCCUUGAUGUAACACGUGAUAUUGCAAUAUAUAGCUGCCCAUGUGAGAAGACCAAUUGUGGAAGAUAGAUGCUAACUUGCUUAAGUGAUUGUCCCUGACUUUUGUUUAUAGUCAUUGUAAAACACAAAGCUAUAGGAAAUUGUCUGCGUUGAAAUUUGAAAGGAAUUUUGGUAUCAGAUUGUGUCAAUGACAAUCUCGGUAUGUAGACCUUCUCUCCAACAUUGCUUCAUGAUAUUACCCUCCCUUCAAUAACAUAUCUUCCCAUCUUAGUGACUAUUAGUCGAGUACCAUUACACAAACAUGCUGUUAUGUCCAAAUUUCUCAACAACAUAAUAGGAACUCCAACUUUCAAAGUAAUCUUGUGAUUAGGAAGACCCGAUGAAUUGAUUGUGUUCAAGAAUUCCGGUGUGUGAAUAUCAUCUGGUCUAUUGACUGAUGCGGUAUCUGCUAUUAUAAGAAUCACAACUCAAAUAUGUCAUUUCUUCACCGGGAAUGAGAGACAGAACAUAGUCAUUAACUCAAAUAUGUCCUUUCUGACUUUGUUUCAUGAUAGUUUCUUUUCCAUAAAUAGAAGUGGUUAAAAUUUUAUCUGUAACACCAUAAAAAUGAUCAACGAUGCCUCUUCAUAGAGGCAACCAAAGAGGGAAAAUGGGACAUAGAAUGAACAUGAUAGGAUACAUCCAUUUCAGGCGUGGUUGCUAGCCUAUUGCACUAUAAAUAAAUAUAUGCCAAAAAACAAAAAGAACACCAGAGCAUAACAUAUAUUUAUAAUCAGUUGUGAAACAUAUAUGUCACUUAUAUAUAUAAUGGUAAAAGAACUUUCAUUAUUCACUAAGAUAAGAAGUGGAAUAUAAAGAAACACACUGCCAUCAUUCCAGUUUCAAAUCUAAGUAAUAUAACCAAGACGACAACACAACAUUCAAUUGGAUAACUAAUUAAGCAAUGAUAACAAAGAAAAAACAUUGGCUUUAAAUGAGAAUUAUGCAAUUCUCAUUGAUAAUGACUAAAAAAGGACUAAAUUUGUUCUCCAUGCUGAAUGAAAGAGUAACAGUGCCUCACUGAUAACAACUAAUGUAGUGUCUCACUAAAUUUGUUCUUCAUUUUUUGUGUUUCUGCUAUAUAGUUAUCAUUUAUUUGGUGAAAAGAAAUCCGAAGUUGCACAUGAGGAACCAAUCCAACAUUGCCAUAAGCUUACUUCCAUAUUCACAUGUGUUCUAUGAAGGCAUUUAACUCAACUUGUGGUAGCUAAUGCAUAGAAGCCAAUCCAUUCAUCUCUGUCAUAUUGCUUUAAUCCCAAGGCAGAGAUUCUAGUCUAGUAUAUCAAUUAUGUAUUCAAAGUAAUCAUGUUAUAUAUAAUAUAUGGAGAUAUCCAAAGUAGAAGAGCAUAAAGAGAGAUGAGGUUAUAAGUUUGUCCCAAAUAAAGAAAUUAAAUUACAUAUCGGAUUUGAUUAUAAAUAUACUUAAGAACAUGUAAGUAGUAGAAGAACAUUUAUAAUCAAACAGAAAGAUGAGGUUAGUUUUUCUUGAGCACAUUGAUGGAGAUAUUCCAUCAAUUCUUUUUUGAUGGAGAAAUUAAACUACAUACCAGAUUUGAUUAUAAAUGUGCUUAAGAAAAUUUCAAGAGCUGCGGCGACGACAGGAGAGAGCUGCGGCGACGGAGAGAGCGGCAACGACAGAGAAUUUUGUUUGAAUGUCUGAAAGUGAGGUGGAAGAUGAACAACUCAAAGGGGGAAGAGAUUUUUUUGAGUAAAAGCAAUAUAAAUUCCAUCCUUUAGGAUCAUAUAUUAGGUCAACUUGUAUUCUCUCUCAAUCAAUGCAUCAUUCCAAUUCAUUUCAUCACUUACGUCCUUUAUUACCAAUAAAGCUAUACAAAUUACAUAUCCCCAUUCCCUAUCCUCUUCAAGUAAUAGAAAUUGAGGUUAGAACAAAUACUGUUCACAACAAUUAAAAGAAAACCUGACAAUCUACCGAGGAAAAAAAGUACUUGAAGGCAUUCCAUUGCUAGAGAAUAGGGCAGAACUAUCAUUGUAGGAUCUACCUUGCAGGAAAAAUGCAGGUUGUUGUGGAGUUCGUAACUCAAUUGAAUGACUGCUAAGAUAAGAAGCAAUUGUCAAGAUUGAAGGUCUAGCCUCUGGGUCAUUUUGAACACAUAAUAGACCAAUCUGAAUGCACUUAAUGACUUCAGUUUUAGAAUAAUCUCCUUUAAUAUUUGGGUCCAAUAUAUUUAAAGGUGUUUUAUCCAUCCACUGUCUCCAUACCUGAAAAUAUAUACCAUUUGGUCUAAGCUAUGAGAUUAUUAGGCCAAACGAGCUUUAAAUCCAAAAUUGGAUCGAAAAGUAUGUAAAGUCUGAUCAAAGAUUAUUUCAACUAAGAAGUAAUGAAAAGAUACUAUUGCUAUAUCAUUACACUCACAGAAUUCAAGAGCCUAUUGAAAACAUGUUGUGAUUCAUAUGAACUUACAUUCUUCUUUCCAGCUACAAUCUCUAUGAUCAUGACUCCAAAACUAUAAAUAUCUGAUUUUUCAGAAAAUUGUCUAAACAUUGCAUAUUCUGGAGACAUAUAACCACUUUACAAACAAAUUAAAUUUGACGUUAAUUUAACUUGAAUUUACCGUAAUCAAUAAGAACCUGAAAAAGAUAAUAGAGUAGUAAACAUUUGAAACUUACCAUUUAGUACCUAUUUCUAGAUAUUAUUUAGUUUAGUUUUAAUUAGAUUUUAGUUUAUUUUAUAUCAAUAUUAUUUCCUUUUUAAGAUAGUUUACUACAAAUUGCAUUUUAUUAUAUUUCAGGAAUGAAUAUUGGAUGGAUUGAGUCUUGGAGCAAAAGAAAGGGACUUGGAGCUGAUUCGGUACAAAAAUACAAAGAUUGGAAGACAAAAUAUGUCUCCCCUAAAGUCAGAAGCUUGGCACGGCCCGUGCUAGCAUUGGCACGGCCGUGCCACCCUCCAGAGUCACUUUUGCUGCUUUUGCUUAGAUUUUAAGCUACUCUAUUUUAGCCCGCAGUUUCUUGUGGAACAUUCCAGUAAUGUAAUUGCUUAGAUUUUAAGUCGAAUGUAUGCUAUAAAUAGAGUAGCUAUCUGUUAUACCCUGUUUUUGGACCUAAAAAUACUGGGCCCAAUUUCAUUUCAAACUUUGUCAAUUAUCAAAUUUCAACUGCACAGUUCAAAUUGUCUCUGCCUCGCAGUAUUUUCAAUCACAAUUUUACCUAUGUUUUUCUUGCAUAAAACCUUUUGAAAUGUCUUUACUUGUCUUGUAAGUCAUUCAAAAGUGUCUCUUAAUCAUUACAUUGUUUUUACCUCAGUUUAUUUCAAAAUUUGCAAAAAAAGUCAUACAGAAGGGUAUUUUGGUCAUUUCCUGCAGUGGGACCCAUUUUCAUCCUUGUGACUGUCUCUGAGUCUUUUUCAGAUUGUUUUUAACCUUUCGUCAGUAAACCUUGUUAAAAUUAUUUCAAACUUGCAUCUGAGUCAGUGUCAAGUCAAUUUGAAUCUGUUUAGGUCAAUUUUAGCCCUAGGGGCAUUUUGGUCAUUUCGCACAAAAUUUCGGCAUAGAGAGGUUACUUUGAAGUACCUCAUUUAAGCCAUUGAUUCGUUUUAGUCCGUUUUGUCAAUUUUAUUUUUUUUGUUUCACUUUACGUUUGUCAAAAUUACUUUUUUUAGUUCAAUUUUAUUUUUAAAUCACAAUUUAGUCCAAUACUUUUUAAAAUUGCAUUUUUAAGUCCUUUUUGUUAAUUGCAGUUUAGUCCUUUAUUUUUUCUUUUUUGCAGCAAAGUCCAAUUCCAGGUGGCAGUGUCCCAUUGGGUCUCAAAUACAAGUGGCAGCCUAUAAAAGGCGCAUUCAAUGCACAGUCAGAAAAAAAGUCAGAAAUUCAUCACAAACAGAUUUCUUUUCUCUUUCCAUUCAGUUACAAAUCAAAACAGAAAAAUCAUAGAAAAUCACCAAGAACAAAAACCCUAGAAAAUUUUCCAGAAUUGAAAUUCAUCACAGUUCUCAGUGAUUCAUUGGAGAAUCAUCAUCAUCGAACCGAAUCCUUCACAAUUCUAGUGCGGAUCCGUCACCAAUAGCAACGAAUCCAAGCACGAUCGCGAAGGAUCCGAAAGUUUGAGAAGAAGAGGGAAAGAACCGAUUCGGACCAGCAAAGAGAAAGAGAGAAGAACCGAUUUAUUUUCGGAUCCAAGCCAGAGAAUCAACAAACCGCACCAACAAUCAAGUUUUCCGAAGAUCUUGUUCAAAAUCUCCAGUCAAAAAUCACAGGUAAACACGUGAAACUCAUCUUUCUUUCUCAGAAACGGUAACAAACACGAAUCAAACACAGAUUUGCAACUUUCAUUCAAUAAAACACUAAAAAGAAUCAAGAAAAAUCUUUUCAAAACCGCGAACAAAAGUGUAGAUCUACAGAGAUUUAGACCUCGUGUGAGAAAACCAGUGCCGGAUUCGUGUUUGCGACCAAAAAGGAUAUCUAAAAAUGUGAAAAUUUUUGAAAACGGAGAAGUUUGUUCAACUCCGGCGGCGGCGCCGCCACCCUUGGGUGGCCGGCCACCGCGCCGGAAGAACAAGCUUCACCGGAGAAGAUGAAGACUCAUCUUCCUCCUUGAGGUUUCCGGCGAGAGAGGGAAGAGAGAAGUGGGAGCCUCUCUCACUAGGAUGAGAGAAGAGAGAGAAGGAGAGGAAGAGAAUGAGAAAAAAACCGGAUUCCCCCCUUUAUAAAGCCAGUGAACCGGACCGGUUCAGGACCGGUCCAACCUCCUUCAUUCCUGGCCGUUGGAUCUAGGGUUUCUUACCCUGGAUCAAUCCAACGUCUCCUGUGCAACCUGAGUUUUGUGAGUUGGGCCUUUGGUUUGGGUUUUGUUCAUUUACGUUUUUGUUUAUUUUCCUGCUAUUUGCACCCUAUUUCUUUGCUGUUUGAACCCCUGCAUGCUUAAAAUUUUCUCUAAAAAUCUCCAAAAAUUAUCACAUGUUUCUUGAUGUAUUUUCAUGACUUUUUUUGUAUUUCUCAAUGGCUUUAAAAUGAUAAAAAAGGCGUGUGAUAUUUUUUGGUUAAUUAGUGUGUUUAGACAUAAACUUGUGCAUUUUUUAGUAGCAUAUCCCUCAUGAAUUGUUGACAUGUGAUUUGAACUUUUGGAAUGCAAUCUUGUGAUAAAUUUGUUGCUGAUUAUAUGUUUGAUUUGCUGCUUGUAUGUCUCAAUCUCAUCUCCCUUCUUGGCUUGCAAUUAGUAUGCAUUUUUGCUAAGUAAAUAAAGUGCCACAAUAUUUUGAAAGUGUGCUAUAAACUUUAGCAUCAAAUAUGUUCCAUUUUUUUUCACAUUAUGGCACAAAACAAGACUUCUAAAAAUGCCAUGAUGAAGGGAUUAUGGGUCAUAUCUAUGCUAGAGCCUUAUGACCAUUCUCAUGCACAUUUUGUCACUUUACUAGUUUCUUUUAUGUCUUUCCCCUUAAUAUUUUUUGUGUGCACUCCUUUUAUUCUAUGCUUUAUUUUACUAACUAUUUCAUCUCACGUGCCAUACAUUUCAUAGCAUUUCACUACCUCCCCCACUUUCUUUAGCUUAGCAUUUAUUUUUGCAAGUUUUAAUUCAUUUAGUGGUGUAAUUUGUUAUCAUUGGUUUGUAGCUUGGCAAAGGGGCCAUAGAAUGUAUUUAGGCGAUUUUUGUAAUAUGGACUAUGGACACUAUGGCGCACCGACACGCACACACUCACCCUAGAUGUAUGCUUAGGAUUGUAUGCAUAGAUGUAUGCCUAGGAUUGCAUGAUUAGAUGAACGCUUAGUUUCGAACUUAGAGAAAAUCCAAUUUUUUCCAAAAAAUAUGCAAAUAAAUUCACUUCAAAUAUUUUUAUGAAAAAUGGAGUCAAAACUCCAAUAACUUUUCCCUUUUAUUUUCUUAAGUAAAAUUUCUAACAAAUUUUAACUAUACUUGGACUUCAUUUUGAAAAAACUAACUCCACCUCACUUUUUUCCAAAUCUCAUGCCCUUGAGGCCUCUCAUCUCUAUUCUUCAAAAUCUCUUUUUCAAACUUAAAAUCAACCAACAAAAACAAAAACCAUUUUUUGAGAAUGAACUACGAUCGGUUUUGAUCCCUUAAAAGGGUACGUAGGCAAUGAGUCAAAACUCCUCCAAGCCGAAAUAAAAUCAAAUUCUACUUCUUCUCACCCCCAUUCUCCACUAAUCAUACCUUCUUUUUUACAAAUAAGCAAUAAAACUAAAGCGUAGAAAUAAACUUAGGAGAGCGGUUCUUAUGGAAUACCAUAAUCGCUUCGGGUGCCUAACACCUUCCCGUAGCGAAAAUGACCCCCGAAUCUAGAACUUUUUAAGGGUUUUUCUCCUUUCACCCUUCCCAAGAAAAAAGAGAGAUAUCAACGGUCGAAAGGUUCAAGUCCAAUUAAUGGCUUGGCACCCAAAAACCAUGAUAACACUAUCCAUCACAAAUAUUCAUCUUUUCUUGGAAUGCAAUAUGUGACAAUUGUCUUUCUAAUAAAAGUUCAUUUUACUUUCUUGUUAUUUACUUUUAUGUUUUCUCUCUUCUUCUCCUUGUCUACAAUGAACAUCAGUGAGUAGACUUCUCUUGUCUUGGGAUUGUUGGAUAAGUCUAAUGACAUAAUCCUAAUCAAACCAAGCUUUAAACCUUAAUCUUAUGUAACCCUAAUUCCUUAUCUAAAAUCACCGCUUUAACAUGGAUCAACCAUUAUCAAACUGUGGAAACGAAAGUGGAGGGUUUGAUAAGUGUUUAUCCAUCAUCUCAAAUAUGAAUUCAUAAAACGAAAGUGGAGCUUUGAUAUUCGAACAAGUGAAUUUAGACAAAGAUUGUAAAGGCAGCGAAAUAGUCUUUACAAUCUUUGAGGCAUAUAGUUUCGAUCUUCAAGGGAACUAAUAAUGAUCAAGUCAGCGAAAUAGGCUUGGUUGUUAGAGGAACCAAAAUCUAAUAGUAAUCAAGUCAGCGAAAUAGGCUUGGUUACUAGAGGAACAAAAGAGAAACUGUCUUGAGAAAUUAGGUCUAACAUAAGGUUAUAAGUUUAAUAGUUUGGUUUGUGAAGGACUUGUCAUUAGGAUGAACCAAUAAUUCCAAGGCUUUUAUCUUUUCUUUUAUUUUCUUUUAACUAAAAACCCAAACUUUAAUCUCAAACUCUAAUCUAAUCAUUAUUUAAAGUUAAUUGAAUUCAUAACUCCCUGUCGGAACGAUACUCUUAUUUUACUACUUCGGUAAGAUCGUGCACUUGCGGUUUUAUCCCAUCAGGAACUAGCAUAUAAUCAAAAGGGUUAAUUAAGUUUUUGGUCCCUAUAAAUAUUUGCAGUUUUGUUUUUAGUCCCUAUAAAAAUAAAUCACACUUUUUAGUCCCUACAAAAUUUUCUGUUUGUGUUUUUAGUCCCUGUUAAAUUAAAAUUUGUUUAAUUAUGCUUAAACUUCUAAAUUUUUGAAAGAAAUUUUACAUACAUGUUCAUAACAUCGUAAGACACUCUUUUGUAAAAAAAAAAAAUUAGUUUUUUAACAUGUAAUAAAUUAAAUAUGAAUUUUUCUAAAAACAAAAUUUUCAAGAUUAUAUUAAUGAAAAUUUGGACCUAAUAAUAAAAUUUUAAGUUACUUUUUUGCGGAGGAACUUUGUAUAAUAUUCUAAGCAAGUAUGUGAAAAAUAUGUUACAAAUUUAAAACUUUAAGCACAAUUAAUUAAGCAAAUUUUAAUUUUACAAGCACUAAAAGUAUGUGUUGAUCCCUGUUAAAUUGAAAUUUGUUUAAUUAUAAUUAAACUUUUAUAUUUUUAUAUGAUUUUUAACAGACAUGUUAAAAACAUUAUAAUAAUCUCUUUUAUUAAAAAUUAGAAUUUUUUAACAUGUAAUGAAUUAAAUAUAAUUUUUUUAAAACUCCAAAAAUUCAUGAUAAAACUAACGAAAAUUUAGACCUAAAAGUAAAAUUUGGACCUAAUUUAUUGUGGCGGAACCUUUUAUAAUGUUUUAAACAAGUAUGUAAAAAAUCAUUAAAAAAUUUAAAAUUUUAAGCAUAAUUAAACAAAUUUUAAUUUAACAGGGACUAAAAACACAAACGGAAAAUUUUGUAGGAACUAAAAAGUGUGAUUUAUUUUUACAAACUAAAAACAAAACUGCAUAUAUUUUAUAGGGACCAAAAACUUAAUUAACCCUAAUCAAAAUACCAUAAUAUAUUAUGAGUAUGAUUCCUUUCAGGUUGCAUUAAUCUGAGCCGCUUGAAUAUUCAUAAUGUUUAUUUGUAGACUAAUUAGUUGGGGAAUUGUACCUAUGAUAAUUGCUAGUUUUCUAGGUUUUUAACAUGAUUUGUGUGAAUAUGCAAAUGAUUGGGAGUUUUAAUUUGAUUUUCGAUUGAUGUCUGAUGUUCACAGUGAAUAUUUUACAGUGUUGUCAACCAGUGGCUAUAGCGUAGUGGAAUUUUAAAAAAAAUCACUCUUGUUCCACAAUACGUUAUUUGGUAUAAAGUGUUGCCAAACAGUGGCUAUAGCUGACACUGUAGCGUAGUGAAAUUUGAACAAACCUCUAUUUCCUGCGAUCCGCGAUUAACAACACUGUUAUUUAACUAGUUAUACGGUUCAUCGACAAUUUUUUAUUUUUUUUGACUAAUUGCAAAUGCUAAUUACUAGUUUGCUGAGUUUUUUUAUGAUUAAUUGCAAGUAACUAGAGUUCUAAUUAAAUUCUCAAUAGAUGUGUGAUGUUGUUUACAAUGAUUAUUUAACAAGUCAUACUGUUCAGGGACAGUAUUUUGAUGACUCUGAGCCGAUUUUCCCGGGGAACAAACCCACGUCAAGGUCUUGGGGCUUGCAUGAGAGCAAUGUUCUUAGAAGUUUAUCAGCCGAUAAGGAGAGAGCAAACAAUGUUGCUAAGAUCAAAGUUGCGGUAUGCUUCUUCCCGUAUGUUUCCUUUGCAUGCUUUGUUUCUUAUUAUCCAUGAACAUGGGUUUUUACUUUAGUUCCUUUGGAAUUUGCAUUCCGUUUUGGUUAAGAACGCUGCUUAACGUUGCAGGUUAGAAAGAGACCACUAAAUAAAAAGGAAAUAGCGAAGAAAGAGGAAGAUAUUAUUACCAUAGAUUCAAAUUUUCUCACAGUUUGUGAAAGAAAACUCAAGGUGAGUACGUGAUAGGUUGACUUAAAAUCUCUGGAUUGAAAGUGUUAAAUAUAACUUAUAGUUAUAACUAAUCAGGCGAAAUAUAGACUACUUAGUCAAUGUUUGGAUUUACAUUUGAAUUGUCUUUCUCGCGUCUCAUUGCUGUUUGGGGCUGAUUCUUUGACAUACAAAUUAGUUUAUACUGCUUUUCUGGAAGUUAGCAAGCAAUUCUCUGACAUACAAUUAUACAAAUUACUAAGUACUUUUCACCAGAUAACUCUAAAACUAGCCAAACUACUUAACAUAAUAACAUAAUAAUAUCUUUUUGCUUUUCACUUUGAGACUUAAAAGUUUCAAAUUCAAACCUCCAUGUAUGUAGUACCUGCUCGAUUUGUAUUUUCAUUCGUGUUUUGAUUAAUCACUACAAAAUAUCUUUUUGUUUCUACUUUAUUUUCUGGUUUGAAGGAUUUGUAAUAAAAAUAACGAUUCACCAUUUCCUGCACGAAUCCUUGAAAAUAGUAAAUAAAGUGAUCUGUAUCUAAUCAAAUCAAAUUAUCAAACUGCAUUGUACAUUACAAUUAGUGUUAGAGAUAAUAUUUCAAUCUAAGGUCAACAUUUUUCUAAUGCAUAUACAUAUAGUUUACCGCUAAAAUAUUCUUCUUGUAUAUAGAUGGAUGGAUGUUGUACAUUUGUUCUUAAUUGUGUUUCCACGUUACCUAUGUCUGCAGGUUGACUUGACAGAAUACGUCGAGAAAAUAUGACAAAUAUAUGAUUUCAUAACUCAUAAGGUAAGAAGUCAGAACCAACGACCCCCACGAGGAAAUAAUAUUUUCAUGCACUUUUUCAAAAUUUAUUUAUUUGGAUUGAGUUAUCUUUCUCUCUCUCUAUUUUUCUUUUGCUCACAAUCCAAUUAAAGCAUUGUUAUCUAUAUAUUUUGAAGUUACUUAAAUGCUCUCUUCUCUCCAUCACCUACUCACUCAUCACGUUGACCACUCAUCUUUCUCUUCAAUUCUUGGCUGUUUGGAAUUAAAUGUAUCUAUCUACCAAGUACAAAAAACUAUCCAAACACUCUUUUAUAUAAUGGCUGAAACUUACCACUCCUCACCUCUUGUACUCAUAUUGAAUCUCAACAACAAACUCUUCACUAAAUUCCCUUUGAGUGUUGUUCUUCCAACAACGAGUGCUUCUCAUAAAGAAUAAUUUUUUUUAACAAUAUAUUGGCUCUUUGAUCACUAACACUCCUUUUCUUUUCACCCCUAACAUCACCAUCUCAAUUGAAAACCUUCUCAUAUACCACCAAAUACAUAGUGACUAAAAACCAAGAAAACAACCAUGUAUUUUAUCAAGAAAUUAAGGUAUGUAUAUAUACACACAUAUACCAUAUAUUCUUAGAUGUAAGACACACACAUAUAGAGGCACACAUGUAAUAUAUUCUUGAGUAAUAAUCCGAUUUGUAUUUUUAACAUCCUUUCAUGCAUUUUUUUACCCCGCAAUUCACACCUUCAUGCAUUUUUUUACAUCUUUUCAUAUAACUUUAUUAUUUUGUAGUCCCUUUCUUCUUAAUGUCUUUCUUGGUCCCUUUCCAUAUUUUUCCCACGUUUAAAAGCAUAUGUAAACAUAAGCUGAAACAAGUUAAUUAUUAUCUUCUUAAACGUGAUUUGUCUUGUUGGUGCAGAAACUCACCAUUCGCAUGAAGUGGGAGCUGCCUUUGGGCAUGGGUGGAAUUGGAAAAUAGGUAAUGAAUUUUGUUUUUUACUUCCUUUUUCUUCCUAUAGAAAUAUGUUGAUAUUGGCUUCAAAUUUGUGGUCUGGAAGAACAGAGAAAUCGUGACACGAUUUUGGCAUCGUGACACGAUUUCAAGUGGCCGUAAGUUAGUUUGCAGGACGCCAAAUCGUGGCACGAUCUUGGGAAAUCGUGACACGAUUCAGAAACUUGCUCGUUAAGUAUCACUGAUAAGGACUUGUCUACCUUGGGUCCGUUGCAAAUCGUGACACGAUCUAGGGAAAUCGUGGCACGAUUUCUUCAGAGGGAGACUAGUAUAUAUUGUGUUCUUGUGCUUUUUUGAAGAAGAACUUAAGAGAGCUUGUAUGAGCUUAGAGAGAGAACUUGGAUAGCAAAGGAGGGAACCAAUGGGUUGAGUGUCUUUGUUGAGAGUGUCUCUUGGGUUGGGAAAAACAUUGUAAUCACCUUGGGUUUUAGGGUUCAUAUUGUGAGAGUGGGGAAAUAUCAAAGGGUAGAAUCUAGGGUUUGUUCAUGUGUAAAGCUUGAAGGCUAGAGUUCUUGUAACCUUUUGUAACACUUUCUCAUAUUGGAUUGGAGAGCUGCUCUCUCCCCCAGAUUAGGCCAUAUUGGCUGAACUGGGUCAACAAUCUUCUCGGUGUUUUGUUCUUCCUUUUAUCGCUUAUCUUGUUUUGCUUUGGUAUCUCUUUGUGUGGUUUUGCUAUACACUUGUCUAGGGCGGCUUUGUUGUUGUUUGCUUGGAGACCAUUUGUUCUCAUUGAUUACCACUAUCACUUGCUCCACACAUCAUUGUUUAUUUCAUUGGUGUGAAGAUUUUUGAACCGGAUUCACAACAAAAUAUAAAUUUAAUGUUUAGUUAAUAAAUAAAUUGUUUAGAUGACUUUCCUUCCAAAAAAAUGUUUCGAUGAUUUAGUACACUACAAGAAAUCACCAUAUCAUUUAAAUUUGAUUGUUUUAAAUCAAUACUACUAAAUCAAUACUACAUAAUUUUAUUUCUUAUGACAAAUAUGCUAGGAGGUUACGUCGGGAUCCGUUUAUUAACGAGCUUCACGACGAAACGCACAAAAAUAAGUCCGGCCAAUAUUUUGAUGAGCGUGCUAGGAGAGUGCAGGUAAUCUUUAUUUAACCUGGUAUACAGGGAUGCUCUAAUUAUAUGCUCACAGAAUCAAAGUGCAACUGAGAAAAUUAUUAUAAAAAAAUCCAACUUAGAGAAUAAACAAAAGCCAAAAGGAAACAAACAGUAAGUCUUCCUGAAUGAAUUAAAACUGAUUAUCAAACCCUUGACAUGAAUUUACCCAUCAUAUACCAAUAUUUACCACCAAUAGUUGUGAAUUGUAUUGAGUUGCUGCCAUUUUAAUAGAGUCUCCAAAUCAACUACUAGGAAUGAAUACCCAAAUUUUGAAUUAGGACAGAUUAAGUGAAACGCACCGUUUCAUGUUUAACAUAAUAUAUAAUAAAAUAAUUGUACAAAAAAAAAUAUGACAAUAAAAAAAAAAAAAAAAAUUAGAGAAGGACCGAGAACCUUCUUCAUUUUUCUUUUCUUAUUCUACCUUUCUCUUUCUCCCCCGUAUCAUUCCUUCUCUGUUCUCCACCUUUCCUCUUUUCUUUACAUUUUUAUUUCUUCCAAACCACCAAUUCCUCACCAAAUCAAACACCCACAAGAAACACUACAUAUCUGAGCUAAGUUAUCUCAUGACACAAGUGUUAUUUGGUAGCAGGCCCGUUCCUAGAGUUUUACGGGCCUUAGACAUAAUAUAAAAAAAGGGUCUUUAUAUAAUGCAUCAUAAUUUUUUUAGCUCACUGUUGUGUUUUUUUGCUUUUCAUUUCGUUUUUUUAUUUCGCUUUUCACUACAAAAUAAAUGUUUUUUUUAGACAACAUCUGAAAAUAAAUUAAAUAUUCUAUAUACACCAAAACAAAAUAAAAAUACCGUAGAAGUAGAGAAAAAUAGCAUAUGUGAAGUAGACUGAAAUUUUAGCACCCUAUUUUCAACUAAAAUAGAAUUUGCUUUGUUAUGAAAAUUAUCUCAAUUUCUUGGAUAAUAAAUAUCGUCGAUAUUUUUAAUAUUAAUGAAGCACAUAAUUAGGAACAAAGGGCCCAAAAAAAUCACCAAUUUCUUCGAUAAUAAAUUUUUGAGCAUAUUAUCAAGAACAACCAAAUUUUUUUACAGGAGGGUGUAUAUAGAAAUUUUUGUGUUACAUGGGAUAUAUAUAGCAAAUCUCACUAAAAAGGCCAAAAAUACUAACAGAUGUCAGCCCAUUCCUUUAUCAUGUCAAAGUUUGGGCCUUUGCAGAGAAAAUUUCUAUAUAUACCCCCUGAAAUCCAAAUAUUUCUAUAUACACCCCCUUACCUUAAAAUUUUUUUAGACCCCCUACCGGCAUGGGCCCUAGGCCGUCGCACUCGCGGCCUAUGCCCUAGGGCCGGCCCUGUUUGGUAGAAUUUUGGGGGUUAGGGUUGUGCUUGAGGAAGAUGAAAAAUAUCCAUUUUAUGGAAGUGGCUCACUGAGACUUUUGGAGGUAUAUUUAUCAACUUACAAUGCAAUUGCUGCAUAUUUAUAUGAUUAGUUUGUUAGGAACUAAUAGAAAUUAAUUUUUAGGAUUAGAGUAUAUGAUUUGAGGAUUUUUGGUUACCUAUUGUUAAAGAAGUAGUAGAAUGAGUUUCUAAUUCAUAAGAAAAUAUUAUUGAUGUUCAGAUAUGACGCCAGACGCUUCACAUGCUUCUUCAGGAGUGGUUAGAGCGCAAACAUAGUUGAUUCGUCGUAACUGUGAGUUGAUGACGAUCAUUAUCACUUAUUUUAAUUAUCGCUAUUAUUGAUAUUUUUGUGAUUUUAUAAGUUAAAGUAUUUCUCAAAACGGGAAGCACACCCUUUGAACAUUUUUCUUAUCGUUGAAAUUGAUGUUUAAGGUCAUGAAUAUUAUUAUGGUCUCUGUUUUGAACUUGUCUAUGAUUUAUUGAGCAAAUGUUUUGCAAUCAAGAUUUGAUUACAUAUACUAUGAUGUGAGUUUUGAGAUAUGGAGAAAUACGGUUAUGAGAAAUAUGUUAUUGGUUUGAAAAUUAUUUUGGUACUAUUAUAAACUCCAUUUAGAUUUGAGUUUUCGAUUGACAUAUGUCUUAUGAUUUAUAAGUAGUGGAUUUAAGAAUUGAAAUUUAUUUCAUGUAUCUUGGCACUAAUUUUCAAUGUUGUAAAGCAUGGUUUAAAGUAUGCGCUUUGGAUUUGGAUUUGAAAUUAAUAUGUACGCGAUUUGGAUUUGGAUUUGAAUUAGGAUUUACUUAUGAUGAUAAGUAGUAGACUUUCGAUUGUGUUUUGAUGAACCUAUAUUGACAUAAAUUUCAUUAUGUUCUGAAAUAUGGUUUUAGACAUGUGUUUUAAGAAUGGUGUUUUGAAAAUUACUGUUAUAAUGACGACGACCUAGGUGCACCUAGUAUGUGAUUUCAAUUAGGUAGAGUUACCCCAUUAGAUGGAGCCGCCCCUAUGGAAAGGCCGCCAUUAGGAGGAGAGGGCUAUCAAUGAGAGGUAAACUCUCUAAUUGAAAAUGUUUUACACUUUGUUUUGAGUCGAGAGAAAAGAGCUAUCCGUUAGAUGGAGCCGCCCCAUGGAAAGGCCACCAUUAGGAGGAGAGGGCUAUCAACGAGAUGGAGUUAGUUCUCGAUUCACCCAUUUGAUUAUUUUCACUAAACUAGGAUUUCUAUACUUUAUUUAAAGUUGAUUAUUUUGGUAUUAUGAAAUUGAAUAUGGUUUUAUAUUUUCUUUGAAGUGAUUAUUUUGAUUCCAUUUCAUUAAGUCCGACUUUUAUAUUCUAUUUGGAUUUGAUUAUCUCGAUUUCUUUUCAUUAUAAUCGAUUUCUAUAUUUUCUUUAAAGUUGUGGAUUUGAUUUCACCUCUUGACGACAUUGAAAUUCUGAUAGUCUUAUUUGGUUUGAUAAAUUUACAAAGUUUUAUGAAUUUUCAUGGUACACUUGAUUGUGAGUUUAUUAUAUUUUUAUACGGUUACUAGUCUUGUAAAUUAAAAAUUAGAUUUGAGAAGAAUAAAUAAUCGUGCCCUUGUGUGUUUCCCUUCUAGUUGGUGGUGGUUGUUGUCUCUCACUAAGUCCUUGCGACUUACUCUUUCUCUUUCUAUUUUUUUCCAGAUUUUCAAGCAGCUGAGUAGAAAGCUGCUAGUAGACUCGAAGCUCAACGGCGUCACAUUUUGUUGGUAGGCCUCCUUGAUGGCCGACUCUUUUAUUUAUGUAUAUUUUAGUGUCAAUUGAUGUAUCUGCAGCUAUUUGGGAGUCUAUGAUGUUUCUUUUUUGAGUUGUACAAAUAGUAUGAAAAUGAAGAUGUUAUUUAGAGAUUCUGGCUGAUAGAAUACGUUUUUAAAACAGGAUUUACAUCUUGGAAAUGUUGAAAAUACAGAGGAAACUCUGUCGAAAUUUCAGUGAAUAUUUUUUUUUGAAAUGAAAUUCAAAUUGGAAAUUUUUAUUUAUUUAUUAUAGUUGUCAAGUUUGAUUAAUAGGCUUGCCGGGCUAGAAUGAUCUAGUUCGUGCGCCGGUCACGAUAUUGAAUUUUGGGUCGUGACAUUAAGUUUACAAGCUGCAGCAUAAAACUCCCACAUUGGAGAAUCUCGAAAUAAACAAAGUAACUUUUAGAUAAAAAAAAUAAAAAAACAACGUUGAGCCACUAAACUAAUUAUCGGCCUUAUGAUUAAAAUCAAAUGUUGUAUCUAUUCUUAUCUGUUUAAUAUAUGAUAUGUAGACUUUUAGCUCAGGUGAUAAUAAAUUAGUUUGUUAAGGGGGAGAGUCCAUCACAUUGGCUUCCUCUUGGGACUCUGAGGCAUCGCCCAUGUGUUGAACUACACCAUAGACUUGGAGCACCCCCACCAAAACAAGUUUGAAUUCUUUAUAUCUUUCGGUUGUUGAACUUGCUUCAGUUGAUUUCUGUGAAUAGUUUUAUCUUCCUAUUAAUUUAGAAUUAGGGAUUACUUGCAAUUAUUAGAGAGGCCUCUUUUAUGCAAGUUUGUUAAUCUAACAAAAAGUUAUGCUGAUGAAUAAUUCACCCCAUGGCAAAGCAUUCACUAAAGAAAAUUACAUUUUUAACAUAUUAUAAUCAAUUAUAUGUGUAACUUUAGAAAUAGAUAUGAUUAAAGUCUUACAUUUUUAAUGAUAUAACGAUUAUGAUUGAUUGAUAAUGCUAAAUUGAAAAGUAAAACAUGACUCAUGCUGAAUGUUAAUGUAAGGCACAUGUUUAUGACAGGGGAUUUUGCAUUAAGAACGAGAAGAAGGAAACUAGGUUAUUAACGAAGCAAUGUACUUUUUUAUAGUAAAAAUGAUUUGUCUUGAAAUCCACUAUUUGAAUAGAAAAAACAGAGCAUAUGAUACUGCUCAUUGUUCAAAUAGGAACAUAUUUCCAAUUAUACGGUAAUAUCAAGAGAAUAUGAACAAAUGAUGAAAAAGUAGUGGAAAUUGUGAAUUUGAAGAAGCCUUGAUGAUAAAGGAUAAAUUGAUGUUGAUGAUGAUACUGUUGGUUAUUGUUUAAUGUUGGAUUACUAGACUAUAAAGCAUAAACUAGGUGUGAAUGAUGCAUACACAUUGAAUACUCUUCGGUUGUGUUCUUAAAUAUUUUGUUAUUAUUUGAACAGGAGGAGUAUGACCGGUAGCUUGCUGAGGCUAUUUCUCAAGGGUCUACUAUUAAUCACUCUUUGACCUUCAACACUUGGAAAAAAGUUGUUGGCGACAAGAAGAAAGGAAAGCUCUAUGGUCUUGGUAACUUAGCCGCUAACUACCGGAAGGGCAGUGUUGCAUCAACCCUCAGACUAACCCUCAAUCAGGGUGAAGGAACCUCCCAGCAGCCUGAGCUGACGCCAGAGAUGCGGGAGCUUAUUCAUAGAUUGACACAAGAGCAGUUCACACAGCAGAUGGAAAGUCAAGCAUCCCUUGUGCAAGAUUUGAUUAACCACCAAAGAUUAUACGAGGAGCAGCUGGCUCGGCUUACGCAAGCACAGGCUCAAGCUCCCUCCCACACUGGAGCGCCGGUUUUAAGUUCGAAUGUUGAGCCUUAUCCCGUAUAUGAGGAGGAUGAUGUGGACGAUGUGCAUUAUGUGGAUGAUGUUGAGGAUUGAUGUUUUAGGUCCUUUAUGAUAUAUUCUCUUUUGGCUUUUAUCUAUAUAAUUUAUAGGUCUGUAAUACUUGGGGAAAUUUCUUAUACUUCCUGACACAAUUUCUACCUAUCUGAUACUUAUGGUGUGUAGUAUUUAGUACAAUUUUAAUUUCAAUGCUCCUAGACAAUAUUUUAUAUUUUAUGUGUGCUAUUACUUUAAUUUGCAUUGUUAACUACUUUUAAAUUGUUUUAUAAAAUUAUUUUAAUUGCCAAUUAUUUUUAUUAUUAAAACAAUUUCUAAAAAAAAAACAAUUUAAAAACGUUUAUUUUAAUUAUUUUAAUUAUUAAAUUUUAAUAUUUUAACAAAUAAAAAACGUUUUUUAAUUUUAAUAGUCAUUCAUAAUUUGCCAGUGGUUAACCCCUGGCAAAGCGCCUAACAUGUUUCUGAAAAGGACUGGCGUGGCACUGACACGGUCUGCAAAGGCCUGCAUUGACCAGAAAAUUCUGCACUCUAUUAGACACAUUUUUCCAGGGGUUAAGCCAGGAUUUUUAAAUCAAAAAAAUAUACAUAUGUUAUAUUUAUUUUUAAAUCAAAGACAAUAACGUAUAUAAAUUGAAAAAAAAUAUAAUCAUAAUUCAUAAUAUAGGUUCGUUAUUAUGUACAAAUUCAAGGAAAUCUAAAAGUUCUUUGUGCAUUGAACUGAAAAAGUUAAAUGAUUUGCUGUUUAACUGCUUCAAGUACAACCACUUAACGGUACUACACAUAUUGUCUUCAAUUUGGUUAAAAAAUUAUAGCAGUUUUAUGUUAUACAAUUAUGAAACACAAACAUUAUUGUUGGUUCAAAAAAAUGAUAUUAGUAUAAUGAUUUUGUGACAAUGUUUGUGUUUGUUCAAAAAAAGGAACACAAACACAUUAUAUUUUUAUUAUUUUUGACCAAAAAAAAAAAAAAAGACUCAUAAAAAGUGGCAUCAAAUAUUUGUAUAAUCAAUUUGUUAGGUUCAAUAUUGCAUUUUCAUUUACUUUUUACUUUUUUCAUUUUUGUGUUCCAGAUUUGUUUGAUCACUACAACACUAUAUAGCAUAUCAAAGAAGCAAGUAGAGACUAGAGCACUUAUUACGAGUAACAUUUAGAUGACAUAAUAUUUGGUGACAUUGAUGAUAUUUGCUGACCAAAAUAUUACAAGUGAUUUUUUUUUUUAUCUUUUUCACAAAUAUCGUGAAAUUUUGAUUGAUCAAUGUCACUAAAUGUUAUGUCACCAAAGUGCUACCCACUUAUUCGUGUGCUAACUCAAAAAAUUUACCCCAUAUGAAUUUUGUAAUGAACAAGGAAUCUGAAUCUUGCCAUGCAUUAGUCUUAUCAAAGAAAAAAGUGCAAUGCAAGUGCCAUGCAUUAGUCUCAUAAGGAAUCGGAAUCUCGUGUCAUUUGAGUCAAAAGUUUGUCUUCUCAUUCAUUGUUUGGAAUCUCUUUAUUCAAAAUUUUCCUCCUUCAGCCUAUUUUGUUCUUUAUGCCUGUGAUACAUCAUUUCAACACAUAAUCUAACCUACAUUCAUAUGAGUAAACCAUCAAUUUGGUCUUUAUCUUUGUAAGUGAUUAUCAAAUUAGUUCAUAAUUUUAUUAAUAUUUUAAAAUAAUCAUUGUCUUUGUAGAAAUAUUUCUCCAUUAAAUUCCUCGUCGUGAAAAAAACAUAGAAACAUGGAUCUAAUCAAAAAAUAUUUGACAAUAUUUCAAAAUAAUAUCUGUCUUUAUCAAAAGCUUGUAUAAGUCUAAUUUGUCAAAAUAUUUAAAAAAAAAAAAUGAAGACUCAUUUCGUCUAAUUUCUCCGUAGACUAACGAUUUUGGUGCCAUUGAAAUAUUUUUAAGAGAGUAAAAUUUGCUCUGAGAUAUGUACUACAAUUCAAUUGUAGAGUAGUGGAUAUAUAUACUGAUAUUUUGGGGUAUGUUAAACUGAAAAACCAAUUUUUUUUUAGGUCACAAACAAUGCAAGUUGAGAGGAGCCAGAAAGCCAUGUGUUUUGAUUGGAGUUAAGAGAAGGUCGCAGACUACAUUGCGACAUGUCUUUUCCUGCAUGUAAAUGAACAGUUGAUUGGAUUUAACAAGGAAUGCAUGUGAAAAAAUAGUGUAGCUCUAUUGAAUUAAAUUAACAACAAAGAUCCAUGAAAUCCGAAUACAAAUACGGAUGCGGGUACGAUACGAUUUGAUAAUGAAAAUUAAUUUUUUGACAUAGAAUAUUUUCUAUUGACACAAGUAAAUGACCAAAUUACCCUCAGCGGUAGUUAACUGCCUCUGACAUAUGCGCCGGCAGUUAACUGCCGCUGGCUCCUCCAGAGGCAGUUAACUGCCGCUGGCUUUGAUGCUUUUUAUUAUGAUUUUACGCGUUUCGGUCGAAAAAUCAACAUAAAUCGAAACUUAUUCAGAAUUCUACGAAACUUCACAAACCCUCUACAUAUAUUUUUUUAGAGCUGUCUCCAAAAACCAUAUCAAAAUUAAAUUUUUAGGUCGACGUUUUGAUGUUUUGGUUUCUUGAGUUAUUGAUGCACUAAAAAUUCAUAUUUAAUUCAUCCGUUGUCGAAAAUUCUAAUUUUUUGCGGAAAAUGUUUGUUUUAUGUUCUUAAUAUGUGUACAAAAAAUAAUGAAAAAAUUUAACCUCUAUAUAACUUUUCCGGACGCGCAGUUAGAAAAAUAUUGCAAUUUUACGCGUUUCAGUAAAAAAUUAAAAACAAAUUGAGGAUUACUCGAAAUACUAAUAAAAUUUGAAGAUCCUCUAUAUGUAUUUUUAUGGAGGUAGCAGCUCAAAAUUCAAUUUUUAGGUUGAUGUUUUCGUGUCUUAAAUUUUAGGCGCGUUAAAAAUUCAUAUUUAAUCCGUCCCUUGUCGAAAAACUCAAAUUUUUUGUGGGAGAUGUUAUUUUUUUUGUUCUAAACAUGAGUGCAAAAAAGCAUAAAAAUGUUCAACCUUUAGGACACUUUUUCGGACUCGCACUUGAAAAAAAUUGCAAUUUUGCAUAAUUCGGUCGAAAAAUCAAAAUAAAUCGAGACUUAGUCGAAAUGCUACGAAACUUUAUAGACACCUCUAUAUAAAUACAUAUAGAUGAUGUGCAAAGUUUCGUAACAUUUUGAAUAAGUGUCGAUUUUUUUUUAUUUUUCAAUUGCGAUUUUCUGCGUUUCGGUCGGAAAAAAAAAUCAAGACUUAUUCGAAAUGUUAAGAAACUUUUCACAUCAUCUAUAUGUACUUUUAUGGAGGCGUCUGUAAAGUUUCGUAGAAUUCUGAAUAACUUUCUAUUUAUUUUGAUUUUUCUACCGAAACGCGUAAAAUUAUAAUAAAAAGUACCAAAGCCAGCGGGAGUUAACUGCCUCUAGAGGAGCCAGCGGUAGUUAACUGUCGACUUAUAUGCCAGAGGUAGUUAACUAGCGCUGGAGGUAAUUUAGUCAUUUACUUGUGCCAAUAGGAAAUAUUUUAUGUCAAAAAAACAAUUUUCUUUGAUAAUUACUAUAUGAUUUGAUAAUUCAUAGGUCAGUCAGUUCAAUAAACCCCCACUAGGAAAUAAUGCUAACAGAAAGAAAACAAACAUGAACUGCAUAUUAGCAAUGGACUUGUCGAUUGUUUUUGCUAACUCACCUCCCUCCCAUAUUUGUUGAAUGCCAAACCACAUAACCUGCUCUUUUCUAUAAUAAUUUUAAUAGUAUUGAUACCAUUACGGUUCAGAUUGUUUAUGUGAAAAUUGUUGCUAAAUGAGGUGAUCAAAAUUUAUUUAUUUGGAUUGAGUUGUAAUUUGUAGUUGUGAACUAACAUACUAUGAAUAAUUUUUACUAAAUGCUAUCAAAAUUCACAAUAGUGACACUACUACUACCUUUGGUUCACACUUUAAUCAGUUUGUUUGAGACUAUGGAAUUCAAGCUUUGAGAAAAAAAAACACCUCAAUAAAAUAAUUGAAACACAACAUUAGAUAUAAAUCAUUUAACUUCUUUAAAAAAAAAUAUAAAUUUUUAAAAUUUAUUAAGUUUUAUUAUUCGUGAUAUGUUAACAAGUGCUUUUAAUACAUUAUUUAUAACUUUAAAUACUACUCCUUCCGUUCUUAAAUAAAUGACCUAGUUGACUCUGACACACAUACCAAUGCAUAUGUUUUAUCUUUGAUAUCUUCAAUUCUCUAUUAAAAAAAAUUAUCAAAAUUUAAUAUUUUAAAAAUACUCAUCGAGACGAAUCCAACAACAUCUUACAUGAUAUUAUUUAUCUUUGUGAAUUAGUAUAAAAGUGUGGUUAAAGUAUGUCAAGUCAAUAAUGUAUAUUGUCAACUGGGUCAUUUAAUAAGGGACGGAGGGAGUAAGUUUUUAUCAAAAUUUAUGAAAUCAAUGCAUUGGAAAUUGGAGUUUUUGACUUUUUUAAAUAAUAAUUUCUUUUUUAUUAAUAAUCCUUAAAGAGUGUUUUGUGUCCUUGGGACACUCGUUAACAAGACUCUUAUUAUAUUCAUUUUUGUUCAAAUUAAAUUUAAACCUAAAUUUGAAAAAAAAAACGUAUUAUAUUCCCCGUACGUAGAGUACAAAAUAAAUGCAUCUAUCUACCUAUAUAUCCAAUCUUUAAUUUAUUAGUUGAGUUGUUUUUUAAAAAUAAAUGCAUCUAUCUACAGAGUACUCAUAAUUGAUUAGUUGAGUUGUUUGGAAUUAAAUGCAUCUAUCUAGCAAAUACCAAAAACUAUUUGUUCUCAAUAUUGAUAUUGAUUGCUUUAUAUAAUGGCAGAAACUUACCACUCCUCACCUCUUGUACUCACAUUGAAUCUCAACAACAAACUCUUCUUCACUAAACUCCCUUUUUGUGUUGUUCUUCCAACAACGAGUGCUUUUCACAAACAAUAAUUUGUUUUGUGAUCAUCCACUUUACCAGUUUUAAAAAUCACAAACACUCCUUUUCUUUUCACCCCUAACAUCACCAUCGAAAACCUUCUCAUAUACUACCAAAUACAUAUUGACUAAAAACCAAGAAAAAAAGAAUGUAUUUUAUCAAGAAAUUAAGGUAUACAUAUAGAUAUACACCAUAUAUAUUCUUAGAUGUAAGACACACUCAUAGAGGCAUGCUCACACGUCAUGAAUCAAGCAUUUGUGUGGACGUAGGCUUGAGUAGUAAUCUGAUUUGUAUUUUUAACAACCUUUCAUAUAACUUUAUUAUUUUGUAGUCCCUUUCUUCUUAAUGUCUUGGUCCCUUUCCAUUUUUUUCCCCAUGUUUAAAAGCAUAUGUAAACAUAAGUUGAAACAAGUUAAUUAUUAUCUUCUUAAACGUGAUUUGUCUUGUUGGUGCAGAAACUCACCAUGUGCAUGAAUCUCAUGUUGGAAGUGUGGAGCUGCUUUUGGGCAUGGGUGGAAUUGGAAAAUAGGUAAUAAAUUUUGUUUUUUACUUCCUCUUUCUUACUAUAGAAAUAUAAAUUGAGAAAUGUUAAUCGGUGCCCCCGGGGCACUAGUUAAGGUUACUAAAAAAAGAAUUUAUAUAGUAAUUAUUGCAUUGAAACUUGUGUAAUUAAUCCAUAAAUUGCAUUGAAACUUGUGUAAUUAAUUCAUAAAUAAGUCAACAAAAUUUCCUUUUAUGGAAAUAAAUUCCUUUUUUUGUAUGAUUAACUAGUGCCCUGGAGGCACCAGUUAGCAUGACGCAUAUAAAUUUCAUGUUUAGUUAAUAAAUAAAAUGUUUAGAUGAUUUUCCUUAAAAAAAAAUGUUUAGAUGAUUUAGUAAUUGUGUUUGGAAUAUCAAUUGAUGUCAUUAGUUUUUGAGUAAAUUACACUUCACUCUCCUCAAAGAUACUUGAAUUACCCUUCCCUCCCCUCUUAUGUUUAAAUAUACACUUUCCUCCUCUCUUUUUCAAAACAUAUUAGAAAUUUUUUCACUCUCCUCCCCUAAGAGAAGCUUGAAUUACAUUACCCUCCCCUCUUAUGUUAAAAUCUACGCUUUACUGUGUAAAAUUGCGAUUGUUCCUCUCCUUCCAAGUGGUCCACACACAAGCGAGCCAAAUUAACUGUAAAAAAAAAAGAAUGUGAAAAAUGUGGUAAACCCGUCAUAUGUUCAAACUUCUUAUAAGGGAGGGGAGUGUAUAUUUUAACAUAAGAGGGGAUGAGAGUGUAAUUCAAGCAUCUCUGAGGGCAGGGGAGUGUAAUUUACUCUAGAUUUUAAUAUAAGAGGGGAGAGGAAUGUAAUUCAAGCUUCUCUUAAGGGAGGGUAGUGAAAUGUUUUGAGUAAGAGGGGAGGGGAGUGUAAUUCAAGCAUCUUUGAGGGGAGAAUUUUUUUUUCUGCCCUUGUUUGUGUCCAAAAAUACAAAAAUGCCCCACUUUUGCAAAAAAUUGCACAAAUGCCCUACUUUUUCAGUUUUUCUGGUACCUUGCAACCCCCACUUGCGGGGUACCUUUAAAAAAAAAUUUAAAAAUUUUAACUACCCCGCAAGUCAAAAUUGGCGUGGUAUUUUUUGUUUUUUUUUUAAAAAAAAUUUAUUACCGCGCAACCCCCACUUGCGGGGUAUUAUUUAAUUUUUUUUAAUUUUUUUUUUAAUACCCGCAAGUCAAAUGACUUGUUUUUUUUUUGGUUUUUUUUUAAUUUUUAAAAUACCACUCUAAACAAAAAAAUAAUAAUAAACAAAAAAAAUACCACAAUAUCUACAUGUAUUAUUUCAUCUACUAUAAAUACUUCGUUUAAUUUUUCAAUUUAUCAUACAAUUUUAACUUAUAUUAAUAAUGUAAAUCUAGGCGUUGACAAAAAAGUAAUUAUAAUAAUAAUCAUAAUAUUUACAAAAUUAAAAACAUACGAAAUACAAUAAAUAUGAAAUAAAGACUAGAGUUCUACUGAUGUCUAAUAUUAAUGCAAUCUUUGCGGGAAUGACCAGGCAUCCUACAAAUGCCGCAUCUUCUCUCAGUUUCCACAUCGUCCAUUUCGGUCCUAAUGCGAGUAAUUGGUGGACGACCUUUCUUUGCCCUACACAUAGACUUGUCGGGAACCACCUUCAGUCCUUCAUAAUUAGGCCAAUAUGUCUGGUGGUGAACCACGUCGAAGUGGAUGUUGUAUACGGCGUAUACACACUCAUUCGUGAAUUUGUUAUCGACAAAAGUCUUGUAGUCAUGACAAAAGCUAGAACAAGCGGCAAUGACAUGUGAGCAUGGUAGGUGUAACGCUCUGAAUCGUCCACAAUCACACCAUUUAUUUUGCAGGUCUACCUUGUAUUCUCCCUUUGGUAAUCCUUCUCUAUGGUUGAUGGUUUCACGGACGGAAAAGGUAUACCGAUCCCGAUCAAACUGAGUGACAUGAUGACUGUUGGAUUUAAUCACCUCAUUCCUCAGAUAUUUCAUGUUGUUUUCUGAGAAUGGCUCACCAGAAUUUACCCUUGCCGCUGCCUCAUGUCCUCUUUUAGCAAACAAGGCCGCCAACCUGUAAUAUGAUGCUUUCACAAUAGCUGUGAUCGGGAGUCCUCGAAUACCCUUAUACACGUUGUUUUGUGACUCUACCAAGUUACUUGUCAUAUGGCCCCAUCGUCGACCAUCGUCAUGUGAUUGAGUCCACUUUUGUUUGGGAAUAUUUUCGACCCAUGCUAAAGCCUUUCGGUCUACAACAGCAAUUUCAGAACGGUAAUAUUCGAAUGUAGGGAUGUUCAUGGCGUAACCUGCAUUGUUUAGGAAAAAGUUAGAUGUGUCUUUUUAAACAAAUAAUAUGUCGAAUUUACGUGGAAAGAGAUAUGUUUUUUACCCAUGCCUUCAACUUUCUUCUUAAGUUCCCCAUCCUUGAAUGAUCUCAUAAAGUUUUGUGCAAUGUGUCGGACACAAUACACAUGGCUUGUCGGAGCACCGUGCCAUCCAUUCUGUGGAUCAUCAUACGCGCUCUUUAUCGACACAUGUCUAUCAGAAAUGAGGCAUAUGUUCUCCUGUGGGGUGACAUGCUGCCUUAGAUUCUUCAAAAAGAAACUCCAAGCCUCCUUGGUCUCGCCUUCCACGAUUGCAAAAGCAAUGGGAAAUAUCUUGUUGUUCCCAUCUUGCGCAACAGCUAACAACAAUGUUCCUUUGUAUUUGCCAUACAACCAAGUUGCGUCAAUUUGGACAAUGGGUUUGCAGAAUUUGAAACCUAAGAUGCACAGACGAAAGGCCCAAAAGAGACGCUUGAAGACAAUCUCAUUUACCACUUCUGUUGAUGGGACUGUUUGAAAAUCAAUUAUUGUUCCUGGCAAAUCUUUUUCCAUGACCAGCAACCACUGUGGUAGUUCUUGAUAAGACUCCUCCCAAUUACCAUAAAUUGAUUCAAUCGCCUUAUUCCUUGCUCUCCAUGCCUUUCUGUAUGAAACUGUGUAAUUAAACUUCUCUCGGAUGUGUGCAAUUAUAACCUUCACUGUAAUUGAAGUAUCCAUAUGUAGAAGUGACUUAACACUUUCACAUAUCACAUUGUAACUAAGUUUGUGAUGAUCUUGCGUCAUUUCUGUUGAGACACAUGUAUGAUCAUUCAUAUUGCCGAUCUCCCAUUUAUCAGUUUUUUUCCUCCACGAGGCCCGCAAUUUGAAACCACAUUUUGUAUCUUAACAUUUGAUGACAUACCUUUCAGAAUCUGAUUUUUUCACAAUAUAAUCCGUUGAUUUCUUCAUGUGAUAAAAUUUAAUUGCAAGAAUGCAAUCAUUUUUGUUAUGGAAUUGCAUCCCCGGCGCAAUACCUUGAUCGACCGGAAGAGCCAUUGAAUGAUAAAGUUCAGUUGAGUGGUCAUCAUUGACGUUGCGCAUGGACCUUGGUGGAUUGUAAGAAGCUCGGAUUGGUAAAAUUGGUAGUUGUGGCAGAUCGUCGUCUUCAUCUUCGUCCUCGUCUUCUUCGUUCUCAUCACCGUUUUGUGCAGCAAGGAGCUCUUCAUCAUCAUCAUCUUCAUCAUCUUGAACUUCAUCAUUUCGUUGGUCUUGUAAUUGGGAGGUGAAUAUAUCGAUUUCAGCGUUUAAAGUUUCGGGUUGUGUUGAACGGGAUGGUGUUUGAGAGGGAUGAGGUUGAGUUAUUCUUUGUGAUGGUUCGUACACAUUUUGUGACCACUGUGACUGAAAAGGUUGCGAUGAGGAUGCACCAUAAAUGGAUGACGUGUUGUAGUGUGGUUCGGACGAUGACGGGUUGUAGUGUUGGGUGCUAUAUUGUUGUUGUGGUAGACUUUGGUGUUGACUAGAACUUGAUGGGUAAUUUAACUCAACAUUAGAUGUUGGAUUCUUCAUCUCAAACAUAACAUAAAGCUCUAUAUAGGACAAAGAACUGUGACUUUUAUGUACGUUAAACAUAAACUCGACAUCGUCGUUAUCAGUUAUUCUUAACGCCUGGUAGUGAAUUGUGGUAGUUCCAACAAACAUGGGAUUCCGACAUAUAAUUUCAGACACAACCAUGUUAUCUCCGAGACAUAACUUUUCCACUAUUCUUUUUUUGAGAUGCAAGUAAGUACUAGCCAUGCUCACUUUAAAACCUUUGGUAUACUGACUUUGGAAAAAAAUGCCGGAUUCAUUUUGUUUAACUUCUCCAUUGUAGUACAUAAAAAUGUUUAUAUUUGGUGCCAUUGAAUGGUUUGAUGUUAAGAAAUGAGUAAGAGUAUGAAGUAGAGUGGUGUGAUACAAUUAUAACAGGUUCACCACUUUUAUAAUAAUGAAAUUGUGUAAAAAAUAAAACGGAAUGCUUCCUCACGCGCCAGCUUAGAGUACCACGCAGCUCCCACUUGCGGGGUAGCUGGCUCACGCGCUAGCUGAGAGGGCACCACGCGUGCUCCCACUUGGGAGGUAGGGCGUGCACGCGCCAGUUUAAUUGGCCCUUCAGAGAUAGCUGGUCGGUACAAAUAAAGCAUUUACCCUCCACGUGAUUUAGCAUGGUUUGGUCAUUUCAGUCAAAAAUUUUAUGCAGAAAAUAAUGCAUUUUUUGCAUGCAAUGGUCAUUUCAUGAGGCAAUAGAUGCAAUACUGUUGAACAGCAUGCUUCUGCUUUUACUUGCAAUUGUCAUUUCUACAUUUAUUUGAACACUGUUUGCAUGCAUGCAUUGCAGUAGUAACACAUGAUUUCUUCACUUCAAUUAAAAUACCACACUACUAUUUCAAUUUCUUUACACAUAGUUUAACAUUAUAAAUACCACAACCUUAUUCUUACUCUCCUCCCAUAUUCUUUUUAUAUCAAUCCUUUUCUUCCUUACUCACUCACGUAACAAAUCUUUUUCUUCCGUACUCACUCACGUAACAAAUGGCAUACUUGUGGUUGGAAAAUGAUAAUAGAUGUACGGAAGAACACAUCAGAAGAUGGGUAUAUAUGAAUAUUAAUUUGUUAAUUUUACUUACAUUUUUUAAAUUACUUAUUAUAUCUUCUCUUUUUAUUUUUUGUUAGGAUGCAGAGGGUGUACCUCUUGUCACUCGUACACGACAACACAUAGUACCAAGUCCUUUUAUUCAAGAUUAUCUACGUCAGGCUGGAUUUUUUGAGGUUUCUCAAAUAGGGCGUUACAAAAUUGAUAGGCACAUUGUAACCACUCUUGUAGAAAGAUGGCGGUCCGAAACCCAUACUUUUCACUUUCGAACGGGUGAGUGUACUAUCACUUUGGAAGACGUCUAUAUGUUACUCGGCUUACCUUUUGGAGGUUGAAUUGUUACGGCUCCUCCAACUCUUCCGUGGAAUCUUUGUGCUCAUUUGUUGGGAAUAACUCCUCCGACACACAAAACUGAUGGUUUUACUCUCUCCUUGUCGUGGUUAAAGAAUAACCUGGUCGAUAAUAACUUCAAUGAACAAUCUCCUCCGGAGGUAAAAAUACAACACACUAGGAGGUACCUACUAUACCUCUUUGGAGGGUUCUUGUUUCCAAAUACAACUGGAUUAUUUGUGCACACCUCUUGGUUGUCUUUGUUAAUGGAUUUUAAUGAAACAAGAAGAUAUAGUUGGGGAUCGGCAGUUUUGGCUUACCUUUAUCGUGGCUUGUGUGAGGCCUCACAUCCAAAUAUAAAAGCACUAAAUGGAUGUCAUUUCUUGUUACAAGUUUGGGGAUAUUGUCGGUUGAGUUAUAUCAUUCCGAGAAAUGAUAACCAUUCCAGUGGCCGCUAGGAUUAAAGUAAGCGUGGCCAAUUUUUUUUUUUAUUAACCGACUCACAUAUUCUCGCUUCUUAUUAAUAUUAUUAUUUGAUAAAUUAGCUACUAAUUUCUUUAUAUCAUUUGUUAGAUGGACAGGUAUAAGUUCAAGAUACUACGAGAAUCCAAGCCAUGACACUAUAUCUUACAGAAAAAAGUUUGAUGACAUACUACCACAUGAUGUAAUAUUUUAAUUGAUUUUUUAAUUAUGAGUUCAUAUAUAUAUAUAUAUAUAUAUAUAUAUAUAUAUAUAUCAAGAAGGUUCCAUACAACCAGCCUGAAGACUAUUGGGAAUGGACAGCAACAACUUACCUUAUAUGUUUUGACAAAGUUGAAUGGCAUCCAACUGAUAGGGUCAAGCUUCAAUUUGGUUUGCCACAAGAAAUACCCGGGGCCCCAAGAGACAUGCGACAAUUCCAUACGGUGGACAAACGGUUCAAGACGUGGUACCAAUCAAAUGGUUUUCGCUUUCCGAUAGAGAGCCAACAUUGGGACAACCGACGGAGUUAUACUUUACCUCGCAUGCAGCCAAGAUCACUUACCCCAAGUCAUGCAUAUAUUGAGUGGUUGACAACCACAUGCAACCCACGUCUAAGGAUUUCAGUUGAGACAAAACCAUCAGAUUCAGAUCCAGACGAACAAGAAGAGCCGGAACAUGAACCUGAAAUUCACAACAACCAAACACCAAUUCAUGAUGAUUUUUGGGAUCAAGACAUUUUUUCUCAACUACAAGAUCAUCAAUCCCAACCACAUACAACACAAAACAUUCAUGGUUCUGUAAUGUAUGAAUUUCUCGACACCCCCCAACAAAAUAUCAUCCAACCACCACCAUAUACCUCCCCGAGAAAUGCAUAUGAGCCCCAAUAUCAGUCAACUUACCAGCAAAAUUCAAUGCCAAAUUAUGGUUACAAUGACCCAAAUCAAGCUACCACAUCCAACAACAACUACUUCUCCUAUAAUGACCCAAACCAAGCUGGACCGUCCAACACCAAUUAUCCCCCUACAACAGCCCACAAUACCCAAUGUACACCAACCAAAACUACAACCAUCCACCAACACCAACAAACCUAUUAUCUCACUUCUCUCCGGCUUCGUUCAACGACAAUGAACAAUUUAUGGAUAUUGGAUGGCAAACAAGGGAACACGAUGUGUCGUUGUCAUUGGGUUAUGGUAGUCAAAUACAAUCAGCUACAGAUAACAAUGACGAAGACCAACAUGACCCUCAAGUAAAUCGCGGAAGAAAUCGUCGAAGACGAGGGUGUCGGACAGCCGGGCAUUUAUAAUAAUUGUAGAUUUUAUGAUAUUUAAUUUAUUUAUUAUUUUUUUUGUCCUUCUUUUUUGUUUAUUAUUUUUUUGUAUUUUAAAAAUUAAAAAAACAAAAAACCAAAAAAAAAAAAACAAGUCAUUUGACUUGCAGGUAUUAAAAAAAAAAAUUUUAAAAAAUUAAAUAAUACCCCGCAAGUGGGGGUUGCGAGGUAAUAAAAUUUUAAAAAAAAAAUUAAAAAAUACCACGCCAAUUUGACUUGCGGGGUAGUUAAAAUUUUUAAAUCUUGCGGGUUGCAAGGUACCAGAAAAUUCUGAAAAGUAGGGCAUUUAUGCAAUUUUUUGCAAAAGUGGGGCAUUUUUGUAUUUUUGGACACAAACAAGGGCAGAAAAAAAAAAUUCUUGAGGGGAGGAGGGUGUAAUUUACUCUUAGUUUUUAAUAUCACUUAUAAAAAAAGUAUCAAAAUGAAAUAAAUCAUCCAAUUAUCUAUAAAGUUGUUGUAACUUGUACAAGAUACUAUCAUUAAACUAAUGGCGUCGUCUCCCAUACGCGAGUGGCAUGGGUCGCGUACCGUACGCGAGUUGCUUUUUCAAUUGUUUACUUGCAUGUGUGGGUUUUACACAACAUUCCAACCUGCUGCAGAAGGUAAUUUUGUGAUAUAAAUUAUUAUUUGUAAUUAAUGGUACAACCAUAAUAACAAGGGCAAUUUCGGUAAUGCACACAUCAUAAAAUAUCAAUAUAUUUGUCUCCAAUAAACCUCCGAUCCAGAACUUAUUGGCUCCAUCUCCUGUGCAUAUGAUUUUUGUUUAUGCUAAUUAUUUGAAACAUAUUGCAAUAAAAAAUUUUGUACUAUUUUUAAAAAAGAUUGUUACCAAUUUCGUUAUUAUUAUUUUUUUUAAUCUUAUUUUGUUAAUUUUGUCUUAGUAAUGUAAUUUAUUUUUUAUACACUUAUUUGAAGAUAUUAUAAAAAGUAACAGCACAAUUAAUUACCAUUAAAUUUCAAUUUUAGUUCAACUAUUUUAAUCGUUCAUCACGGGUAAAAUUAUAAAUGUGUGUUCUAUUAAAAAAAAAAAAAUUCACGUUGAUCAUACAUAUGAUAUAACCAAUGUCUUUCAUGAAUUCAAAAAAAUGUAAUUGUCAUGCAACACUUUAAAAUUAAUGUAUAUGACUAUUUAAGAAAACAAAUUUAAAAAAAAGAAAGAUAUAUUCCACGUUUAUAAUAUAUACGACAUGACAAAAGAAACAUUUGCCGUAUCUUUAAAGAGCAUGCUUUUGUCAUUCAAGAAAUUUAUCAUGUUGAGAUCGAAUAGAAAAAAAAGUAUCGACAACUCAAAUUGAUGGAACAAUAAUAGUUCAACCUGCCAAAAGUUAUACUAAAUUAGCGAAAAUAAAUUAAAUUUGAUAUGCAGUAAAAAUUGUCAAAGUGUGAGAUUUUAAUUAAGGGCGACCCUCAUUGGUCUUCAAAGAUUAAUUUUGAGUUUUCAGUUUAAUCUUUCAAAUUAAGUAUUUUUUUUGUCAUUCUGGACAAACUUGCAUAUAAUAUUAGGCGGUGUGGAAAGGAAGGGUGUGGUUAUGGUGCAUAAGGAUUUACUUAUGCACCGUGCAUAAUUGUUUCCUACACCUCAACCCAUUUUGUCAUACACCCCCCCCAAACCAAAUGAAAUCAAACUAAAGCCCAUUUUAUUUCAUUUCUCCAAAAACCAAAUUCAUUUCUCCAAAAAUAGAACCUCAUUUCUCCAAAAAUCAAAUUCAUUUCUUUCCAAAAACGAAACUCAUUCCAUAACCGUCACCGUCGCUCACCGUCAUUUCUCUCCAAACCACCGUCGCUAACCACAACCUCGCCGGUCGCUGUGUUCAUCGCCGCCACAGUCGAUGUGUUAAUCACCACCAGAAACGAAACGAAAAGAAACGAAAAUGAAUCGCUCAAAACAAAACCAAACGAAUCGCUCACCCUCGCCGUCGCCGAUCAGUUGAAUGGAUGCCGUCGCUGUGUUAGAACCACCUUCAUUUCAUAACCACCGUCACUGAAGCAUUUAAAAUUACCGUCACUGAAGCAUUCAACAUCACCGUCAUCGAAGCAUUUCAAAACCACUGUCACUGAAGCAUUCAUCGCAAUCACAGAGUUCAUCACCAUUCAAACAAAACAAACAACAAAAAUGAUGAAAACAAAACAAGUUCGAACUUAUCAUAUAUGAUUUCUUGCUCAAAUAGUUUUGAAAGUUUAUCUUCUGCUUUAAAUUUGGAAAUGUUAGUUAAUUUCGAAUUUGUUUAGUUUUAGAAAUGGUUUUGUUUAGCUUGGAAAGUAAUUGCAUUUGUGUAACCCUAAUUGAUAGUUUAAUUUCGAAUUGGGGAAAAUCAUCUCAAAUUGAAAGUUUAAUUUCGAUUUGGGAAAAUCAACUCACAUAAAUAGCUAUACGAUUGACAUAGUGUUGAUUUGUAACAUUAGCUGAAUUGAAAUUGAUUAUAGGUUUAGAACACAUUUGGAAAUGUUGAUUGAUUAUAGGUUUUGAAAUGGUUUCAUAAGUUCUAUUUGAAAGCUUAAGUUGGAAUUUGAGUUGUUUCGGGUAUAAUUUUUUGAUGAACAACUUCGGAAAGAUAUAUUAAAUUGGUAUCUGAGUAAUUGUGAAAUGAUAAGUUGUUCUAUUAAUUUAAAAAGUGAUUAAAUGAUGAUUAAGCUGCUUUGGAAGUGCUUAAAUGAGCAAAAAGUGAACUUCUGGUGCAAGGACUAAAAUGGAAAUUUUGUGCAUGUUGGUUGAUGGAGUAUACCCAAACUUUCCAUUAACUUAUGCUCAAAUUGGUGUGGGGGAGAGGAUUUAGGUUGCAUCAUUGCAUUUAACUUCGGGAAAUUUAAGUUAUCAUCUCCAUAAACCAUUUCCUCAACAGAUUUGUGAUCAUCUUUUCACAGUUCUCCCACUAACCAAGUCCAUUUAUCUUCUUAAAAUGAAUCUAUAUAUUUAUCAUGCUUAGAUUACAGGAAUUUUACACAAUUGAAAGAUGAUAUGCCAUAACAUUAGGAACCCACUGAAGAGAAUUGAUAGAAACAAUUUUAUGUACUUAAUGGUUUCAUAAUGUUUAAUUUCGAAUUGGUUUAAUAUCUGGAAAAUCAACUCUGAAAAUCAAUAUGCUGUGUAAAUGGUUUUCGCAAGUUUUACUCUGAAACCAUUUUAUGUACUUAAUGGUUUUUGUGAGUUGGACUCCAAAACCAUUUUGCUGUGAAAAUGGUUUCUGUGAGUUGGACUCCAAAACCAUUAAAUGUACUUAAUGGUUCCUCUUGCUAGUGAAACUACAUGAAAUUUGUAGUUAAUAAGUUUACACAAUGCUUAGAUCUUUUUAGUUUUUGCAGCACUUCUUUGGAGUCCAUUAAGGUAUGGUUUCAACUUCAUGAAGGAAUGUUUUCAUAAAGUUUUACACCAAAACUAUUUGGUGCUGGUAAUUGUUUUCUUUGGAUUAAUGUCUCAAGUAUAGUAUAAUCAUCUGAUGCUGGUAAUUGUUUUCUUUGAUCCAGGUUAACAAAUCUAACGACCUAGGGCCAAUUCCAAACUUCAGUAUUGGACUUACACAAUCAGAGCAGGAGAAAGCAUCUGAUGACGAUAAUGGAAAAAAGAAUGGUAAAAAGAUGGAAAAGAAGCCGGAUAAGAUAAACCGUGGGAAAAGGAAACAACAAUCUGAUGAAGGAAGUUCAGAUGACAAAAAUGCAAAGAAGAGUGGUAAAAAGAUGAAAAAGAAGCCGGAUCAGAAAAAACAACAAUCUGCGGGAGAAGAAUCUGAUGAAAAGAAGAGUAUUUUUGUAUACAUAUUCUUACUUUUAUUAUAGCUGCCAUAUGCUACAAUAUCAUCUGUCAUAUUUUGUAUACUAAUUGAUGUAAUUUUGUAUAAUAAUAUACUAUUAAUUCUGUGUUUCAAUGCCUUUGUUUGUUAAUACUGUAAAAUUAAAAACAAUUGGAAUUUGUUAAUACUGCCCGAAACCAUUUGGCACAAGGAAUGGUUUCAGAAAGUUUUACACCAAAACCAUUUGUUGUUGGUAAUUGUUUUCUUUGGAUUAAUGUCUCAAGUGUAUUAUUAAUAAAUUUUGGUUAAUCUCUCAAGAAUAAUCAAUUGAUGCUGGUAAUUGUUUUUUUUUUAUCCAGGUUAACAAAUCUGAUGAAGCAAGUUCUGAUGACAAAAAUGGAAAGAAAAACUUGGAUGUCGAUCAACGAUUGAGGCACAAGCUUAGCAUACCUAAGGUCUAUGACCUUAUGAAGUCAAUAGAUGGAAAAAGAAGAAAAGACCAGAUAAUUCAACUUUUGAAUGAGAGUGGGUUUGGAGGAAUGGUUCAUAUAUGCAAAUGGACAAAAAUCCACACAUUCUUUGUGGAAUGAGUUGUCAGACACUUUGAAAAGGAGAAUAUGUGGAUAAGACUGAGCAAGAUGGAUGUGCUCCCAUUGAAAGAAGAAGAUGUGCAUAGAGUGUAUCAUUUCCCAAUGGCGGGGGAGCAGAUCAACAUUAAACUUUGCUCAGAAGCAGCAAUAAAGAAACUCAGGGUAGAGUUAGGAUUGGAUGGUGAUUAUUCUCCAUUUGUCAAGGCGACAGAGUUGGAGAUAAGACUGAAGAUAAUGGAGAAACCAAAGGCAUGGGUAAAUGGUGCAAUUUGUCUUAUAAUUCACAACAUUUUGUGCCCCACUAACAGCAGCUUAGUUUCUCUACAUUAUGCUCAAGUAUUAGAAGAGGCUUCAUCUUAUAACUGGUGCUCCCAUGUACUCCAAUAUAUGAAAGACGGAUUGCAAAAUCUGGAAGUGGCAAAUCCAUUAGAGGACUUCCACUUCCUAAUGGUAAUCAUUCUCUCUCUCUCUCUCUCUCUCUCUCUCUCCCAUAUUUGUAUUUGUAUGUUGGCUGCAGUAAUAUAUUCCUAUUUUUAGCUUCAAACCAUUAUAUAUAUUCCUAUUUUUAUGUUGGCUGUUUGUAUGUCUGAAACCAUUUUGCACAAGGAAUGGUUUCAGACAGUUGUCUUACAAAACCAUUCGAUGUACAUAAUUGUUUUCAUUGGAACUGCAUGCAUACAUAGAUUAUAGGAUCAUGAUGAAGAAGAUGAUGCUAAUUAUGAUGAUACUAAUUAUUUUGCAGAUUAAUUACAUGGAGAAAAUGGGGAAGAGAAGCCCAUUCUUUACAGGAAAAUACAAGCAGCCAUCGCUUUGUGAUUGGGAUGUCAAGUCGGCAAACCAAGAGCUUCAGAUGGUGCAUGAGCUUAUGGGACUGGAUAAAGGAUUGACAGUUGGGGUCAAAAGACUGCAGAGCACCGAUGAUGGUCUGCUUGUAAUGUGUUUUGAUGCAGAUACAUGUCCACUAUCUAAGGUGAGAGAAAAUUAAUGAUAUUCAUGCAAUGUUAAUGUAUAAACCAUUAAUUUAUCUUAAAUGGUUUUAAGAUGUUAUACAGUAAAACCAUUAGUAUUGUUAAAUAAUUUUACUUGCUAGUUUAAAUGUUUUUCUUCAUUUUUGUUUUAAACUGAUACAAAUUAGUAGUAUAUAUAAAACAAUUGUUAAUAGUGAAAGACUAUUCUCCUAUGAAUGAGUGAAUAUUAUUAUUUUCUUUCAUAAUACAUAAAACAAUUGCACCAUAAUAUUGUCUUUUUAUGGUUUCAAAAAUCCUAACAAUACAUGUACAUAACCCGAUUGCAGGCAGAGGAGCAUCUAAAUUAUUGUAGGGGUUGCAUACGGGUCUACACUAGAACCGCAGAAACCUUGCAGAGGAGAAUAGCUGAGGCAAAUGCUUCUACUUAUGCAAAAAAUGACCUAGUUUCAGCAAAAAUAAACACAUCAAAUGAACCUGAAACUGAGGAGAAUAAGACUUCAAGUACUGAAAAGUCUGCGAAAAAUGAUGCAGUUUCAGAAGAACCAAGCACAAGCAAGGAAGCUGAAACUAAGUUGAAUAAGAGUUCAGGUACUCAGAAGGGGUGGAAGUACCUGAAACUGAUGAUGUGAGCUCUUUUAGUGAUGGAACAGAUCUAAAAGCAUAUAAGCAUGAAAAAGUAGUUGAGAUUAUGUAUAACUCUUAUUUUCUCAAAUUAUUACUGAAGAAUAUAAAUGAAAAAAUUAGAACUACUAUCUAACAAGGGAUUAAUGGUUUCAGGUUGAAUAAAGAUGAUGAUUCCAAAAGCAAUGAUGAAAAUGUCGAUGAUGAAGAAGUUGAGAUUAAUGCGAAGAUCAUUGAUGAUUCAGUUAAGGCAGCAUGCAAUGUGGGAAUGACAUUGACACAGGAAACUAUCUUGAAGUUUCCAGAGUUUUUUGAAGCUUCGAAUGCAGGGUAAGAAAUGAUUAUAUAUGAUGUGUUUUAAUGGUUUUUUAUUUAUGAUGUGUAAAACUAUAAUAACAAACUAAUGGUUUAAAAAAUCCAUCUUAAACCAUAACUUUUAAAGUGUUUAUCAAUGGUUUUGAUAUGUGAUGUCUGAAAACUAAAAUGUUUUUUAAUGGUUUGAGGUUCAAUACAAAUGAUUCAGAGAAUCCAGCUUCAGCGACACAGGAAACAAUCUUGAAGUUCCCUGAGAUUUUUGAUAAUGAUUCAACGAAGAAAGAAUGCAAUCAAAGUCUUUCACUUCUGUUGGUACCAGAUGUGACGGAUGGGGAGAAGCCUACAGAAUGUGACUCAAACGUUGUUAUAGAGUACGAAUCAAGCAAUGUGAUAAUUGUACUUUAAAAUUGAUUAAUUAUAUUCUGCACAAUAACAAUAUUAAUUAAAAUCUGCAAAAAUAAACACUCUUAUGUAAUAUUAUUUGACAGUGCAACUCCACUAAAGUCAGUGAUGCCAGAUGAAAUAAUUGACUUGGACAAUGUGCAAACAGUCACGACAAAGAAAAGACUGAGUUGCAGAAAAAUUUAUCAACAUAUGCAUGGAGCUCGGAGCUUGAUCAGUAAGUGAAAACAAUUUCUUAUUUAGCUGUUAUGAGGAAGCAUUUUGCCGAGUCAUUAAUGUACAAUGUCAUAGUUCACAUAAGUGAGAUUAUGCCAAAACAUAAGCUUAGUGUAAGUGUGAUGAGUAUUAAUUAUAGUCAUGUUGAUUUUUUUGCCAAAUUGAUUGUUUUAUUUGGUUUUUAAGCUGUUGUUUUGAACUAUGUUUGUAUGUUGGCUGUUUGUAUGUCAAAACCAAUUUUUACAAUGAAUGGUUUCAGAAAGUUUCCCUGCAAAACCAUUUGAUGUAAAUAAUAGUUUUCUUUGGAACUACAUAUAUAUACUAUAGUUUUCUUUACUUUUCAUUUCAAUGUGUUUAUUUUACAGUUUUAUGCUAUGAUAUUUUGCGAUUGAUCUUUUGGAUGUUUGUGUCUACCUUUGAUGAGUGAAUUCAUGUAAAUGUGAAUUGCUAUCAAUUUUGGCCAUGUAUCUAUCUGCAUAAUGCUUGAUGAAAUCAUGUUUCUAGUACUACAAAUCCUAAAAUGCUUAAUAAUUGUAUAGGUAUGAGCUUCUGUACUGCUCGGAUAAUAGGGCUCAUGAUUAUUCUCUGGAAAGGAUGGACUUGUGGUCGCUGCAACAAGACGAAUGGGUGUCAUGCUUCGUGAUCAAUGCAUGGGUCAACUGCUUAAACUGGAAUCAACAAAGAGACAAGAUGACAAGACUGGUUACACCCAUGAUUAACUAUGUAUGCAUUAUAUUCCAUGAAUAUUAAUGGUUUAUUUUAUUCAUUAAGCUGAAUAAUUGAUUUUACUGAUUUAUUUUUAUAUAAACAGGUUGACCUUGAAAAACUUGGUGCCUUUGACAAAAAUAACCCAGCUGCAUUCACAAGAUUCAUUGAGAGACUAAGCAAGUUCAAAUACAUGGAUUGGAAAGCUAUUGACCGUAACAGUCUAGAAUAUGUAAGUUUCAGUUCAAUAUGGUUUUUUAAUUUUAAUGCAUGUUUGGAUCUGCAGUAAUACUCUGAAAUACUAUUAGUGUUGUACGUCUGAAACCAUUUAACCUAAGGAAUGGUUUCUGACACUUGUCUUACAAAACCAUUUGAUGUACAUAAUAGUUUUCUUUGGAACUGCAUACAUAGACUAUAGUUUUCUCAUUUGAUGCAUUUCACAUAGUAAAUAAUAGUUUUCUCAUUGGAACUGCAGAUCAUGACGCCAGCUUUAAUUAGGGAUCCGGGAAGUCAUUAUGUGUGCUUCGUCGUGAAUUUGAAGAGCCAAAAAUUUGAAUUCCUGAACAGCUUGACGGGAGAUAAAUUGCACACCAAGAAUGGCGCACCCACUGUAUACAAGGAUAUGUUUGAUGUAUGGCUGAACGAGGCGAAAGUAUUUGUGGCAGAAAUGUAUAAGACUAGAAAAUUCCGAAUGCCCUUCAACUUUACCACAUUUAAGUGGGAUACACCAAGGGUGCCUAAUCAAGUUGAUAAAGACAGUUUUGGAGUCUUCUGCAUGAAAUUUCUUGCUGAAUGGGGAGGUGACAACAUGCAGCUGGAUUCUUUCAAAGGUUGGUCGAAAAUGAAAAAAAUUGGGAAAACUGCAAAGAUUAUGGAUCUCAGGAUUGGAAUUUGUUCAAAAAUAUUAAGCAACACAAGCAAUUGCAGAAGAAAUCUUGUGGAGAAUAAAGCAAAAACAUACUAUGAAAAAAAGCUUCAAAAGCUAGCAAGUUGAACAUGACAUGUAAUUUCUGUUGUUGAUGAAUUUAUGGACUAGUUUUAAUGUUUUUUUUAUUGACUUUGUAUGGUAAAAUUUAGUUCUUGAUUUUGGUACUAUGAAAAAAAGCUUCAAAAGUUAGCAAGUUGAACAUGACAUGUAACUUCUGUUGUUGAUGAAUUUAUGAAUUAGUUUUAAUGUUUUUUUAUUGAGUUUGUAUGGUAAAAUUUAGUUCUUUCUUGAGUUUAAGAAUUAAGCCACACUUAUAACUAAAACCAUAAGUGUGGCUUAAUAGUUUCACUAGUGUUGUAUGUGAAACCAGCAGUACAUCUCUUAUGGUUUCCAAUAAAAUAUUCAUAUUUUAUUUAAAUAAAUAUUAUAACUGAAACCAUAAGUGUGGCUUAAUGGUUUCACUAGUGUUGUAUGUGAAACCAAAGUAGAUCUCUUAUGGUUUCCAAUAAAAUAUUCAUAUUUUAUUUAAAAUAAAUAUUAUAACUGAAAGCAUAAGUGUGGCUUAAUGGUUUCACUAGUUUUGAAUGUGAAAGAUGGUUUAAUGGUUUCGAUAUUCUUGUAUGUGAAACCAAAAUAAUUGUGCAAACCAUAAGUUUGCUUCACGAAUUUCACGAAUUCAUUUAACCAUUUAACAAAUUUAAUUUCAUAAUGUUUUAAACUGUUAACCAUCACAACAAAUAAAUAAAAAUAAGUAAUUUUUUAAACUGCAAAUUCAAAUGAUCAUUAAUUAACGGUGACUCAUGAAGUCAUAAACAAAGAUGACCAUAUAGGCUAUACCAUAACUCAAACAUCUUUAACACAAAACAUGCACAAGCAAAUCCCUGAAAACAUUCAACCAUACUUUACAAAGUGCAACUACUAUUUCUGCAUUAUUAUAUCUGGAAACCAUUACAAUUGUUUAAUGGUUUCAAUAUGUUAUAAACUGAAACCAUUUGUAUUGUUAAAUGGUUUAAUCUAUCAAAGUACCAUUUGAUCAAAAUUAGGGGUAUGGAAUACUGAAACCAUAAGUAUGGUUUAAUGGUUUUGAUAGUGUUUUAUGUAAAACCAUACUUAUGGUGUAAUGGUUUUAGAUGAAAUUAUUAUCAGUACAUGGUUCUAAUGGUUUUGUAAAUAAAAACAAAUGUGAUAAACAAUUAUUUUAGGCCAAAGAAUGUUGAAUUUAAUUAAUAUUUGAUCAAAAUUAGGGGUAUGGAAUAUUAAAACCAUAAGUAUGGUUUAAUGGUUUUGAUAGUGUUAUAUGUAAAACCAUACUUAUGGUGUAAUGGUUUUAGGUGAAAUUAUUAUCGGUACAUGGUUCUAACAGUUAUUUUAGGCCCAAGAAUGUUGAAUUUAAUUAAAAUUUGAUCAAAAUUAGGGGUAUGGAAUACUAAAAUCAUAAGUAUGGUUUAAUGGUUUUAAUAGUGUUCUAUGUAAAACCAUACUUAUGGUGUAAUGGUUUUAGAUGAAAUUAUUGUUGGUAUAUGGUUCUAAUGGUUUUGUAAAUAAAAACAAAUGUGAUAAGAAUGUUCAAUUUAAUUAAAAUUUAUAAGAAUGUUCAAAUGUGAAACCAAACUAAUUGUCUAAUGGUUUUGUAACAACCUAUAAUCAUCAAUACAUAACAAUAAAGAAUGUGAAUGUAUAAUUUCCAAUAGAUCAUAUCAAAAUAUUCCCAAUAAAAUCUAUUACAAACUUAUAACAUAAAAAAACAAUCAAUCAUUGACCGCUUUUUUUUUUUAAAGCUUCAUCAUCUCUCUUUUGUUUCUUCCGAUUUAUAAGGAAUUUCUGCCUUUCUCUAGCUUUUUCAUAAUCACUUUUAAGUCGCUUCUUUGACUUAAUUGGAUUUGGUCCUUUUUUGAACUUUGGUGCAGUGGACUUCACCCCAGCAGAUGGUUCACCGACAGCAGCUCCUUUUGAAGACUUGGAUGAUGACGUCAAGGAAGAUGGGUCUGUACGAAUACCUUUAGAAAGAAGCAACUCCUCUGCCUUUUUCCCAGCUUCAAGAACACCGUCGAGAAAAAUUUCAGAUGCCUCCGGAUCUGCACAAAAACGUGUAGAAAGCUGAACGGUAACAGCACAAAUUUGUUGAUAUCGUUGUGCUUGAGUGGUGUCUUCAGUGCCAACAUUGAUGGUAGAUUUCAGCUUAUCAACAGACGGACGCACAUCUCUAGUCCAACGCUUUAAAAUAUAUUGUCCAGGUAUUGUCUUCAAAAAAUGAUAUUGCACAUAACCACCUAAGAACUCCAAGAUCUUCAAAACAUGUCGACAUAAAAAGCCCCUGUUCUCAAACAUACGAUAUGAACAACUAAAACUUUUGCUUCUAAUGUUAACUGUGACAACUCUUUCAUCAAGUCGAUCAUGAUCUUCAAAACUUGGGAAAAGGUUUUCUUGAAGUUCUGCAUCCAAAACAUCAACAUUGGAAGUCCCGUCAUUAUCAUUAUCAACAUCAUAAUUAUCAUCAACCUUUUCAAUUGUGAAAACUUUGAAAAACUUGUUAAAGGCAGACCCUUUUGUUGUGUCCUCCUCAUGAUAGUAUUUGAAGGAAAGGUCAUACUGCCUGUGAAUAAAUGCAAAGCAAGCUGGUGUGUACUUGUUUACAACGGACCGCAUCAGCUGACUAUUGGGAUAAUUAUUUUUUGUUCUAGUGUUUGCAGCCUUGAAGUCCAACUCAGCAUGAUUAUCUCUCAUUCUCUGAACCAUAAUGUUGAAAUGACUAAAGAAUCGAACAAGUGAAUGGUCUGGCUGCAGAAAUCCACGAAGAAAAGAAUUGAAAGACUCACUUAACUGAGUUGUUUUCAGACCAACUGUAAAAUGUGACUUGACCCAAGCUGAAGACCAAUGCAUACGAUUUCUAUAAGUUUGGAGAAGCCACCUAAAGUCUGAAGUAGGCCUUCCAUUAAAACAAUUUUUCAUCAUCUGAUCCCAAUUAUAGUCGAAAUCUGAUUCAUCGUCUACAUUUGAAACCAAAUUAGUUAACUCAUCGAAAAAUGCAUUGUUUGCACGAGAGCCAAGAUUUUUCUUUGCAUUCUCUGCCAUGUGCCAUGAACAAAGCCCAUGAAAAACACCUGGAAAAAUAUUCGGAAUUGAACACAAUAACGCACUAGUCUGGUCUGUAUAUAUAGUCUGUGGUGUCUUAUUGGACAUACACUUCAAGAAUGUUGUAAACAACCAAUCAAAACUAGCUGCUGUCUCAUCGUACAAUAGCGCAGCACCAAAUAAAACACUAUUGCGAUGAUUGUCAAAACCAAUAAAGGCAGCUGAAAUAAUGACCAAUAAAUGACCUAAAUCAGAACAAAAUACAACAUAUAUAUAACUUACACUAAAUAAUGAAACCAACCCUGAAUUAUAGUGCAUUUAUGCUAGUCUGUAAUCACAAAUUAUAAGAAAUCACGCCUCAGCAGUGAAUAAACUCAAUGAUAAAACACAUAGACACUAAGUAUUCUAAUAAGUAUGUACUAAAGAUCGAUCACACAAGACAAUUUCUGGCUAAGUAAAAAUGCCUGCAACUUUAUCAAUCUUACAGUCAAUCUCGGACACAUAUGACAGACACACCUAGACACUAGGCAGUUCAAAAUGUACUCCAACCUAUACUAACCAUGCCAGAACAAAAUACAACAUAAUGAAAGUAAACACUUAUUAAAAACCUGAGAGAAGUAAAAGAUACUAACCUAAUGGUCGAUAUUGAUUGUUUGUUCGGUAAGUUGUAUCAAAACUGAUGACAUCACCAAAUAGAGAAUAAUCUAGUUGCAUAAUUCCAUCUGCCCAAAAAAUGCUAGCUAUGUCUUCUGCAGCAUCAACUUGGAUAUCAUAGUAAAAAGAUGGUUUCGAGAGAGCUUCAUUUCUAAAGAAUUCUUGAAUUACAGUUGCUUCACCAACCACCAUCUCCUUUUGACGAAUUGUCAUUAGAUAGUUCUUUAAGUCUGAAAACCGAAAAGGAAGAUUCUCCGUACCUCCAACUCCUUGACCAAGAACUUCAUAAGACAUUCUCAUCGACAUUCCAGCUUUAGAAUUUAUUAGAGCUAGUUGUCCUUGAACUUCAUUUACUUCUCUAAAUGAUCCCAGGUAACACAAAUGCUCUGGUUUAUGUAAUGGAUGACAGUGAGCCACAUCCCAUCUAUAAAUCUUAUACACAUUCAAAACUUCAUCCAGCUUCAAACAUAUUCCAGCUUUACAACCGACCCUUUCCUCAGGUUUUUCUUUCACUUUCACAAACUCAAUAACCAGUGGACUGUCUGAUGUUGGCCUGUUGUUAGGAUUAAGCAAACUUCCCUUCUUGAAACCUUGUUUGUUACAAACAUAACGCACAUAAUGUACCUUAUCUGAUUUCUUAUUUUGUGAAUUAUUCUUCGACUUCAACAUAGUUCUAAUAGAAAAUCCAAUGUUAUAUGCAUAAUUACCAUAAAAAUCUUCAAUCUCUUUAAUAGAUUGAAAGACUAAAGACUUCCAUGAUUCUUCAUUGCUAGGGGAGUAACAUUGAGAACUAUCAGCAUGAAUCAUUGAAGAAGUUUCAACACUCAGUUGUCCACUCUCAGAUGAAUUUGAUAUCAAAUCCAUUGAAAACAGCAACAAACACUAUUAAGAACAAACAACCAUUAGAUAUCAUAAAUUGAAACUACAACUGAAGCAAAAUUGAAGCUAAUAUGCCAAAACCAAUAUACUGUGUAAAUGGUUUUUUCAAGUUUUACUCUGAAACCAUUUUGCUCUGGAAAUGAUUUCAGAGUGUUGAUUUGAAAAUACAACUGAAGCAAAAUUGAUUCUUAUACAAAUCGAAAAAUGAAGCUUAUUGAUACAACUGAAUCACUAAAUUUGAAUCACUAAAUUGAUACUAUACUAAGAACAAAUUCGAAAUUUGAAUCAAAAACUAAAUACAACAAAAAUGAUAUACAUGAUUACCUCUUCAAAAUGCAGUACGAAUUUGCUAGAGAUAGCCGGAAAAACGACGUCGGACCGGUGAGAAAGGGUGAAAUUCGUGCAACCUAGACGGUGAAAUCACGUCGCAAUCACGACUGGAAAACGACGUCGGAGCGGCGAGCAAACGUGAAGCAAGGUUCGCCGGUGAAAUCGGCGCAAUCACGCAGUGACGUAGCCGAUUCGUAAAUCGGAGCAAAGAAUGCAGUCGCGAAAACGGAGAAAGAUAGCAGUUUCGCGAAAACGGAGAAAGAUUGUGGGGUCUGAGUUGAGAACAAUAGGAUCAUUACAAGUGUCAUGUUAUCUGAUGGUUGUGAUUAACUUAUGCAUGGUGCAUAAGUUAUGGCUUAUGCACCAUAACUUUUGCCGGAAAGGAAGAGGUAGCAAAAUUGGGCCAAUUUAGUGUGAAGAUGGCCCAAUUAAUGCACAACAACUCUUUUGAGAUUCCACAAUAAAAUCUGACAUUUGCAAUACUUUCUUUCUCAACAGCUAAUGUGGUAACGUGCGCGCACUAUUCCUCCAUCUUCUCUAAACCAACUUGCAUGUAAAAUCAUUCACUCAAAACAUGGAAAGAGACAUGUGUACCCUGUUUUUUUAGGAACUGCCUCAGACAUGUUAGACCAACGGGAGGUGUAUGGUUGUUUGAAAAUGGAAAACAAAGAAUAAGGGUUUGGCCUAAUAUCUGGCCCAAUAGUAACGAUGGCGAUACAUUCUUCGUUGGUGGGAAAAAGGUGCCAUUUUAUAAGUAAACCGAAAAUAAAUAAAACAAAAAAUGUCUUAGCUCGCCAUUUAUAUAUGGAACAAGGGUUUGGUGUAUUGAAAACGGAAAAAGAUACAUGGACAUACCAAUUCCAUACACCCCCUUAUACCACCUAUGACAUGGCAAUAAAAAUUUUAAAAAAAUUGAUCUUUAAAUUGAAAAAUGAUUAAAAGAAAUAAGAAAUAGUAAAGAAAAAGAAAUCCAAGGGUUUCAUAUCUCGUCUCUCUCCAGCACGUGACAGCGAAGUGCGAUCUCCAUCUCUCACUCUCCGCCAUUUGCUACAACGACCGAUAGCUCUCUCUUUGUCAUUUGGUCCGACGGCGGCCCGUAGCUCUCUCUCCAUACCCUGAUUAGCUCUCUCGAUUUCCUUCCUCCUUCCUCUAUACGAAUCAGUUUCUCCAUCUCUUUUUUCCGUCGCCGAAUCUCUCUGUUAAAGGUGAUGUUUAUCUCAAAUCUUGUAUUUGAUGAAGGUAAAAUAAUUUUUGAAUUAGAAAUUCAUGAUAAAGAAAUUAAUCAUAUUAGGGUAUGAUACUUACUUAGUGAGAAUUUAGGGUUAAAUGAAGCUUGAUAGUAUUUAGUUGUUUAGUUCAUAAUUGAGUUAAAAUCUAUGUUAUUUUCUACCGUCUGAUUGUUGCAUUUUUGGGUUGUUGAUGAUUAUCAUUGUAUUGUUGUUAGUACAAAAUCAUAAGUUUUCCCCAAAUUUUGUAGUUUGAUUGUGGUUGUUCCUCUAAAUGAUAUCACGUAGAGUUGGUGUCAAUUUCUUAAGGGUUAAUAGUGUUUUUCACCCCUGUAAUAUAUGUCAUUUCCGGUUUUCGCCCCUUUAAAAUUUUUGGUUUGAUUUGCACCCUUCAUAAAAUUUUUAUUUUCCNGGAAAACACCCUUAAAUAGGCCAUUCAAAAAACCCAAAAAUUCUUGAAAAUGGCCUAUUAGGGGUGUUUUCCGGAAAAUAAAAAUUUUACAAGGGUGCAAAUCAAACCGAAAAUUUUAUAGGGGCGAAAACCGGAAAUGCCAUAUAUUACAGGGGUGAAAAACACUAUUAACCCAUUUCUUAAUCAAAAGAAUUGUGGUCACACUUGUGUUAAAAAAUGGUCAAAGUGUUGGAAAUUUGAAGGAAAAAAAUGUGGUCACGUCUAUGUUAAAAUAUCGUUAAGUGCAGAUAAAUUUUGUCAGUAUGUCUAUGAUAACAAAGAUAGGAAAACAUUAACUUGUCACAGUAUUAUUUCCAUAACGUUCUUCAAUUUUUGUGGAAAACGUGUGAUUAUAAAAUGUGUUUGUAUUUUAGUUAUAAGAUGAAUUUUUUCAAAUCGUUCUUGUAACGUGUGUUGAGAAUUAGACAUUUGUGUGUGUUUUAAUUGUUGUUGAUAGAAAUUGUUUUUGUAUACAACAGAUAAGGUCAACAUCAUGAACGAAAACAAACGAAAAAGGGAUGGUGGUGUUGGUGUAAGUACAAUUUAAUUAAUGAGACAUUUAAUGUGUAUGUAACUGUUUGUGUUUUAUGCCAUUAAUGAAUGAAUAAUGUUCAUUUUUCAGCCACAGAUAAAGACUCAAAUGCCCCGUACCAAUAAGUUGGUAGAUAUUAACCGAAAAUUAUCUGAUGCGCAAAGGAGUAGAAUUAUGAAAACUCCGUUCCGAUAUCUGGUGGAAAUGAAGACCUAUAUAGGAAUGAAUGAUACUUUAUUGAAGGAAUUAUUGCAUAGGUGGGAUGCAAGUAGCUUAGGAUUUAGAGUAGGCGUUAGGACUGUGGCCUUUAAACAUCUAGACCUUUGUUUGGCUCUAGGUUUGCCUAUUUUAGGAGAAUCUUUGUCAGAAUCAAUAGAUAGUGAUAGUCAUGUUAGAACAUUGUUUGAUGUGAAUGAAGUUAUUGAUAUUGAUAGUGUACAUUCAAAGCUAAAGGUUCUUCAAGAAGAGGACAACAUAGAUGAUUUUUGUAGAGUUUACAUCCUAUUUGCCUUGUGUGUCUUAUAUUUUCCGAAAUCACAUGGUAAAAUUAAAAAAGAUUUCUUUAACCUUGUUGAUGAUUUAGAUGCUCUUAGUACUUAUAAUUGGGGUGUCGCUGUUUACGAUGAUUUAAUGGAACAUUUUAGUAGUGCGACGUCAAAAUACCAUCAACAAAAGAAUGAUACAGCUUUACGCAUUUCUGGUUGCUCAGCUAUAUUGCAGGUAUGUAAUAUUGAAAGGGUUCUGUUUUUUUAAUUAUAUCGAUAGUUAUGUCAAAUGUUGUUUACGUUAAUUUAAUUUGUCAUUUGAUUAGAUAUGGGUGGUUGAACAUUUAAGUCUAUGUAGUGGACCAAAUAAGCGUUUUCCAAGCAUUAACAAUUGGACCAAAGUGGAGGGAGGACAUGUUGUAAUCUCAACAUUUUUUCAAAUGUAAAGGUUAGUAAUUGCCUUUAAUAUGUUAACUCGGUAUUGUGGUUUUAUAGUUUAAAUUUUCACAUACAAUUAUGUUAAUUUAACUUAUUUAAUGUGAUUAGUUGGUUGAGGAUUUGGUUCCAACGCAAGAAGACAUGGUAAAUGAUGUCUUUGUUAAAGCCGUUAACCAUUCUCAAGUUGGUAUUGGAGAUGGUGCAUACCCUUUAUUUGAUGUGCAAGCUUAUAUGGCUGAACAUCAAAGGUUGGUGGGUGAACACAAAGAUUUGCUUUCUCGUGUUUCAAUCCUUGAGGAUGAUAUGAGGAUAUUAAAAGAAAAUAGUGCUCACGGUAGGGAAAAUAUUUCGAUGCCAAGUAGCGUGGAAGUAGGAAGUGGGUCAAAACAGGUAGGAGUUAAGUGUGGUAAGAUUGAUGCGGAUAAUGAUGGGUUGAAAAGUGAGGCGGGAAAACCAGAAGAAAAUGAUGAUGAGAUGAAUUUGGAUGAUGAAGGUGUUGGGGAAGGGAAAAAAAAUGGAAGAAGAAAAUGAUGAUGGGAUGAAGUUGAAUGAAGAAGAUGUGGCUGUAGAGGAAAAAAAAGGAAGAAGAAAAUGAUGAUGGGAUGAAGUUGGAUCAUGAAGAUAUGGCUGAAGAGAAAAAAAAAAAAAAAAAAGGGAAGUAAGGAUUAAGUCACAUUUGAAAAGGCUAUAUUUGUUAUGCACAUAUGAAAAGGCUAUAUUUGUUAUGCACACAUGAAAAGGCUAAAGAUAUGUACGUGUAUAAUUUUUUUAAUGUAUUUUAACUACAUUUUAUCAUGUUGCGGUUUCUCAAUCGAAACUUUAACAUAAUCGAUUAACAUUUUAUUUUUCUUUUUUUUUAGGUUGAUAUGUGAGGUAGAUGAAUUGCGUUUUUCCAGGGUGUUUUUCCAAUGCAUGAAGGCGAGGCAAUGGGUCAACUCAAAUGUCUGUAUUUUCCGUUAACCUUUAUUUUUUUAAUUUAGACUUUACUAUAUAUGUUUGUUAACCGUUACUUAAUUUGAUUUAUGUAAUGCCUUAGGUUAUUAAUAUUGUUGCCAAGACUAUGAUGUAUGAUGAAGUUCGAAAACAUGGUUAUGUAAAGCGCUUAAUUUUGAGUGAUUAUUUUUUGGUAUGGAAUUGUAUCAAGUAUAAAGCCAAACAACCCUGAAGUGUAUUCAACUUUUAUUAUCCCAUGCCUAACAUUAAUUAUAAUUGCAGUUUGAGUUGCUUGACGAUUUAAAGGCACAUCCCAAAGGACGUAAACUCAAAUGGACUGAGCGGAAAUUCAAGAUAUAUAUAUAUAUAUAUAGGGCAUAUCAAGUGAGAGGAGUUGUUAAAAUGAGAGAUGAGAGGAAUAAACCUCAACCAUUAGAUCAAAAUCAAUGGCUCACAUUAAAACUCUUAUUGUAGUGACUUAUGUGCUUUAAUAUUGCUCAAUUUCUCCAUCAUCCCUUGGUUUACUCAUUUCCAAUUUUCAGUUUUCUUCACCUUCCUUCUUUACCGUAUUCCUCUCCACAUGGUUCAUCACUAAAAUACAUUUUUUUUUCUUUCUUUUUAUAUAUUUCUAGUUGUUCUUUCAUUAAUUUAACAACCAAUUAUCAUGAAAGAUCCAAUUUAGCGAGUAAUAUUAAAGAACAUCAAAACUUAGAUCCAAAAAGGAACAGGAACACCGUCGACGAACUCCGGCGAUUAGGAACACGGACGAUGAACUCCGACGAACAUGAACACCAACGACAAAAUUGGGGAUGUCGUCAAAUCUAUUCAUCUUCCGGCCAAUUGGAAUUGCAAUAGGCUUGUGAUGGAGGAGUCAUGGUAAAGAGUAGCAUUACUGGGUUUGUUUUGUCACCGCAUGAGUUACAUAAAUUGAAUUUUUCAUAAUAAUGAUUAAUGUGUUUAUGCUAACAAUCAAAGAGAAACUAGUGAUGAGUCAAUUGCAGCUGCAUAAUGAAGAGUGAAAACGGCGAAGAAAGAGAUGAAGACAACUGGGAAAUGAAAGGACACAAUGGGAAACUGAGAAAAAUUAAAGUCUAUGAGUCCCUAAAAUAACAGUUUUAAUGUGAGCCAUUGAUUUUGAUCUAAUGGUUGAGGUUUAUUCCUCUCAUCUCUCAUUUUAACAAUUCCUCUCACUUGAUAUGUCCUAUAUAUAUAUAUAUAUAUAUAUAUAUAUAUAUAUAUAUGUCUUGUUGGACUAAGACACUUGAGGCGUUGUGGUUAUCUGACUUUGUAAGUUUAUAUUUUAACUUUAAGUAAUCAUUAUGUUGUUGUAGGUGUAGAUGGGAGGUGAUGAAUUUGUCUUUUAUGGUAUAUGUUUUUCAUCUCUCUCAUGUAAUGUUUGUUGCUGUUCUUUGUUUCUGUGGCAGUGAGGUUUUUCUAUAUGGGUUUUUGUUGUAUUAGUUCGGUUGGCGGUUGGUUUUGUGUGGUUUUUUAUGUGGGGUCUCCGCUUAUAUUUGGUGCCUAUUGUAACUCCUUAUUUUGCGAGUUUUGUUUUCACCGUGCGACAACUCUGCCUAAUAAAUUUGAUGUCAAUGAAACAAAAAAAAUUAUGUGCGACGAAUUUAGUUUAUGCAACAUGGUUGAGUAAUUUUUAUCAUUAAAAUUAGGUAUUUGCACCAACCCAUUUCGAAAACCACUGGACAUGUUACAUCUUGGACCAUAGGAAGAGGAAAAUGUAUGUGCUGGACUCGUUAUACAAUGUAAGAAAUGGCCCAAGGCAACGUUUGGAUAAUGCGAUGGUAUAUGUAAUUCUUAAUUAAUUUGUUUUGGUUAAUUUAGUGGUUAGUGUAAUUAAUGUUGAUCAAAUGAGAACAUGUGUUUUUACAGAAAGUACAUUUUGAAGGGGUAGUUGAAUUUAUGAAUAAAGUACCGAACAAUUAAGCAAAUAUGUUGGCACCUUCGUUGGAGGUUGUAGUGGUGGAUUUACCAAAGCAAAAAAAUUGGUUAGUAAUGUCGAAAAACAUGCCAAGACUCAUUGAUAUAUUACUUGUGUUUAGGGUUUAUUUGCCUAAUUUGAAAUUCGUCAAAUUUGUAGUCAUGAUUGUGGCGUUAAUGUCCUUAAGUACUUGGAGCUGUGGGAUGGUCAAGCGAAAUGGGGGCAGAAGAGUAUGCCCGACUAUUCAUUGGUAAUGCUUUAAAUUUUCUUAAACAUUGUGUUUUAUUAGUUGUUGAUUAAUUAGUAAUAUGUAAAUAUUAAUAUAUAUCCAAAUAAAAGCAUUUACUUAUCUACAGGAGGAUAUCCUUCGGAUUCGCAGUGACAUUGUUUGUCGUUUGGUGCUUCAUGAAGAAAAUAAGCAGAGAAGUUUUGUAUUAGAUAAUGCAAUGUUACCCGCGGACUUAUUGAUCGGUUAAACAUACAUUUUCUAACUUAAUUGUGGUUGAUUGUUAUUGAUGUACAUUUGACGAAGACAUACUUUUUUUGGUUAUCGAUGGUCAUCUAUAAAAGAUUAUACUUGUUCAGAAGACUGUGAUAAAUUAAUUCAUAUUGAAUUUAUGUACAUAACUAUUCUCCCUAUCAUAAUUUAUUUAUUUAUUUAAUCUCAUACAAGCACAUCAGUCAAUUACACUCUUUAUCUGGUAAAUUUUCCAAGAGUCCGUACAAAGAUUUACAUUAUUCCACAUCAAACUCAUGCUAAUGAGUCAAGAUUCUCAUGAUUCCAUUCAACGAGAUCACGUGGUUAUAUAUUCAAAGGUUAAAUUUGUUUUUGGUCCAAAUACAAUAUGGGGGCUUCUAAGUUUAAUUCUUACUUAAUUUUUAUUGCAUUUUUGGGAUUUGUUAAAUAUAUUUACAUUUAAUUUAAGUCCCUGCUAAAACAACAUUUGUUUAAUUAUCUUUAAACUCUAAAAAAUUUCAAUGAAUUUUUUUAGACCUGUUUAGAUCAUUAUGAAACGAUGAAAAAUUAAGUAUAAAUACACGCAAGAUUUAGUACAAAUUAAGUAAAGACUAAAUUUAUAAACUCCUAAUUUUAUAGGAAGCAAAAUAUAUUUAACCCUAAAUUCAAUACGAGACAAAUUAGGAAAAAAAAAAACACUAACAUGGUAUCACAUUCACCAAAAAUUGGUGAAGUAUAUAGCACUAGUUUUGGUUAGCUUUUUCUAACUCACGUUUAGAAUAUUAUAUAAGACUACACAACUGAACUCUUAGCAUCUAGCAAAAUUCCAUAAUUUGUCUCAAAUGUACAAAUUGCACAGAUAGCAUGUGUAUAAUUAGUGAGAAGGAAAUUAAUUGAAAUGAUAAAGUUUGUCAAAGAUAGAAAAUUAUUCAUCCUAUGACUCAUGCUAUAAGUACCAUACACUUGCGCUUUAAUGUGAGUUCAAUGUUCAUUUUUCUACAAUGGAUGAAGAUUGGUUUGGAAUUGAAUGAGAGUUUCAUGCUUUCUCUAAGUUUCAAGGAACAAGGUACACUCCAGCAGAAAUGGUAGAAUGUAUGGGUCGAGUGUGGGCAUUUGAGCGAAAUAUGUUUUAAUAUUGUCUAUGCCCACAAGAACGAUUCUCAUUCGCAAACAUGAACCAAUAUCGUAGAGAAUGGGAAUACCGCAUGGAAGAGUCUGCACGUCUUGGGCAAUCUUUACGCCAACAAGGCCAAAGAAAACCAAAACAACGUUCAUCAGAAAUCACAAGAGGCAGUAAUGAAUCGCUCGAACUGGUCAUUAACAUCAUACGCAACAAGAACAAUCAGAUGCAAAUUCGUCUCAACAGAUGUCUAACGCCUCCAUUUAAUAUAUCCACUUGGCGCUCGAGCUAACGCCUCCUUCACAACUUCAUUUGCAACCUCUUCUUUAGUUGCACUUAACUCUUCAAUAACCUGUCAAGGUUGAUACAAUAUAAAUAUUAAUGAACUAUUGACACCGCUUAAACCCUAUAUACAAAAUUCAUAUAGUUAAAUAUAAAUAAUAAUAUUUAUUCAACCUUACCAAAUACUCCCUCCGUUCCUUUUUAAUCGUCUCUUUUGGAGAAUUUUUUUGUUUCUAUUUAACUGUCACUUUCAAAGUUCAAUGCAACAUUAAAUGAUGUUUUAUCAAUAUACCCUUAAAUAUUUAUUGCGGAGAGAGAAAUAUAUGAAAUAAGAUAUUAAAUGAAUAAGGUCAUUAUAAUAAAAGUAUAACUUAUUGCAUCAAAAGUAGUAACAAUUAUUGAUUGUCUUGGUUUGUGUAAAAUGUCAAAAUGUGACAAUUAAAAAGGAACGGAGGUAGUAAUUACCAAGCAAGUGUGAUAUAUUUUUGCCAACCAAACUAAUACCAAGCGCCUUCAUAAAUCGUGGAAACGUCAAUGGAGAAUCAUGAUAACUUCGUUCGUAUCCUAGUACAUGCUCUAGAGCCCAUACCUAUAUAUACAUAUAUAGUAUGACUAUUAUAAUUUAAUAAAAAUAAAUAAAUUAAAUUAAAUUGUUGCCAUAAAAUGGCAUGAAGACAAAGAGUGGCCUACAAAACAAACACUCUUUCAUCUCCUGUAAAACUUCAUCCUAUGUCAUAUAGAGUUAUAAGUUGAGAUACUCAAAUUCAACGGCAAUCAUCUGUAUUUAAAAGUGCUUACAAAUUAUUACUAUAUUUUAAUGUGAGUUACACUUGUUUCAGUCAUAGUUACUAACAAGCUCUAAAUAUCAAUGAAUAAAAGAUCAAUUAUAAUCAUGUCACAAUAUGGCAUGAAGACAAAAACUAAACAUCAAAUUAAAGUUAAACUUCACAAUUUUUUAUGUAACCCAACAUAACUUGAAAUCAAUACUCAAGGUCACAAUCAUAAUACAAUAUUAAGUAGAUGCAAUACUUUUAUAGAUAAAUUACGCAACAAAUAUAUAGCAGAAUUAGUAACAACCAACAUACAAUUCAUAACAAUUUCUUUUCAUUCAGAAAACAACAAUCAAGCCUACAACUCUUAAUUUCAUAUUCAAUCGCAAUUCGCACCAUCAUAAAAUAAGCUUAAACAUCAAAUCAAGAAAUCAUGAAGAAAAAGAAGCAGCAUUAUGAGGAUAUAUCAAACUUACAAUCCAAAAACUCAAACUCAAGAAACUCUUGUAAUAUACAAAUUAUGUUACAUUUCAUUCUUGACAUAUAUAUUAUACUCUUCACAGAAGACAUAUAUGAUGACAAAGAGUGGCCUAUAAACGUAUCAAAUGAUCAUACAAUAACAUACCUGUAAUACAAGAGCGCAUCCCUUAAUCGGUAACCGUGAAGAAUUUUUUCCUUCACAAAAAAGAGGCGCUACUCGAUUUAAACUGCAAGCAAGAAUUUCAUAAACAGCGACACCCCAAUUGUAUCUCCCAAUGGAGUUCAAGUCGUCUAACAUUUUUAGGCACCACCCACUAACCUUAACACUUGAAUUUGGAAAGUAGAACUCGGCAAAACCAAGAAGUAAAUAAAGUCGGCAAAACAUCUCAGCAUCUUCGUCUCGUUCCAUAUUAAUAAUUUUAGCAUAAAUUGUUUUUACAUUGAUGACUUCAAUAUCAAACAUUGCUUUCGUAGUGGAUGUAGGGUCCUUUUUGAAGUUCACCUUUUCACCUAUUAUAUGAAGUCCUAAUGCAAAACAUACAUCUAAAGGUGUAAACCGUAUUAUACGACCUUGUAUAGCAAACCCCCCACUCCUAUCAUCCCAUCUUUCUACCAAUUCUUCAAGCAAAUUUUCGGAUAUUUUUAAUUUCUUAGGCAAACUCAAUAACCAUUUAAAUGGUGUUUUCUGAAUUUGAGACCUUUGAAGUUCGGUAAGCUUCUCGUUGACUUUAGUAAUAUACUUCGACUUACAUUCAUGCCUGAGACGUAACUGUAAUAAAACAAGAAUUCCAAAGGCGACAUAUAAGGAAAGGCAUUAACAAAAACACAAAACACUAAUGAAAUCAAACAAACUAAUUGACAUUCAUCACAUACACAUACCAUUUUGUUGGGCUAGACAAUGCUAGAAUUACCACGGGAACAUAUGCAAUUGUUAUUAGUGGUUGACAAGACUACAACAGAUGCAAUUGUUAUUGUCAAUCAAGUGAAUUGUUACUAUAAAAAUAAAAAAAUAUAAUAUAUAUAAAGGUGUGUCAUCUUCACAACUUAAUUCACAACUUAGAUAAUUUAGUUUACCGUCAAAUGCAAUCUUAAAAUUAUUUAGUUUACUAUCAAAUGCAAUCUUGAAUAAUUUAUUUCACAUCCACUACUAUUAUGUCUAGCUUUUAUCCACUACUAUUUUUGUCUAUGAUUAUUAAGAAUUGACUUAUGAAUAUCAAUGAAUGACUUGCUUCAAAUGUCUAUGAAAAUUGAAUUGUUGAAUUUCAGAUUCAGAUUUUUUUAAAUUGGAUUCAACUAGUUUGAUAUUUACUUAAUUUAGACAUAAUAGUAAUUUGCCUAAGUAUUAUAAUUUAGAACCUAGUAAUUCGCCUGUGAUCUUGGUUCACUCCGUGAAAACGGUAUCGGUGGCUGCCAUGACCGUUUUGUAACGGCGAAAUCGCACUACAGGACCGUUUUUUAAAACCUUUUUUGUUCAUAACUAUGUCUGCUACUAUAUAAUAUAGGUUUAUUAUCUUUGCUUUUCAUACACCAAAUUGUUUUAAAAAAUCAAUUUCUAACAUACAAUUUUCUUUAAUAAUUGAACUCUAUGAAUUUACCAAGAGACUAAAGCAAGCUUCAAAGACUGUCAACGAACUUUAUCACUCAAUAAAACAUUGAAAGAAAUACUUAAAUUUGUUUCAAAGAAAUGCUUACAUAAACUACAUCUCAGCCAGGACCAAAAAACAUUAGAUCACCCAAGAUCUCAGUCAAGACCUUACAUAAAUCACAAAAUGUAACAGCCAAGAGGAAGAGGAAUAUGGAAGAAAAUACCUAAGUUGAAAAAGGAACACUGUGAAAGAGAUCGUCGGAGAUGGAGCAGGAGACGGCGGCGCGCGCGCUAGGGUUGAACGGAAGAUGGAGCAGGAGACAGCGAUGCGGCUAGGGUUGAACGGAAGAUGGAGCAGGAGACGGCAACUAGGGUUGAACGGAAUGAAGGGUGGGGCGGAAGAAUGGUUGUGGCGGAAUGAAGGGGGGAAUGGAUGGAACUAGGGUGAAGAAAGAGAAAUUUUCCACCAAAUGAAUUGAAAUGAGAGAGGAGGAUACGGCUAAAUUUUUUUUUUUUUUGUCAUCUUUGAUUUUUUUUUUGAUAUGGAAUUGAUUGAUUUUUUUUAUUAUUAAUUGUAUUGCCACAUAAAGGUGGUAUAAGGUGCAUCUAUGGUGGUAUAUCUAUCACUGCUCAUUAAGAAAAUUAGCGUGCUUGCCAAUUGAAAUAACGAACAAGAAAAAAACUUAAAAAAAUGAAGCUCGCCAAAUUAAAUGUAGAACCCACAUAAUUGUUCAGAGAAAGCCUGCAAGUUUGCAGAGGGUUGUUGAAAAAAGGGACAUGUUCGCCAAGUUAAAAGGAGACCAGGGGCAUUUGUAAAAAUAAUUUUGAACUAGGGGCAGACUUGUCAAUUUUUUUGGUGAUAAGGGUAGAAAAAAAUUCCAAAAAUGUAACAUCUCAUGAAUAGGUAUACUUAUCUACCUCAGAAAUUUUAUACUCUAAUUCACAUUUUUGGUCAUUUAAGUUUGAGAAAAAUACCUGUUAGUCUUUAAAUUUUAAAUAUGUCUUUUAAAAUUUUUUGGGUUUCAAAUAGAUCUUUAAAUUGUUAAUUUAAUGUAUCUAUUUGAAGUUUUAAAUAAGUCCUUAAAAGGGUAACAGUGCAUUAAAUAAACAACUUAAAAGAUAUGCAUUAAUUAUUCAAUAAAUCUAAAAAAUCAAUUAUUUUUUAAUAAUAAUGACCGGCGGGAGUACUUCAUAAAUAUGUGUCUUAGAAAAGAUGAAGGGUAAAAAAGUGAGAUAGUGUUGUAAAAAUUCAGUAGAGAUGUGUACGGUUCAAUUUUAGAUACGCAUCAUUGGAAUUGUUUCUAAUGAACCACUAAAUUUAUACUUCCUCUGGAUGAAGGUAAUGAGAGAGAUCAUUCAAUUAAUCAACUUUAGAUGAAAUGCAUGUUGAGUUCUUUUAAGGCUUUUAUAUGUGUUUAGUCCCUGCAAAUAGGUUCAUUUAAAAAAUGAUUAAAUUUUGCGAGGGCAAAUUGCCAGGAUUAACAAAUACAUGAGUCAUUUAUUAAAAGAUCCCUAUUUGCAAGACUAAAAACAUAUAAAAGCCUUCUUUUAAUGAUGUUCUUCUCGAUAUCCCAACAUAUGAAAACAUAAUAUAAUAUGGUUUAUAAGAAAACUAAACAUUUUAUUUUAUUUUGAUCAAUGUGUUAUUUUUAAAAAAUUGUGACUUAUAAUAAUAUAAUAAUAAAGAGUAACCAAUGUUUAUUUUCUUCAAGUAUUUUACUCACAUGAGUUUUAGUAUAAAAAUUUUGUCUUUUUCAAGAAAAAGUAUAAACAUUUUGUCAACAUAUCUUAGCGGUAUCACAUCCUAAAUUUGAAAAAAUUUGUAUAUCCGCGUACCCGUAUUGUAUCCGCACCUGUAUCCACACUCGAACUUCAUAGGCGACACUACUACCUUUAGUUCACACUUUAAUCAGCGACUUUGAGACUAUGUAAUUCAAUUUUUAAGAAAAAAACACCUCAAUAAAAUAAUCGAAACACAACAUUAGAUAUAAAUCAUUUAACUUCUUUAAAAAAAAUAUAAAUUUUAAAAUUUACUAAGUUUUAUUAUACGUUAACAAGUGCCUUUAGUGCAUUAUUUAUAACUUUAAAUAGUACUCUCUCCGUUUCAAAAUACAUGUCCAAUUUUUGCAAUAUGCACUAUUCACUUGACUUACUUUGACCAUACUUUUUAACUAAUGUAUAAAUACAAAUAUUAGCAUGUAAGAUGUUGUUUGAUUUGUCUCGACAAAUAUUUUCAAAAUAUUAAAUUUUCAUAAUUUUUUACUUUAGAUAAUUAAAGAUAUUAACGGUCAAAAUUAUGCAUUGGCAUAUGUGAAGUGAUUGACUUGGACAUGUAUUUUGAAACGGAGGGAGUAAGUUUUUAUCAAAAUUUAUGAAAUCAAUGCAUUGGAAAUUGGAGUUUUUGACUUUUUUAAAUAAUAAUUUCUUUUUUAUUAAUAAUCCUUACAGAAUGUUCCGUGUCCUUGGGACACUCGUUAACAAGACUCUUAUUAUAUUCAUUUUUGUUCAAAUUAAAUUUAAACCUAAAUUUGAAAUAAAAAAACGUAUUAAUUCCCCGUACGUAGACUACAAAAUAAAUGCAUCUAUCUACCUAUAUAUCCAAUCUUUAAUUUAUUAGUUGAGUUGUUUUUUGAAAAUAAAUGCAUCUAUCUACAGAGUACUCAUAAUUGAUUAGUUGAGUUGUUUGGAAUUAAAUGCAUCUAUCUAGCAAAUACCAAAAACUAUUUGUUCUCAAUAUUGAUAUUGAUUGCUUUAUAUAAUGGCUGAAACUUACCACUCCUCACCUCUUGUACUCACAUUGAAUCUCAACAACAAACUCUUCACUAAACUCCCUUUUUGUGUUGUUCUUCCAACAACGAGUGCUUUUCACAAACAAUAAUUUGUUUUGUGAUCAUCCACUUUACCAGUUUUAAAAAUCACAAACAUCACCAUCACCGUAAGGAAAAACAAAAUUAGAGAGGGAAAUUAAUGACAGAAAAAAUAAAAUUCCUCACAAAUUCGUUGGUCACAAAAUUCAAUGAGGGAAUUAGAGAGGGAUUUCAUGUUUUUCCUCACUAAACUUCCCUCACUAAUUUUUGGUUUUUUUAGUAGUGCAUCUCAAUUGAAAACCUUCUUAUAUACUACCCAAUACAUACUGACAAAAAACAAAGAAAAAAAAUGCAUGUAUUUUAUCAAGAAAUUAAGGUGUAUAUAUAUACACAUAUACCAUAUAUUCUUAACAUCCUUUCAUGUAUUUUUUUAGCAUCCUUAAUAUAGGUAAUUAACUACUGAUGAUUAAUUGUUGGACAAUUCCUGCGAAUAUAACCGGUCUUGAAACACAGUCCAUAUUUUCUUGGUGCUUUUUCCAUAACAUCCAUUUCAGUCAGGAUGUGAGUAUUGUUUGGACGACCUUUCUUUAAUCGUCGCAUGGUUGGAUCGUGGCAAAGCUUUGUACCUUCAUGCGGGGGCCAAUAACUCUUGUCGUGGACUACUUCGAACCUUGUGUUGUAGAUUUUGUAUACACUCUCAUUUGUAAACACAGCUGGUAUAAGGGUUCGAUAAUCAUGUCGAAAACUAGAACACACGACUAUAACAUGAGAACAAGGCAAAUGUAAAGCCUAAAAUUUUGCACAGUCACACCACCCUGCCUGUAGGUCUAUACCUUGAAUGUUCCCACCGGUCUUCCCUCCCUAUAGUUUAUUGUAUUGGAACAAAAUGUGUUUAGCAAUAACUCUUAAGAGUUUUUAUGCUAACAAAGUAAUAAAAAUUGUAAAUUGGAUAUGCUAAUAUUUGUUCAAGUGUACAGGACUAUAGACAAAAAUUGGGUUAAUAGGUCUUUAACUCCCUGUAAUAUAGGGCACUUUUGGUUUUGCCCCCUGUAAAUUUUUUUUUUUAGAUUCCGUCCUUGUAAAAUGAAGAUUCUUCAAGAUUGCCCCCUGAGCUCUGUGACUCAGCAGAAUCUAUGAUGUGGCACCUACAUGACAUUUUUUUUUUUAUUUUUCAUUUUUUUUUGGAUGCCAAGUGUAAAAAAUAAUUUACAUGUCAUUUAAAAUUAAAAAAAAAAUAAAAAAUCUAUUUUUUUAAAAAACUAAAAAUAAUUUAAAAAUCAGAAAAAAAAUAGAAAUUUUUUUUUUAAAUAAAGUUCCAGAUUUUUUUUAAAAUACUUCCUAAUUCCAAAUUCUUUUUAAAAAAUCGACAAAAAUUUCAGAUAUUUUUAAAAAAAUUUAAAAAUUCAGAUUUUUAAAAAAAAAAUAAGUUCUGGAUUUUUGUUAAAAUCAGAAAAAACAUGCAGAUUUUUUUAAUUUAAUUUUUAAAAUAAAAAAAUUAUUUUAUAUUUCAAAAUCUUUAUUCCAGAAAUUUUAUAAAUUCUUUUUUGAAAGUAAAUAAUUAGAAAAAAAUUCAAAUAUUUUUUACAAAUUCAAAAAAAUUAGACAAUACUUUUUUUUUUCCAAAUUUUAUAAUUUUAAUUUAAUUCGGAUUUUUUUUUUAAAUUUAGUAUAAUUUUUUUUGAAAAUUUGGAAAUAUAUUAAGUUCGAGAAUGGAAACGGUAUACCAUAUGGGAUUUUCCUGUCAUUGAUGGGAAAUAUAUUAAGUUAGCAUUUAGAAAAAAAUUCAAAAAAUAUAUUCCUGAAUUUUUACGAAUUUAUUUUUUAUUUAAAAAAAAUAAAAUAAAAUCAUUUUUUUUCUGAAAUUAGGAAGUAUUUUAAAAAAAAAAAACUGGAUUUUAUAAAAAAUUUCAAACACAAAUCAGAAUUUUUUCUAAAUUUAGAAUUUUCGACAAUAUCUGAAAUUAAGAUUUUAAAAAUUUAAAUAAAAUCAAAUUUUUUUUUCAGAUUAAAUAGUUGGAAUUUAAAAACAUUUAUAUCCAAAUUUUUAAAAAUUAAAAUAUUUUCCAGAAUUUUCUUUCUUUGUAGAAAAAAUUUAAAAAAAAAAUUUAUUUCGAAAAAGAUAAGACAAUUUUCUAUUUCGGAAAAAAAAUCUAAAUGUUUUUUAAUUUUUGGAAAAAAAAAUCUAAUUUUUUUUCGAUUUAAAAAAAUAGUUUGAAUUUUUUCAGAUUUUUUAAAAUAUGAUUUUUCUUUUUUUUACAUUUUAUUUUUUAAAUUUUUUCAGAUUUAUAAUUUAAAAAAAGAAUUUAUAAAAUUUCUGAAAUAAAGAUUUUGAAAUAUAAAAUAAUUUUUUUAUUUUAAAAAUUAAAUUAAAAAAAUCUGCAUGUUUUUUCUGAUUUUAACAAAAAUCCGGAACUUUUUUUUUUUUUUUUUAAAUCUGAAUGUUUAAAUUUUUUUAAAAAUAUCUGAAAUUUUUUUCGAAUUUUUAAAAAGAAUUUGGAAUUAGGAAGUAUUUUAAAAAAAAAUCUGGAACUUUAUUUAAAAAAAAAAAAUCUAUUUUUUUUUCUGAUUUUUAAAUUAUUUUUUGUUUUUUAAAAAAAAUAGAUUAUUUAUUUUUUUUUUAAUUUUAAAUGACAUGUAAAUUAUUUUUUACACUUGGCAUCCAAAAAAAAAUGAAAAAUAAAAAAAAAAUGCCAUGUAGGUGCCACAUCAUAGAUUCUGCUGAGUCAUAGGGCUCAAGGGGCAAUCUUGAAGAAUCUUCAUUUUACAAGGACGGAAUCUAAAAAAAAGAAUUUACAGGGGGCAAAACCAAAAGUGCCCUAUAUUACAGGGGGGUAAAGACCUAUUAACCCACAAAAAUUUGACAUCUUAAAAAGGUCUUGGAAGAACAAAUAAAGAGCAAAUACAUCAACAAAAAGGGAAGCUUAAAGCGUCUGAAGAGAAUUGCUCCUGAAGUGAUGAUGUAACGCCCUCUCUAAUUAUUUGAUUAUUUAAAUGAGUUUAGAAUAUACUUAUAUGAUUUGUAUGAUUUAUAUGAUUUAUUUUGAUGAGUGAUAUUUUGAUAUGUUAUAUGUUGGUAUUUAUUAGUAUAAUAUAUAUAUAUAUAUAUAUAUAUAUAUAUAUAUAUAUAUAUAUAUUAUUUGUUGUAGAAAUAUAUGUCAUUUGUUAUAGAAAUAUAUAUGAUUUGUUGUAGAAAUAUAUGUCAUUUGUUAUAGAAAUAUAUAUGAUUUGUUGUAGAAAUAUAUGUCAUUUGUUAUAUAAAUAUAUAUGAUUUGCUGUAGAAAUAUAUGUCAUUUGCUAUAGAACUAUAAAUGAUUUGUUAUGGAAAUAUAUAUAUAUAUAUAUAUAUAGGGCAUAUCAAGUGAGAGGAGUUGUUAAAAUGAGAGAUGAGAGGAAUAAACCUCAACCAUUAGAUCAAAAUCAAUGGCUCACAUUAAAACUCUUAUUGUAGUGACUUAUGUGCUUUAAUAGUAUUAAGGAAUGAUUCAAUAGUAUUAAUCCAUGUAAUUCUGAUGAUUAAAUUAACAAGUUAGAAUUGAAUUAGAAAAUUUAUGAAUUUAGGGUUAAUAGGUGAUUUUGAUGAUCCAAUGAUGUUAGGUUGUUAGAUUGAUGUUUAAAACGUCCCUUGACCUUAGAUUAUGAUUAAGAUGAAUUAAGGAAUCGAAAUUAGGCUUAAAACUUUGAGAAAGGAUGAAUUUUUGAGAAAAACUGCAUUCUGCCCGAGCCUACAUUCAUCGCUCGCCAUAGCGAGCGAUGAUCCUCGCCUCGCGAGUGAUGAUGUUCAUCGCUCGCCACGCGAGCCAUUUCCCUCCGCCUCGCGAGUUACAAGUCGUAGCUCGCCACAGCGAGCAACCUUACUCGCCAUAGCGAGCAUGACCAGAGAGCAUGUUGGAUUUCGUGAUUUUAAGCUGUGAGUUGAACCUUAGAUGUUUUUGAGUGCCUGAAGAUGCAUAUUAAAGAUUAGAUAAUGAUUUAGAACAAGAUUGAACCUGGUUUAGCUUAGAACAACAUUAGGUUGAAUUCUGGCUUGUACUUGCCAUGGCGAGCAGAUGCUCUCGCCUCGCAAGCACUUCUAGAACUGAGUGCAAUUGAGAAUGUCGUGACUUGAGUUGCUUGAAUUGAUGAGGAAUGAAACUUUAGGUAGUAGUGAGAUAUAGUUUAGAUGUUAAACGAAAUAUGUGAAGCUGUUAUGAACUAUUAAGCUGAUUAUGAUGUGAUUUAUUGAUUAUCAUACCCCAAUUUUUGACCUAAGGUCGCACUGACAUGUGUCGCUUAACCCUGAUCAAUCUCUGACGUUUUAGUAAAAAUUCGGCAGGGAGGUAUUUUAAAAUACCUCGUUUGGUUCCGAGUUAGGCCUUUUCUCUCCGUCUUCAAUCAUUUAUUUUUAAAUUAAUUCUAAUUUUAUUUUAUUUUUCUUUUAAUUUUAAAAUCAGUAUUUCUUUUAAUUCCAUUUUAGAUAAGUCCAAAGUCAAGUCUGCAUUUAUUUUUUAUGCUUAUUUUUAUUUUUAUUUUCUCAUUUGUAAUUUUAUUCAUGUGUUAUUAUCCGAAAAAAUCCAAAAAAAAUUAAAAGGUCCUGAUCCAAAAAACAGCCUGUCUCACGCGUUUCAACCAGGCGUUUCAAUCCAAAGAACAAGCUUCUCAUCAUCCAAAUCCGAUUCCAAGCCAAUCCAGCUUUCACCAAGCCUCAUCUGCAGAAACUCAGGAACAGAAUCACACUCCUCUCUCCAUCCCGAUCACCUAAUUUCUGCGGAAUUUUAACAAACCCUAGCCUCAGCCCAGUACUAUAAAUACAUGGCUGAUGGGAUAAAACCGCAAGUGCACGGUCUUAUCGAAGUAGUAAAAUAAGAGUAUCGUUCCGACAGGGAGUUAUGAAUUCAAUUAUCUUUUAACAAUGAUUAGAAUUAAAGUAUAGGAAGUAGAAAGUUGUAUUUUUAUAUAUUUAAAAGAAAAUAAUAAUAAAAGAUAAAAGCCUUGGGAUUAUUGGUUCUUCCUAACGACAAGUCCUUCUCAAACCAAACUAUUAAACUUAUAACUUUAUGUUAGACCUAAUUUCUCAAGACAGUUUCUCUUUUGUUCCUCUAGCAACCAAGCCUAUUUCGCUGACUUGAUUACUAUUAGAUUUUGGUUCCUCUAACAACCAAGCCUAUUUCGCUGACUUGAUUGUUAUUAGUUCCCUUGAAGAUCGAAACUAUAUGUCUCAAAGACUGCAAAACCUAUUUCGUUGACUUUGCAAUCCUUGUCUAAAUUCACUUGUUCGAAUAUCAAAGCUCCACUUUCGUUUUAUGAAUUGAUAUUUGAGAUGAUGGAUAAACAAUUAUCAAACCCUCCACUUUCGUUUCCACAGUUUGAUAAUGGUUGAUCCAUGUUAAAGCGGUGAAUUUAGAUAAGGAAUUAGGGUUACAUAAGAUUAAGGUUUAAAGCUUGGUUUGAUUAGGAUUAUGUCAUUAGACUUAUCCAACAAUCCUAAGACAAGAGAAGUCUACUCACUGACGUUCAUCGUAGACAAGGGGAAGAAGAGAGAAAGCAUAAAAGUAAAUAACAAUAAAGUAAAAUGAACUUGUAUUAGAAAGACAAUUGUCACAUAUUGUAUUCCAAGAAAAGAUGAAUAUUAGUGAUGGCUAGCUACUCUAUUUAUAGUACACAAUUGACUUAAAAUCUAAGCAAGUAUAUUCCUAGAAUAUUCCUCGGUAGAUUGUGCGCCAAAAUAGAAUAGCUUGGAGUCAAAGCAAAAGCAGCAAAAGGCAUCUGGAGGGUGGCACGGCCGUGCCAAGGCUAGCACGGGCCGUGCCAAGCUUCUGACUUGUGGGAGAUAUAUUUUGUUUCCCAAUCUUCAUGUUUUUGUGUCCAAUCUGCUCCAAAUCCCUUUCUUUUGCUCCAAGACUCUCUCCAUCCAAUAUUCUUCCCUGAAAUAUAAUAAAUUGCAUUUUAAAGUAAACUAUCCUAAAAAGGAAAUAAUACUAAUAUAAAAUUAUAUAAAAUCUAAACUAAAAAGCAUAUUAAAAUAACAUAUAAUUGACUCAUCAAACUCCCCCAUACUUGAAUCUUUGCUUGUCCUCAAGCAAAAGGCAUAAACAUAGUAGCACCAACAGUUAUAUCAAAUGACAAUUCAAUUAAAGCACAUGUCUCCUCAAGGGCUUAAAUCCCAAAUGUACACUAAUCACAAACUCAAGCAUUUCUUGUAAUUUUUAUUCAACCCAACGAUCAAGUUUCAAGUGAGUGUGUGUGUGAAGUCCAACCCUUUUCUUGCUCCUGUAUAAGAUAGGCAUUAUGAGGAAACAUGGUCUAAUCCUAGCACUAAACCAACCAAGAAAGAUUCCUUCUAUAAUUCAUAUAAGAGAGAUGAGAGUAUUUGAGAAUCUUUGUUCUUUGCCAUUUGCACAUUUUAAGUUCUUUAUUUAAGGAACAACAUCUUCACGUAGGAGGUCGGAGGGCCUACCCCCUUCCCCAAUCUAGAUUCAAUGGUAUCCCUUAAAACAUCAUCUUCACGUAGGAAGUCGGAGGGCCUACCCCCUUCCCCAAUCUAGAUUCAAUGAUGCGUUUUAAAGUUUUUUUUCUCAAGAUAACAGUCAUCUUCACGUAGGAAGUCGGAGGGCCUACCUCCUUCCCCAAUCUAGAUUCAAUGAUGAGAUCUUGGAAUUUAUUUGGCUUUUUGGCUUUUUAUGAAUUCCCUUAUACUCACUUAUACUACUUGCACUUUGAGAAUCUUUAAAGGUUAAUGUACCACUAAGAUUAAAAAGCGUUUCCUUAAAAUACCUAUUCAUACAUUUACUCAAGGGAAGCAACUUUGUGUUUUUCUCAUUGGAGAAUUUUAUUCACUUUAAAACAAGAUGUGGGUAUAUCAAGAAGACUUAAAACACAAGAGUUUACUUUCAUGUACAAGAAUCAACCAAAUAAGAGGAGACAAUGAAAAUUUUGUGUCAUGAUAUUUUCAAUAAAAAUUAGCUACUUAACCAUGCCUUUUACAAUAGAACUAUACAAAAGAAUAAAGUUCAAGGGAGUUUGGAAACACUACGACUAUUGACACUUUAUUAGGCUCCCCCCACACUUAGGAGAAGCAUUGUCCUCAAUGAUUUAAAAGAAGAAGAAGAAAAAGAAGAAAAAGAAGAAGAGGAUGAAGAAAGAAGAGAAGUAGAGAAGAGUAAAGGAAGAGGAGAGCUCACAAUUUUAUUGAAGUCCUUAAGGUGGACCUUGGAGGUGAAGAUGUUGCAUCAUGUAUCGGAACAUUUGAUUGUUAUUCAUUUAUUUGAUUGCCCCUUAGGACAUCGUUUCUUAGCCCGAUCAUUUCAACACCUUGUCUUUGUUGCUCGGUGCAUGUUCUUUGAACUUCGGUUUGCAUCAAUGCCCACCGUUCAUCAUUAUAGUUUCCACCGGCUUCUUGUUAAUGGUGCAAGUUUGCACCUACCUCCUCUUCAUCACCACCAUCAUCACCAUCAUUUUGUACCUGUGGGUUAGUACCAACAUAAAGCAAAUUUUCCACCACCUCCGGAUUAGUAAUGUCCGAAUUAGGUAGAAUAAUCAAACAAUUAGCUCUAAUGAUUCUCCAUGCAUGUUGGUAAUUGUGAGUAGAGUCAUGGUUUUUAAGGAAUGACAAAGUAGUAUAAAAGUUUAGAUAAUAGUUCUCAUCUAUCCUCUUGAUCCCUUGAUUCAUACUCACCCCAAACUUCUUAGCAAUAAAAGUGAUGAUUCCAUCUACCAUUAUAUUACCCUUAUCAUCCGGUUUUCUUUUUAUCAAUUGAAACAAGAUAAUCAAGCAAGUAAUAGCAAAUGUUAACAUGGUGGUUAUAAAGCAUUUCUCAUAAAUAGCUCAUCAUUCCUCAUCAGUCCCUACCUCUUUCCUAGUCUAUCCAUAGCAUUAUUAUCAGUGUAUCUACAAGCAUAAAUAGAUUGAGAGAUAAGAGCUUUAGACCUACUCCUUUGCUUGUCAUCUUUAAAAUGGAUGCCAUGGUUCUUGGAUGUUGCUUUCUCUUUCUUUGCACCACUUCUAGAGCUUUCAAUCUCCUUGCCUUUUUUAUGCCAUUGACCUAGUUAACUUGGUUUGGGUUUUAGGGAAGGUUAUGGUUUGGUAAGGUUUUGGUUUGGAAAGGUUGGUUUAGUGAUGGGUUGGGGUUUAAGUGAGGUUGAUGAGUUUAAUGAUGGAGAUUGGUGAAGAAUUUUUUUUUGGUUUUUGGGUUAGGGUUAAAUAGUGUAGAAUUUGGUGUUUGAAUGGAUGAUUGUUGGUUUUGAUUGGUGGUAAAUGUUUGGAAUGAUGAAUGGAGAUAGAUAUGGAGGUUUAAAUGUUGAUGUUAUGGAGGUUUAGAGAGGGAAGUUGAAGGAUGAGGGUAGUUUAUGUUUGAGAAUGAAGGAAGAAGAAGAAAAGUGAAAAAAAAAUGGUAAAAGAGGGUCUGGGACCAUGGCACGGCCGUGCCAGUAUAGGCACGGGCCGUGCCAACUCUCUGGAAGUUGGUGAAGUAUGGCUAGGUUACAGGCACGGCCGUGCCAUCACUGGCACUGGCCGUGCCAAGCUUCUGGACAUGCAAGGCUCAAUUUUCUUCAUUUUUCGCAUCAUUUUUGGACAAAUACCUACAAAAUAAAUUAAAACAACAAAAAAACAAACAAAAUAAAAGCAAUUAAACCCGUGGGUUGCCUCCCACGAAGCGCUCUUUUAGAGUCAUUAGCUUGACGAUUGUCGCGCCAUUUUUCGGACGUCAAGGCCAUUUGAUUGACUUUGACUCACUUUUUUACUCACGACUGAACAAAUUUUUUUUAAGGGGAAAAAGUUCCAAACAACGGUGUUAUCGUGGUUUUUGGGUGCAGGAAAUGACCAAAAUACCCUUCUGUAUGACUUUUUGCAAAUUUUGAAAUAAACUGUAGAAAAAGCAAUGUAAUGAUCCAGAGACACUUUUGAAUGACUUAUAAGACAAGUAAAGACAUUUCAAAAGGUUUUAUGCAAGAAAAACAUAGGUAAAAUUGUGAUUGAAAAUACUGCGAGGCAGAGACAAUUUGAACUGUGCAGUUGAAAUUUGAUAAUUGACAAAGUUUGAAAUGAAAUUGGACCCAGUAUUUUUAGGUCCAAAAACAGGGUAUAACAAACGGGUUAUAUUGCUAUCCCUUGUGAGUGCCAGAACGUUCUCUUGCUUUUACUAAACAUUCUCAUGAAACAUUUCUCACAAAAUUCAUUAGUAGAUAACAAUAUAAAUUAAAGUAAAUAUGUUUGUUAUCUUUAAAACAUCAAUAAAAGAUUUUGCUUUCAACAAUCUCCCCCUUUUUGAUGAUAACAAACAUGUGAAGAAUUUCAUUUGAUUCCUUUAUUCAAAAUCAGCCUUUUUGGAAAUGUUUCUUUUUGGACUGCUGCUGCUGUUGUUGCCUAUGCAACUUUAUGUUUAGUCUAUGUGACUUUUAUGCAUUUAAAACUCUGCUUUAUUUUGGUUUGUAAUAUGCUAGAUCACUGCUACUAUGUUACUCUUAUGCUGCUGCUUGUUUUAUAUAUAUGCAUUCUAUGCUUUAUGAAAAAAUCAUGAUUGUUAAAUUAUAACUUUAUCUUGCCAUGAUUUUAAAAGGAAACAAGUAAUUCCUAAAAAUAAAAUCUGCCAUAUACACUGUUUCAAUUCAUGAAAGUUUAUCAUUUUCAAUUUCUAAUAAAAGAUAUUGGAUGCUUAAAUUGAGGGGGAGUUUUUAUGAUAAACUUAUUUCUCAAAAAUUGCCAAAAUUCUUAUUUGAAUAAAGGAAUCAAAUGAAAUUCUUCACAUGUUUGUUAUCAUAAAAAAGGGGGAGAUUGUUGAAAGCAAAAUCUUUUAUUGAUGUUUUAAAGAUAACAAACAUAUUUACUUUAAUUUAUAUUGUUAUCUACUAAUGAAUUUUGUGAGAAAUGUUUCAUGAGAAUGUUUAGUAAAAGCAAGAGAACGUUCUGGCACUCACAAGGGAUAACAAAAUCUUAUCGAAAAUGGAUAUGAACAAAUAUGAGCUUUUUGGGCAAUUGUCAAGAUAUGCAUAAUUAAGAUCAAGACCAAAGCAAAUAUUCUCUUUUGUCUCACUUAAAGAGGAAAGAAAUCAAGGUUCUUGGAAAUGCAUUAAAGGACAAAGAAACAAAGGAAAUAAAUUAUAUUCUUGCACAUGUGUUGGAAGCAAAAAGAAUAAAAUCAUCCUUGGGCCCUCAUGUGGCUUUUUCGAUCCAUUAAGGAAUUUUGAGGAAAAGGAAUAUUCAAAGGAUCAAGUAUCUAUCUCCAAGCUACAUGACAUCAUCAAGAUGAUCUAAGCAAACAUCAUCAAGUGGGCAGCAAGUUACCAAGGCUUGAUCACAGCUCAUCACCAACUAAGCAAGCACGUGCUCUACAAUUUUCGUUCAAGUUUUGGUUGGAACUGAGAGAAUGAUCUGGGCGAAACUGAAGGAACAUUCUCUACAUGCUUUCUCCCCAAGUCUCUUUAGGAGCCAAAAUUCAAAUUCAAAUUGGAAGCACAACAGCUCUUUAUUAGCUUGCUCUCCAAGGAAUUCAACUCUAUAAAUAGAAGAGGACAUUGAAGGAGAAAAGCAAGAGUUUGAAAUACAAAGCAUUUAUUUCUCUCAAAGCAAAAGCUAUCAAUCUCUUCAAUCAUCUUUUCUCAUUGAGAACAUAUUUCUAAGUUUGUACAAGGAUAGUUUGUUUGACAUAUAAAGUUCCAAACAACAUCCUACACAUCUUUUGUUUGAGACGCCAGAUCCAAACAGCAUCUUUAUUACUUUUGUUUGAGACAUUCGAUCCAAACAAAUCACCUUACAAAGAGAUAACUAGAUCUCAAGUCUAUUGGGCUUAAUAGUUUGAGAUAGGAAAAGUUCCAACCUUUCUUGUGCGAAAGCAAAGAAUUGUAGAAGCCUGCUGAGGUUGAUAAUACAGUGGUUACGGACUGAUCUAGUGUGAUCAAGACCUUAUAGUGUUGGUUAGAAGUUUCUACCAACUGCAUACUAUAGUGGAUAAUCUCACACGAAGUGUGGGGACUGGAAGUAGCCGGGUUUGGUGAACCAGGAUAACUCUCCUGUGUUAUUCUCUCUCUCUCUCUCUCUUACUUAUACACACUAAACACACACAUUAUCACAAAGCUUUAAUUUUCACCUCCAGAACAUUCUGGUCCUAAUCUCAACCAUAUUAAUCCAGAGUUCUCUGGUCCUAACUUAACUCAUAUUAUUCUGAUAAAUUAAACUGCCUCCAGAACAUUCUGGUCCAAGAUAAAACAGCUGCUUAAUACUUGACUAAAAGUUUAAAAUUCAGUUUAUUAUUGUUUUAACAUUCUACACUUAUAUUAUUUCUUUCCAGAACGUUCUGGUCCUUUAUACAUCAAGUUAAUAUUUAUCUGCUUAACUAAUAUUUACCAAGAUCUUUCUUGAGUACAUAAAAUCUAAUUUAAAGUUUCAGGAAUAAUUUUAAAAGGGUCACAAUUCAAACCCCCCCUUUCUUGUGACGUUUAUUGCUACUUCAAUUGGUAUCAGAGCAUGAUGCCUCAGGUUUGAUAGUCACUAUUGCUGUGGUUGCAUUAGUGAUUUGUGGUACAAAGUUACCUUCAGUGAUAACCUUCCACAUAUCUAUAGAACUGAAUUUCUGUUGUUUGGAGAGGAACAUGACAGCCUGUUUCUUAGCUGUGAAUGAGCUGUUUGUGAGCUGUGUGUUUGGAUAUUAUCGGACAAAAUUUUGACAAAAAAUAAAAUAAAAGGGACUAAAAAUAAAUAAGAUAAAAUAAAGGUUAAAAAAUGAAUUUAAAGUUAAUAAAAGAUGGAAAUUAAAAUUAAAUGAAAAUUGAGAGAAGAGGGCCCGACUCGGAAUCAACUAUGAGGUAUUUUAAAAUACCUCCCUGCCGAAUUUUUUGCUCGAAAGGUUGAGAUCGGUCGGAGCUAAAUGACACGUGUCAGUGCUGUCUUAGGUCAAAAAUUGGGGUAUGACAGAUGCCCCUAUUUAAGUUUCUUCGUCCGGAGAUUUGAAGAUGGAAUCUUUGAUUGGAUGGGUCGAAGAGACUUAAAUACAAGAGUACACCAUUUUUGACCUAAGAUGCUUAUGAAUGCAUGUAAUGCAAUUAUGAAUGCAAGAUGAUGAAGAUGAUUUGACUGGAAAGAGAAGCAACAAUGGGAUACCCGAAUUCGCUGAAGAAAAUGGACCUGACUCCGCUAGGGGAAUGUAGUUUCACUGGGGAAAAUACUGUCAGUUAUUGUAUUGGUUUGAAAUUGAAAUUGAAAAUUGACUGGAGACAUCAGUGGCACAGCUUUCGUUGGGGAUGACAGUUGAGAGAAUAGAAAUUUAGUGACGUCUCGUCAUCCGACAUACCGGGAGAUGACACUAUUGACAUUCCGUCAUCCGACAAAACGGGGAAUGGUACACUAGAUAUUCCGUAAUCCGACAAACCGGGGAAUGACACUUGAUAUUCCGUAAUCCGACAAAUCGGGGAAUGAUACACUUGGUAUUCCGUAAUCCGAUAAACUGGGGAAUAAAGUUUUUUGAGAUUCCGUAAUCCGUCCAAAACGGGGAAUGAAGUUUUUGAUAUUCCGUCAUCAGACAAUACGGGGAAUGAAACACUUGACAUUCCGUCAUCCAAUAAAACGGGGAAUGACACUUGAUAUUCCGUAAUCCGAUAAAUCGGGGAAUAAAACACUUGAGAUUCCGUAAUCCGUCAAAAACGGGGAAUGAAGUUUUUGAUAUUCCGUCAUCCGACAAUGCGGGGAAUGAAACACUUGACAUUCCGUCAUCCGAUAAAACGGGGAAUGGUACACUUUUUAUUCCGUAAUCCGGCAAAUCGGGGAAUAUAAACACUUAACAUUCCGUAUUCCGACAAAUCGGGGAAUGACACUCAACCAAUCAAACGUCAAUUUCUACCCCGAACUACGAGGUUGGCCUCAGGAGAAACGCAUGGGCCUGGAUUAGACCGGUUCAGACCGGUUCAGAUUUGAACCGGUUCGGUCUAGUAGUAUAAAUAGGCAGGACUGGUUUUUUUCAUUCAAUUUUAUUUUUCUUUCUCUCUCUUCUCUUAUUUUAGAGAGAGAAGCUCUCCCUUCUCUCUUCCCUUUCUUCAUCUUCUCCGGUGGAGAGAUGGUGGUCGGAGGUACUUCCGGCGCGGUGGUCGACCGGCCAAGGAGGCGGCGCCACCACGCCGGGAAGCAGAAACUCCUUUUUUUUAAAAAAGGUUUCAACUUUCUCAGUUCUUUUUUCGUCCUCUAUUCGAUUCCACCCUCAAAAUUCCAAACAAAAGAACGUACGGUCCUAGAUCUAAGAUUAGAAAAUACUACCUUUUUGAUUUGAACUGUUUUUUAUGACGGUUUGGUUCGUUGCCGGAUUCGGAUUUUGUUUGAGAAUAACGUGCGUGCGUGAUUGUGUUGUUUGUGGUUGUUUUGCGGUUUUGGUUGGAUUGAGUUGGUGCUGGAAAAUUGUUCUGUGUUUUGGAUGCGGGUUUGGGAUCGAAAAAGAAUGAAAAUUGUUGUCUUGUUCUGGCCGUGGAAUGUUUUUUUUUGUUUGUUGGCCCCCUUUUUGGCUGUGCUUGUGUGUUGUAUUUAUAGAGCUGAUUUGAGCAAAGUUUUGUUGCUUGGAGAGGAACAUGACAGGCUGUUUUUGUGGCUUGGAGAGGAAGCCGUUUUGUGGCUUGGAGAGGAAGCUCACAGGCUGUUUUGUGCUGUGAUAUUAUCGGACCAAAUUUGACAAUAUUUUUGGACAUUAAAAAAAAUUAAAGGACUAAGAAUAAAUAAAACAAAAAUAAGAUAAAAUAAAGGUUAAAAAAUGAAUUUAAAGUUAAUAAAAGAUGGAAAUUGAAAUUAAAUGAAAAUUGAGAGAAGAGGGCCCGACUCGGAAUCAACUAUGAGGUAUUUUAAAAUACCUCCCUGUCGAAUUUUUGCUCGAAAGGCUGAGACCGGUCGAAGUUAAAUGACAUGUGUCAGUGCUGUCUUGGGUCAAAAAUUGGGGUAUGACAACGAUUAGAAGGUUUCUCUACCCAAUACCCAAUCUUUCCCAAAGGGAUAAUGGCAUCAACCUAAGAUUCUCUCCCAAAUUACACAUAGCUUUUUCAAUGGUUUCACUCUCAACAAUCACACAAGGGGUGGAAAAACUCUCAAUCACUAUGAGGUUAGGCUUAACAAGCCUUUGUGGGACAUGGAUUUUGAGUUUAUAAGGUGGUGAAACGAUUGGCUUAUCACUCUCUCCUAUGACUUCCUCACCUUGUUGCUUUUCACUCUCUAUCUCACCCUCAAUUGUCUUAGUUUUCAUAAUGGGGUCCUCUAACUGCUUACCGUCCCUAAGUUGAAUAGCAUUUAUAAGGUCUUUGGGGUUGGCUUCAGUUUGACUUUGAAAGACAUCGGGGGUUUGAGAGGAAGUAGCUACUUUAUGGGCUACUUGAGAGAUUUGAGUUUCUAGCAUUCUAAUGUGAGUAGCAAUGGAGUCCACUUUAGAUGUAAGCUUAACAAAAGAGUCAUUCAAAGAUCCAGUUUGAUUUUUAAGUUCUUGAAAUUGCUUGGAUUGCUCCAUAGCAUGUUUUUCUAGUAAAAUUUCCAAGCUGGAUUUCUGAGAGACUCUUUCGUUGUUUGCACAAAUGGGUGGUGUUGUUUGUUGUCCAAAGGUAUAAAAGUUUUGCUCGGGACUUUUAGCAACACUACCUAGUUGGCAUUCAACAUCAGUAUGGUCAAAUAUUCCACAAAAUUCACAAGGUGGUGAGACAAGAGCAGGUUUGACGACACUUACAGUUAAUUUAUCAAAUUUUUGAAGAAGUGUGUCCACCUUAGCAGAUAGAUGAUCAAGGGUAGAAACCUGGCACAUACCUUCCUCUUUUUUAGAGGGUGGAGGAGUACCUUCAGUGAUAACUCUCUCACUUGUCCACUGAUAGUGGUUGUAUGCCAUGUCCUCGAUCAAAUCAUAUGCUCCUGUGAAAGUUUUAUUCAUUAAAGCUCCACCUGCAGCUGCAUCAACAUUCAUUUUUGUGGAAAACAAAAGACCAUUAUAAAAAGUGUGGAUAAUAAGCCAAUUCUCAAAACCAUGAUGGGGGCAAAGCCUAAGCAUUUUUUUGAAACGCUCCCACGCAUCGUAAAGAGAUUCACCAUCUUUUUGAGUGAAUUGUGUGAUUUGACUUCUCAAUUGAGCAGUUUUACUAUGGGGAAAGAAUUGGGAAAUAAAUGCCUUCCUCAUUUGGUUCCAUGAAGUGAUAGAACCAAUUUGCAAUGAAUGAAACCAAGCACUAGCUCUAUCCCUCAAAGAGAAAGGAAAGAGGUGCAGCCUUACGGCCUCUUGGUUUGCCUUCAAAGUUCCACUGAGUCUUAAAAAAAUUGAAACAUGAAAAUUCGGAUCCUCAGUGGGUGAUCCGAAAAAUUGAUUUUGCUGCACUAGGUAAAUAAGUGCAGGCUUUAUUUCAAAUUUAAUAUCCUCAACCGUUGGAUACACAAUAGCAUCGUACGGCUCAUCUGAAGAUGUGAUUGCAUACUCUUUGAGAGCACGUUUCUCAGCCAUAUCGUUAUUACUGUGUGUUUCUUUGAGCCAUCCCUGAAAUCAAAGCGGUUAAGGAUAGAAAAUAAAAAAAUAAUAAAAAAUAAAAUAAAUAAAAUAAAAAAAUAAAAUAAAAUAAGGAGAAAUAGAGGGAGAGAGAUUUUAUAUAUAAAUAUAUAUAUAUUUUUAUUUUUUAUAUUUUUAUAUUUUUUAUAGAGAGGGAGAUAUAUAUAUAUAUAUAUAUAUAUAUAUAUAUAUAUAUAUAUAUAUAUAUAUAAAAUAAAAAUAAAAUAAGAGAAGGAAAUAAAAUAUAUUAUAAAUAUAUAAAAAAAUAAAAAAUAAAAAGGUAAGAAAAAAGGAAAUAAAAUAUUUUAUAAAUAUAUAUAUAUAUAUACUAUUUUUUUUUAUAUAAUUUUUUUUAAGACUAACCACUAUUAAAAAGUUAAUCAAAUUACAAUAACUCCCCGGCAGCGGCGCCAAAAACUUGAUGGGAUAAAACCGCAAGUGCACGGUCUUAUCGAAGUAGUAAAAUAAGAGUAUCGUUCCGACAGGGAGUUAUGAAUUCAAUUAUCUUUUAACAAUGAUUAGAAUUAAAGUAUAGGAAGUAGAAAGUUGUAUUUUUAUAUAUUUAAAAGAAAAUAAUAAUAAAAGAUAAAAGCCUUGGGAUUAUUGGUUCAUCUUAACGACAAGUCCUUCUCAAACCAAACUAUUAAACUUAUAACUUUAUGUUAGACCUAAUUUCUCAAGACAGUUUCUCUUUUGUUCCUCUAGCAACCAAGCCUAUUUCGCUGACUUGAUUACUAUUAGAUUUUGGUUCCUCUAACAACCAAGCCUAUUUCGCUGACUUGAUUGUUAUUAGUUCCCUUGAAGAUCGAAACUAUAUGUCUCAAAGACUGCAAAGCCUAUUUCGCUGACUUUGCAAUCCUUGUCUAAAUUCACUUGUUCGAAUAUCAAAGCUCCACUUUCGUUUUAUGAAUUGAUAUUUGAGAUGAUGGAUAAACAAUUAUCAAACCCUCCACUUUCGUUUCCACAGUUUGAUAAUGGUUGAUCCAUGUUAAAGCGGUGAAUUUAGAUAAGGAAUUAGGGUUACAUAAGAUUAAGGUUUAAAGCUUGGUUUGAUUAGGAUUAUGUCAUUAGACUUAUCCAACAAUCCUAAGACAAGAGAAGUCUACUCACUGACGUUCAUCGUAGACAAGGGGAAGAAGAGAGAAAGCAUAAAAGUAAAUAACAAUAAAGUAAAAUGAACUUUUAUUAGAAAGACAAUUGUCACAUAUUGUAUUCCAAGAAAAGAUGAAUAUUAGUGAUGGCUAGCUACUCUAUUUAUAGUACACAAUUGACUUAAAAUCUAAGCAAGUAUAUUCCUAGAAUAUUCCUCGGUAGAUUGUGCGCCAAAAUAGAAUAGCUUGGAGUCAAAGCAAAAGCAGCAAAAGGCAUCUGGAGGGUGGCACGGCCGUGCCAAGGCUAGCACGGGCCGUGCCAAGCUUCUGACUUGUGGGAGAUAUAUUUUGUUUCCCAAUCUUCAUGUUUUUGUGUCCAAUCUGCUCCAAAUCCCUUUCUUUUGCUCCAAGACUCUCUCCAUCCAAUAUUCUUCCCUGAAAUAUAAUAAAUUGCAUUUUAAAGUAAACUAUCCUAAAAAGGAAAUAAUACUAAUAUAAAAUUAUAUAAAAUCUAAACUAAAAAGCAUAUUAAAAUAACAUAUAAUUGACUCAUCAAUGGCCUGCAGAACACAAAAAAGGGCAGAACACGGGGAACACACAGAAGCCAGACAACAGAAAUCGCACAACACCAGAAAAGGAGAGGAGAAGCCGGAAAUCGCACAUCACCAAGAGGAGCAGAGAACCGUAACUGUUCCCAACGCAGAUCAGAUUGCGCCGAUCUAGAACCAAAGGAGUACCGGCUGUGUCACAUCAGCAUCAUACAACAGUCAGUGAACCAAAAAGAACGAACCAAAGGUAGUAUUUUUUCUUUUUCUUAGAUCUAGGCUGAAAUACAACUGUUGUGGGAUUUUUGAGAGUAAAUACGAGAAAAGGAAGAAGAACCGGUUUAGAAAAGUGAAUUUUUUUUAGUUCCGGCACGGUGGCGCCGCCCAUUUGGGCCGCCUGACCGCCGUGCCGGAACCGAAACCGCCGCCGGUGUUCUUCUUUCUCUCAUCGGAGAAGAUGAAGAAACAUGAGAGAGAAGAGAGAAUUUUGAGGUGAAGAGAGAGAAAUGCUUGCAAAAAAUGAAGGAAAAAAUCGGCUACCACAUAUAUGUAGUACCCUGAACCGGUUCGGUUCUUCUGAACCGAACUAGGCUUGAACCAAACCGGUUUAAGCCCAAUUCCACAACCCGUGAGGCCCAACACGCGCCUCUGAGCCCAGUUUCUUUUUUUACUAUUCUGCAUGCAUUUUAGAAAUAAUUUCAUUAUUCAAUUCUUUAUUUUUAUGUCAUUUAUUUUUGCAGCAAGGAUAUUAGAAUGUAAAUAAUAGGCUUAAUGUAAAUUAUUUAUUGCAGACCUUAGAAUGUAAAUAGGCUUUUAUGUAAUAGUCGUAGGUGCAUGUGUGCGUGCGUGUGUGUAUGCCUCUUAUCUGCUUUGUAGUUUAGGUCAAAGGUCCUCGUGGUGGUCCAACGCCACCAUGAGGUACCUACGCUUUACUUUUCUGCUCCAUUUGUUUAUAUUCUAGUUCAUUUAUUCAAAAACAACAAAAAACAUGCAAAUAACAAAAAAUCACAAAAACAUUUUCGUAAACAAACCUUGAUCCUAAAUCAAGUGAUCGUCUUUAUUUUAUUCUUUCAUAAAUCAAAUUGCAAUCAACUUUAAUCAUACUUUAAGUCAUUUUCUUUUAACAUAAAAAACACAAACAAAUUUAUUUUGCCAUUUGACUUUUCCUUUUAAAACCUUUUUCAAAACUAAUAAAAAACACACAACCAAUCAAACGUCAAAUUUUACCCCGAACUACGAGGUUUUGAUCCUUCACGGGUACGUAGGCAGAGGACACUCGUCCUUCCAAACAAUAAAAAAUGUAGAUAUUUAGGUCUUUAUUUUUUCCACUUUAAUUCCUUCUUUUCAAAAUAAGCAAGCAAGUUAUAGCACGAAAAUUAAAUAAAAACCAAGAGGUUCCCGUAGAGUACUACGGACAUAAAGGGUGCUAACACCUUCCCUUUAUGUAACUAACCCCCGAACCCUAAAUCUUUUCAAAUAGGGGUAGUUUGAACUUUUUUUCCCCUUUUUCUUAAUAAAUAAAAUUGUUUAGUCGUGAAAUAAUUAGUGAGUCAAAAGCUAAUCAAAUAGCCUUGAUCUCCGAAAAAUGACGCGACAUUGAUUAAUUGCAUUACUUGAGAUAUUAUUGAAUAAUCAAAAUGUUGCUGAAAUGAAUUGAUAAUCAUGAAGUUAUGCUGUUGUUGUGAUCUGCUUGUGCUGUUAUUAUUAUUUAACUAUGAUGCAUGAGUCUAUACAAGAUGAUGUUGAACUCCAAAUUAUUGGAUGUAUAUGAGAUGAUGAUUAAGAUGUUUUAGAUGAUUGAGUGCAUGCAUUAGCAUACAUUUGUUGGGGGCUCAUGCCCUGGAGCCUUGUCCUCACCACGAUUGAGCUUUGUCCUCACCACGAUGCCUUAAAAGUAUAUUAAUACUAUGAUGUUGGGGGCUCAUGCCCUGUAUUGGUACCACAUGCAUAUAAGAGGUCUAAGUUGCAUAGUCGAGUUGAAGUCGCAUUUGUCGAGUCAAAGUCGUUGUUGAUGAAUUAUCAUCCAUGAGUUGUUAAGUUGUUGAUGAAUUAUCAUCUAUGAGUUGUCGAGUUAUCUUCUACCCAUGUGUUGUUAAAGAAGUACCUAUGAAGAUUAUACGAUGUUUAUGAUGUGAAUUAUAUGAUGUUGACUAAGAUGUUGCUAUGUUGUUUAAGAUAUUGAUUAUGAUAUUGUUAUGUUGUUAUGUUGUUAUGAUGUUGUAUAUGAUACUGAUUAUAACGUUAUGAUGUUGUUUACGAUGUUGAUUAUAUGAUGUUAUUAUGAUGCUAUAUGUUGUGAUGUAUAUAAUUGUUAUUAUUAAGUGAUGAUUAUGUUGUACUAUAUAUGAUUAUUAUUAUUAAGUGAAUAUUAUGUUAUGUUGUUGUAAGAUGAUGUUUAUGUUGUGAUGUAUAUAAUUGUUAUUAUUAAGUGAUGAAUAUGUUUUACUAUAUAUGAUUAAUUAUUAUUAAGUGAAUAUUAUGUUAUGUUGUUGUUAUAUUUUUAUAAGAUGAUGAAUAUGUUGUUGUUAUAUUUUUAUAAGAUGAUUAAUANGUUGUUGUUAUAUUAAUAUAAGAAGAUGAAUAUGUUGUUGUUAUAUUAUUAUAUUAUGACGAGAUGAUGUAUAUGUUGUUGUUAUAUUAUUAUAAGAUGAUUAAUAUGUGUUGUUCAUAUCAUUAUAAGAUGAUGAUUUAUGUUGUAUUGUAUAUGAUUAUUAUUAUUAAGCGAUGAUUAUGUUGUGUCGUAUAUGAUUAUUAUUAUAGUGAGAUGUUGAUUACAUUGUGUUGUUUUAAAGUUAUUAGUGAUGAUGAUUACAUGAUGAUAUAUAUCUAUGAGUUGUUAAGUGUACUUGAUGAUGUUUAUGUUAAGUUGAUAAGUUGUCUUUUAUUCAUGAAUUGAUAAUGAGAUGUUUGAUGAAUAAGUAUUAUUAUGAAUUGAUGAUGUUACGUAUAGUUGCUAAGUUGUCUUCUAUUAUGAGUUGCUAAUGAGAAGCUUGGGGAAGAAAUGUUAUUACGAAUUAAUGAUGUUGUCAUGUUGUAUAUGAAUCAGAAUUAAUGAUGUUGUUAUGUUGUAUAUGAAUUAGGAUUAAUGAUGUCGUUAUGUUGUAUAUGAAUUAUGAUUAAGAUGUUGUUAUGUUGUAUAUGAACUAUGAUGUGAUGAUCUAUGUUGAUUAUGAUUUGGUUAUUAUGUGUUAUAUGAUGAUGUUUAUAAUGUGAUGAAUAUGAAGUAAAUGAUAAUUAGAAGUUGGUUGAGUUAUUAAGAAUUAUUACAUGAAGGAUUAUUAUUACUAAUAGAGGAAGUUAUUUAUGUUGUUAAAUAUAAUUAAUGAAUUAUAUGCUUGAUAUUAUUGUUUUGUGAAAUCUCACCCCUUCUGCUUGAAAAUGUUGCUCUUCGUAUGAGUAACUUGCAGGUAACCAAGAAUAGUUGAUGUCGUGUGAAGUUUUUCUCUCGUGUGUCUUAGGUGCUCUGAUACGUAACGGGAUGGGAACUUGUUAUUGCUUUUCUAUUCCUUACGUAUUGUUUUUGAAGAUUUAUGACUAUGUUUUAGUUAUUGAAUAAAUUCUGCUGCGAAGUAUUAAAGAUUUUGUUAUUGAAUUUUAAAGGAUAAAUAGUUAUUUAUUCAGUUUACGAUUUUAAUAAAAGAAUGUGACAUUCCGUUUACGUGGAAAACUCUGAUUAUUUUUAUGUUCGGAAAACGGGGUGUUACAGAUGACGUCAUCAGAAGCAAGGUCAUCAGAAGCAAGUUCAUCAGAAGCUGUGAAUCACCAGAAGAUGUAGUUCAUCAGGAGAUGCAACUUAAAGCUUUAAAAGCUGUUUAAAGGAUUUAAACUCGUCUAAAGAUUGCAGAAGACUCGAAAAGUAUAGCAACGACUAUUUUGGAAGGAUUGGAAAGCAUUUGAUGCUUAUUCUUCAAAGAGCGUUGACAUAGUACAUUUGUACGAAGUGUACAACCACUAUCUCCACUACUCUGUUUUUGUCUCUGCUACAAGACAAGAAAAACAGCUCUGCCUGCAACAUUGUUUCUUCUCAAUGGAAAUACAUUUGAAAUUGAUACUUCGUAGGACAAUAACCAUAUCAUGCAAAGAAUCAUUGGUGAUUGAUCAAAAGCUUCAAACGACUCUAUUUUGAAUGUGCUGGCAAUUCAACGUCUCUUUCACAUCUCUAUAUAGAGGAGUGAAGACUCAGAGUUUCAUAAGAACAAUACCAAGAAUUAACUAAGCCAAAACUCUGUUGAAAUUAUUUUGCACUCAAAGUUCACUUAGAAUUUCUUAUCAAAGCUCAUAUCUUUGGUAUUCUAGAGUCUUUAGAGUCUGUAUCUGAUUUGUAUUGUGAACACCACUGAUUGUAUAUCAAGUGUUCAACCUCAAACAUUUUUCUUGUAAUUCUGUUUGAAUUAAAAAGUCUCUUGCAGUUGUGCUUGAGCAAUAGAAGUCUCUUGCAGUUGUGCUUGAGCAUUUGAAGUCUCUUACUAAGUUUAAUAGAGAGCAAUUGUAAUCAGAUAUUACAUAGUGAACUCUACUUGGAAGUGCAAGGGGGACAUAACUGACUUCUGAUUUAUGGAAGGAACCUGUAUAAAUUGCUUGUGUCUUUCUUCUCUCUCUCUCUCUCUGUUUUAUCCGCUGCAAUUAGUCUGAACAUCUCUUCAGAAGUAGAACUCUAUCUGCUUCUGAUCUGUAUUUUCAGUUAGGAGAAAAAAAGAAGAAAAAGCCAACAGAAUUCAACCCCCCCUUCUUGUGUUUUUUCUCACCUUCAAAUUGUUUCACGGAUAAAGAAAGUAUACCUCUGUCUGUCGAAUUGAUCAACUUGGCGAGUGUUGGACUUAAUCACAGAUUCUUGAAUCUCCUUCAUACAAUGAUCUGUGAAUGAAUUACCAGAACCUACCCUUGCAUAAGCCUUUUGUGCUCUAUUGGCAAAUAGACACGCCAACCUAUAGUUGGUUGAUUGGACAAGAGCUGUGACAGGGAGGUUGCGAAUUCCCUUAUAAAUGUGUUUAUUAUUUACUUCUUAGCAUAAUAACAAUUUAUGUUUAUUUUGUUUUAUCUAUUAUUUUUAAUAAACUAACUAAUGUUAUUUUGUGUAGGAAAAAAAAUUUCAUUAUGUGAGAAACCAUUGUCACAAAAUAACAAAGCCACAUGCACGCAUAGAACAAUAUGCAGAGGAAGCUGGUCUUUUGAGUUGAGCUAUCAUCCGAGUAAAGCUAAUGUUGUUGCAGAUACUUUGAGUAGGAAGACUUUGCAUAUGUCCGCUAUAAUGAUAAAGGAGUUCGAGUUGCUUGAACAGUUCAGAGAUUUGAGUUUAGUUUGCGAGAUGUCAUCUGAGAGUGUGAAGCUAGGUAUGCUGAAGAUUGAUAUUGUAUUUCUGAAAAGUAUUAAAGAAGCACAUAAAGUUGAUGUUAAGUUUGUAGACUUGUUGGUUGCUAGUAAUCAGACUAAAGAUGGUGAUUUUAAAAUUGAUGAUCAAGGUAUGUUGAGGUUUCGAGGAAGAAUUUGUACUCUAGACGAUGAUGAGAUGAAGAAGAUGAUUCUUGAAGAGAGUCAUAGAAGUAGCUUGAGUAUUCACCCGGGAGCUACGAAGAUGUAUCAUGAUCUAAAAAAAUUAUUUUGGUGGUCUGGAUUGAAACGUGAUGUGGCACAGUUUGUGUAUUCUUGUUUGAUUUGUCAGAAGUCGAAGGUUGAGCAUCAGAAACCUGCUGGUAUGAUGGUGUCUUUAGAUGUGCCAGAGUGGAAGUGGGAUAGUAUAUCCGUGGAUUUUGUGAUGAGUUUGCCGAAUACUCCUAAAGGGAACGACGCGAUUUGGGUGAUUGUUGAUAGAUUGACGAAGUCGGCGCAUUUUCUUCCGGUUAAUAUCAGUUUUCCUGUUUCUCAGUUGACAGAGAUCUAUAUUCGAGAUAUUAUGAAGUUGCAUGGUGUUCCUUCGAGCAUCGUAUCAGAUAGAGAUCCAAGAUUUACUUCUAGAUUUUGGAAAAGUUUGCAAGAGGCUUUAGGCUCUAAGUUGAGGUUGAGUUCGGCGUAUCAUCCGCAGACAGAUGGUUAGUCGGAGAGGACGAUUCAGUCGCUGGAAGAUUUGUUGAAAGUUUGUGAACUCGAGCAAGGAGGAACUUGGGAUAGUCAUCUUCCAUUGAUAAAGUUCACGUACAAUAAUAGUUAUUUCUAGUAUUGGAAUGGCACCUUAUGAGGCUUUGUAUGGUCGGAGAUGCAGAACUCCGUUGUGUUGGUUUGAGUCAGGUGAAAAAGUGGUCUUAGGACUAGAGAUUGUUCAACAAACCACUGAGAAGGUUAAGAUGAUUCCAGAAAAGAUGAAAGCGUCGUAGAGUCGACAAAAGAGUUAUCAUGAUAAGCUUAGGAAAGAUCUUGAGUUUCAAGAAGGAGACCACGUAUUUUUGAGAGUCACUCCUGUGAUUGGUGUUGGACGAGCUUUGAAGUCAAAGAAGUUGACUCCUAGAUUUAUUCGUCCGUAUCAGAUAUCGGAAAGAGUUGGUACGGUGGCGUAUCGAGUGGGUUUACCACCGCAUCUUUCGAAUUUGCACGAUGUGUUUCAUGUGUAGCAACUUCGGAAGUAUGUUCCUGAUCCAUCCCAUGUGAUCCAAAGUGAUGAUGUACAAGUUAGAGAUAACCUUACGGUUGAGACUUUACCGUUGAGAGGCAAAGAGAUACCUCUUGUGAGAGUCGUUUGGGACGGAGCGACUGGUGAAAGCUUAACGUGGGAGCUAGAAAGUAAGAUAUUGAAAUCUUAUCCAAAGUUGUUUGCAUAAGGUAAAUUUUCGAGGACGAAAAUCUUAUAAGUUGGGGAGAGUUGUAACGCCCUCUUUGAAUUAUUUAAUUAUUUAAUUGAGUCUAGAAGUUAUUAAGAUGAGUUUAUAUUAUAUUUAUAUGAUGAGUUGUGUUAUUUGAACAUCCAUUUAGAUGACCACUUUUGUGACAACCAAAAUUUUGCAAAGAAAAUGAUGUAUUGACACAAAAAUCAAAGCAAUAGAGAGAGAAAGUAAAAACAUAAUGUGAGUGUGAGAGAGAAAGUUGUCACAAAAGUUGUAAAAAAUGGUUGUUCAAAUAUCAUUUCUCUUAUAUGAUAUAUGUGUGAUUUAAGAGAUUUAUAUGAUUGAGGUGAUUUUAUGAGGAGUUGUGACUUAUUUUACUGUUUAAUAAAAUAAGAUUUGAAAAUAAAAUAAAUAUUGAGUUUAGGGGUUGUUUUGAGAUUUUAGAGAGUUUUGGGGGAGAAAGAGAAAUAAGAUAAGAAUAGAUGGUGGAGAUAUAAAUAGGAGAGACCUAAUUAGAAAAACAUAACGUACGUACGAUCAGUUUUGGAAAAAGGGAGAAAAAGCCAAUAGAAUGAAGGAAGACCUAGAAGUACUGCGAUUUUGAUUAUUAAGGUAAGGGUGAGAAUAACUUUGUAAUUCUAUUAAGUUUGUGAUUCAAUGGUUCGAUUUAACAUGAUGUAGGAUGAUUUUGUAGGAAUUGGAACUAGGUCAAAAAUUGUAGAAUUAUUGAUUAAACGGUGGAAACUUGUUAGAUUGAUGUAGAAAUUGUUCCUAGACUUUAGAUAAUAUGUAGGAUGAAUUCUGGAAUCAAUGUUAUGCUUAAAACCAUGAUUUUAGAUGGAUUUUUCGUGAAAACUGCAUUCUGCCCGAGCCAACAUUCAUCGCUCGCCCUCGCGAGCUAUGAUCCUCGCCUCGCGAGGGAUGAAGCUCAUCACUCGCCUCGCGAGCAACUUUUACCCGCCUCACGAGUUGCACCUUGCAGCUCGCCAUAGCAAACAGAUGAACUCACCAUAGCGAGCUUGACCAGAGAGCUAUCUAGAUUUCGUAACUUUAAACUUUUAGUUGAACCUUAGAUGUUUUUGAGUGACUGAACAUGUCUAAUAAUGAUUAGAAAAGAUUAGAGAUUAAGAUUGAACCUGGAAUAGUUUAAGAACGAACUUAUGGGAGUUAUACCUGAACUCGCCAUGGCGAGUAGAGGCUCUCGCCUCGCGAGCUUGUGUCUGACAGAACACCUUGUUUAGGAAUAAUGCGAUCCUUGUCGCACGAGUUGAUGUGAGUUGAUCUUAGAGGUUAGAAACUAAGUUGCUUAUCUUGCUCUUGUUGUUUCAGUAAGCCUAAAUUGAUAUGACCUAAUGAUGUUGUUAAUGUUAUAUAAAUGUAUAUACAUUAUAUUAAUUAUGACGAUGUUUGAGAUGUUGUUCUGUGCAUUCGAUAUUGUUAUAUCAUGAUGUUUUGCAUACUGCCUAUGUUUAACUAAGCUGCAUGAGUCGGUCUAAGAUGAUUAAGAUGAUGAUGUUCCAAAUUAUUGGACUUAUAUAAGAGGUUGUUGUUUUAAGUGUUAAGUUGAUGUGUCCAUACAUUAGCAUUCAUUGUUGGGGGCUUGAUGCCCUGGAGCCUUUGCUCACCACGUUGGGGGCUUGAUGCCCUGGAGCUUUAGCUCAAUUAUGUUGGGGGCUUGAUGCCCUAGAAGUAUAUUAAUACUAAUUACGUUGAGGGCUUGAUGCCCUGAAUUGGUACCACAUGCAUAUAAGAGGUCUAAGUUGCAUAGUCGCAUUUGUCGAGUCAAAGAUGUUAAGUUGCUAAGUGAUUGAAGUUGUGAUUCUUUGUAUGAACUAUGAAUGAAGUGAAUAAAUGAUAUAUUAUUAUCUACGAUGAAUAUUAUGAUGUUUUAAUGUUGUUAAAUAUAAUUGUUGAAUUAUAUGCUUAAUAUUAUUGUUUUGUGAAAUCUCACCCCUUAUGCUUGGAAAUGUUGCUCUUCGUAUGAGUAACUUGCAGGUGAUCGAGAGUAGUGCUGUUGCUUUGCUGUCGUGAGUGGUUAUCCCUCACUGAGUCCUUAGGUUGCUCUGAUACGUAACGGGAUGAGAUCUUUUGUGGCUAUUUUCUAUUCCUUUACGUAUUUGAUUAUGAUAUUUAUGAUUAAGAUGUUUGACUGAUUUUAUGAGAUGUUUUGAUGAGGCCUGUAUGCCAAUACUUAUUUAUGAUGAUGAACUUAAUCCGCUGCGAAGUUUUUGAAUUAAUUGUGUUGAAAGAUAAUUUGUUAAUUAUCUCAUUUAUGAUUUUAUGAAGUGUAGCAUUCCGUUUUAUGCGGUGAAUACUCUGAUAUAUGUUUGAAAUUUUUAAGUUGGAAAAACGGGGUGUUACACCUUUGUCUUUCUCUCCGUUGCAAAUCUAAUUAUUUUCAAUUUCUUAUGUGUUUUUUUUUAUCAAAAUAAUGAGUCUAGUGUUACAAAAUGAGUUUGAAUUAAGAUGAAUUGGGAACAUUGAAUUAUCUUGCAUAUUGAUUCCUUUUAGGGUUUGGUGUUCUAUGUUUAAAAAAAUCAAAACCACUUACAUAGGAUGAAGUAGGAGUUUUAGAAUCAAGCGUUGUUUGACAUGAAGUUAUCUUUGUAGUCAAAGUCGACUUACUUGAUGCCACUGUGUUUUCUAUUAUGUUACUUUAUCAGAUUUUAUGGAUUAAUUAUUUCCUUUUAACGUUACUUUUUUUUCUCAUAAUUUUUCAGUGACUGUUGAUUUUUCCUUUUCAUUGUUUCAGCCCUCCUAAAGCAACAAGGUAUCCUUGAUUUUGAAUUCCUUUUUGGAUUGUUGACAACUUGCUCGCGAUGGUGGGGCAGAGCUCAGAGUGGUAUGACGAUGCCUUUGUACUAUAGUGUGUUUUUCUUCUUUGUUUGAUUUUUGUUCCAAUGUUGAAAAUAAACAAAUUUGCUGGUAGUUUGAAGUUUAUAUUGGUUGAAAAUUGAAACAAAAUGUGUUGACUCAUUUGGUGGGAGAGACUUUGAAUAGUUUGAUUUCUUAUAUUUAUGCUUACCAUCUCAAUUUGAAGAUCCUUUUAUUUUAUUUUUUUAAUUUUACUUAUAUUAUAAAGAGUUUCUUUCAAAUAUUUACAUGUAUAACUGUGUGUUGAAUCAUUUAGAAUAUGGGGUAGCCUUAGAUAGCAUACAUUGCAACUUUGGUUUUCUUAUUGAUAGUAUAACAUGAAAUACUUAUAAUGAUAUUUGAGCAGAUCUAACUCAAUUAUAUUAUUUUCUGAAAGGAUUCUUCAUAAAAACUUUAGGCAUGAACCAAAAAUGUACGACACAUUUGGAUCUUAAAACAACCUAUAACUCAAAAAGCUAUUUAGCAUGAUAUUUUAUGUUGAGAAUGUGUCUUGGUAGAUGGUGUUAUGUAUCUCAUUUUCAAAUUGCUAUAUAGUGUUGGUAGUCGAUGUGUUUUUAGAUCGUAGUUGAAUUAAGAAGACUUAAGCUUAUAUGUCCAAGACUUAAGCUUAUAUGUUCGGACAUGAGGGAGCUUUUUCUUCGUGGCUGUCAGUGUGUGUUAUACUGCAUUAUGUGUUUUGUUUAUGUAAGUUUUUUUUCUCCGCUGCUACUUCAAAUUCAGGUAUGCCUUCAAUGUUUCUGUUUUGCCAUUUUGUGCGAUAGGCUUUGUUCAUUCAAUUUUACUCUUUGCCUAAUCUGUGUUGCAUGCAUGAAUCCAUGUCUCUCUUCUUUAGGACUUCUCAUGUAUAAAUAGGGACCAUAUAUUUUAUUCAUAUUUUCUUAAAAUUGUUUAUAUCAUUUCUUUUUAACACUCUCUAUAACACUUCUUAAAUGUGGAUCAUAAAGAUUCAAUAUCCAAGCUUCAAGCAAUAAAGACAAGAUAAUGAAGUUUGAUGAGUCCAUUAGUGUCGCUGAGGAUAAGAUCAAGGCCCGAGAUGUUGAAAUUGAAGAUAUCAAAGCUCAAAAUCGUUUGCACGAGGAGAAAGCACGUAGGGUUCAACAAGAGAAGCCAUAGUUAGAGGAUGCUUGCUCAAAAUGUAAGGAGAAGAUAACUGAAAUUGUGGAAGAAGCUAAAAAUGUAGCCUCUAUUACCAUACAAACCCGCGACAAGAAGCGGGAGUUGAAUUCAAAUUAUGAUACACUUGAAGGAAAUUAUGCCAUAUAAACUCUCACCUCCAUAAUGAAACUUAUAUGUUAUUUAACGUUUUCAGGUGAAUUGGAGCUGAUGGUUACAUAUUUUGCAAUAGAUACACUUAUAAGAAACCAAACUUUGAAUUGAUAUAUUUAAAUUCAGGGUGGAGUAACAUAGGCCGAACAGUUAUGGCUAUGUAUGUCUCUCAUAUCUUCGACCUAUGUAAGACGAUCAUACGUGAAUUAAUCGCAUUACGUCAGAACAAUUCAGUACAUUGAGUAACUAUAUCUUAAUUUUAUGACCUGUGCGGCAGCAUGGGUAAACGAUCUAGUUACAUAAAGCUCAAGGAAGCUCAUGAUGCCUAUCUUCAACAUAUUAAAUCUCAUUACUAAAAAAACAAAAAUUAGUGAGGGAAAUUUAGUGAGGGAAAACAUGAAAUCCCUCUCUAAUUCCGUCACAAAAUUUUGCGACCAAGGAAUUUGUGAGGAAUUUUAUGUUUUCCGUCACAAAUUUCCCUCCCUAAUUUUGCUUUUCCUAGUAGUGUCUAUUGUUUUUAGAAUUUUUUAUUUGAAAAUAUGAACAUCACAACUAACUAUUUCACCAUUGGUCGUCAAACUCAGCAAAUAAUCAGAGUUCCAAAGGUUUGGUCGUGGCCAUAUGGGUUAUGAGAUUCAAUGUCAAUUGCUUAUAAAUUAAAAGGUUAAAUAUGUUUUUGGUCCCUAUAAAUAUGUCAACUUUUCCUUUUAGUCCCUCUAAAAUUUUCUUUCAACUUUUAGUCCCUAUAAAGUUUUCAAUCUUCACUUUUGGUCCCUCUUUUAAAGUAAACUCGUAUGUAGAAUUCAUAUUAUUUAAUAAAAUUUUCCAGAAAAAUUCAAAAUAUUAUAAUAAUGACUCCAAAAAAAAUUAUGAAUUUUUUAACAAAACAUGAAUUUAAUAUGAAUUUUUAUAUUGUUUAUGGUUAAAAAUUCAUAUUUAAUUUGUGUUUUGUUAAAAAUAUCUAUUUUUUUUUAGGAAUUGUUUUUAGAAUAUUUGAUACAUUUCUGCACAAUUUCAUUAAAAAAUACAAAAAUUAAAUUAAAAAUAGGGACCAAAAGUAGUGAUUGAAAAUUUUAUAGGGACUAAAAGUUGAAGGACAAUUUUAGAGGGACUAAAACGAAAAGUUGACAUAUUUAUAUGAAAUAAAAACAUAUUUAACUCUAAAUUAAAUUAUUUGGUGACUCGAUUUUAUACCUAGAUUAUUUCUGCCAACUUCUGAUGUAAGAAUUCCUUUAAUGAUAUGAUUAAUGUGAAUCUAUGUUUAUGAUACGACUUAUAUGAGAACUAUUUUUUAUUUUUUUAAUAAUAUUUUGUUCUUGACAAGUAUUAUGGUAUAGUUAGUUUUAUCAUAUGAGAAAUUCUAUGGUACAUCCAACAUUUUGAGUGUACCGGUACACAAAAUAUUAAAUUAAUAAUUAAAUUGAUUGUUUUUUGUAGAAAAAAUAAUUAUUUUCUAUCAUUGACAAUUAUAAUAAUUAAAUCUCAUUUACCAAAAGUGUUGAUAAAAUAAAAUUUACUUUUUUUAAAUUUUUAUUGCUCAUAAUGAAAAAUAUUGAUUAUUUUUUAUGAGAAAAUGUUAAAAAUUUAAUAUAAUUCAUAUAAACAAUGAAAUGAUGUUUUUUUUUUUUUUUUUUUUCUCAUGAGAUUGUGUUUUCUAAAAUAUUAAUAAUGACAAAUAACAACUUAUUUCAUAAAAUAAUCAUUAAUUUAUAAAUUUAUGAAUAAGAAUAUCGGUACACCUCAAUUAGAAGCUGGCCAAUCAUUCCAAUUCAUUUUAUCACUAGUGGUAUGACGAUGCCUUUAUUACCAACAAAGCUAUACAAAUUACAUUGCCCACUUCAAGUAAUAGAAAUUGAGGUUAGAACAAAUACUGUUCACAACAAUUAAAAGAAAACCUGACAAUCUAUCGAGGAAAAAAAGUAGUUGAAGGCAUUCCAUUGCUAGAGAAUAGGGCAGAACUAUUGGCAUAUUCAUUAUAAUUUCUACCUUGCAGGAAAAAUGCAGGUUGUUGUGGAGUUGGUAACUCAAUUGAAUGACUGCUAAGAUAAGAAGCAAUUGUCAAGAUUGAAGGUCUAGCCUCUGGGUCAUUUUGAACACAUAAUAGACCAAUCUGAAUGCACUUAAUGACUUCAGUUUUAGAAUAAUCUCCUUUAAUAUUUGGGUCCAAUAUAUUUAAAGGUGUUUUAUCCAUCCACUGUCUCCAUACCUGAAAAUAUAUACCAUUUGGUCUAAGCUAUGAGAUUAUUAGGCAAAACGAGCUUCAAAUACAAAAUUGGAUCGAGAAGUAUGUAAAAUCUGAUCAAAGAUAAUUUCAACUAAGAAGUAAUGAAAAGAUACUAUUGCUAUAUCAUUACACUCACAGAAUUCAAGAGGCUAUUAGCAACAUGUUGUGGUUCAUAUGAACUUAUAUUCUUCUUUCCAGCUACAAUCUCUAGGAUCAUGACUCCAAAACUAUAAACAUCUGAUUUUUCAGAAAAUUGUCCAAACAUUGCAUAUUCUGGCGACAUAUAACCACUGUAAAAAAAAAAAAAAAUUGAUGUUAAUUUAACUUAAAUGUACGGCAAUCAAUAAGAACCGGGGAUAAGAUAACAAAGUAGUAAACAUUUAAAACUUACUAUGUUCCAACAAUUCUAUUUGUACUUCCUUCGUCUUGACUUAUUUCGACCAUUCGUGCCAAACCAAAAUCUGAAAUUCUAGGAAUCAUAUUUUCAUCUAAUAGAAUAUUACUUGGUUUGAGAUCACGAUGUAUAACUUUGAGUCGAGAAUGUUCAUGCAAAUAAAGAAUUCCUCCAGCAAUUCCUCCUAUGAUGUUAAAGCGUUCAACCCAAGUUAACAACUUUUGCUGUUGAGAAUCUACAAAAUUGUUUAUGAAAUAAAAUCAACUUCAUAUAUAAAAAAAGCUAUAUGUGGAAUGCAUGAAUCUUAAUAUUGACAAAUGAAAGGGUUAUAGCCUUUUAGGUUAAAAGUGUCAUACCAAAUAAAAAGUAAUCAAGACUUUUGUUGGAAACAUAUUCAUAAAUAAGUAUCUUCUCAUGUCCUUCAAGGCAAAAACCAAUAAAUGUGACUAGAUUUCUGUGUUGAAGCUUGGCUAUCAAUAAAAUUUCAUUCUUGAACUCCUCUACACCUUGCUUAGAACUUCUUGAAAGCCUCUUUAUAGCUACUUCUCGUCCAUCAGAAAGGAUACCCUAAUCAUAUAUUAAAAAAUAAGGAUUCCUUUACCUUUGAACAAUAUUUUCAAUUUAGUCUGUAUGUUACAUUUGGGUGGAUUUUUCUUUUCAAUUACCACUAAGUGAAGAUGAAAGUAAAGUACAAGAAAAAAUGCAUUUUGAGCAAUACAAAAAAUAAUAUUUAAAAUUUCUAACAAAAUGUUUGAUCUACUUUUAAUAUUUAUUUUUAAAAAACUUUAGUGAUGUCUUGUUUAUCUUUAUUGGUGAAAAUAAAAAAACAAGAAAUAUCAUAUAAUCAUACAAGUAAACAGACACUAAGCCUUCUCUUAUGUUCUCACCUUGUAAACCUCUCCAAAUCCUCCUUUGCCAAGGUAAUUGUCCUUAGAAAAGUUGUUUGUUGCUGCUUCAAUUACCAUCCAAUCGAAUUGUAGUGGUUCUAAAGUCGCACUUUCUUCACCAACUAGAUAAAAUUUAUUUGAUGUUGGUUUUUAAACUUGUUUAAAGUUUAUAAGAAAUUGCAUUUUCAACAAAACUUUUUUAUUCUUCCAUAAAUAAUACUUACAAUUUUCUCGAAGAAUAGUCUUGCGACUCUUUCUUCUCCAUCUCUUUAUCAAAAAGUAGCCAAUAGAAAAGAGCAUCACCAAAAUAAUAAUAGGGACAACAAUGAAUAUAAUUGUCUUCUUCUCUGCACAAAACCAUUAAUAUUUAUAAAUGUCAUAAUUUACAUGUAGAAAUAACCAACAAAAAUUUAUGUUUCUUAUAAAAUUGUUUACUUUUUAAAAAGAAAGUAAAGACAACAUUCAAUUGAUGAACUUGAACACAAUUCCUUUUAAAAGAAAAGAAUGUACUUGAAUACAAUUGUUCAAGCUUCAUUAUUAUUAUUUGGUUUACAAGUAAAGCUUCGUGUACGUUAAAUAGUGUAAGGUAAAGAAAUGCAAGGAAUAAAAAUAGGCUCCGUGAGUGGAGUAGACUCAAUGAUUCAACAAUUAUUUCUCUGCCUUUAUUUCAUAAAACAUUCCAAUACAUAUAGGAUAAGAACUCAAUCCUAGUACUAAGGGACAACUGUAGGUAGCUAUCAACCUUAUGACUAAGAGAAUUGCACAGUGGUAGAGCAAAAGGAACAUUCUAGUGUUUAGGUGACUAGGCAGUAAUUCAAGUGGUCCUAUGACCCUUAAUGGACACGUCAUAAUCCUUCAAGUACUUGGGGUGAGUCUUGUUUCUCUUGGGUCUUAGUUGAGAAGGUUGGACCAUGUUGUCCUCAUAAGCUAUCCAUUCAUCAUCAGUGUCAUGGCCCAUAACAUCCUUCCCUUCUUGGAAAAACACCUUGUCCUCAACGUGGAGGUGAGGACAAAGCUGCUAAAACCUCAGACAGAUUCUCUAUGUUGCACCUUUCGGAUAUAGGUCACUCCAUUGGACUAGUAUCAACGUCUUCGGUGGAGUCCUUCCAAUCAAGAAUAGAAAGGGGUUGGAUGAUUGGCUGAUUGUUUAAUGUUUCCUCCGGCAGGUCCAAUUGAGUAUGUGAGGCGUUGUGGCAUGGUCCGUAGUAAUGCUUUGAAAGCUUAUUCAUGCGAUGCCCUACAACUGAAGUUUUCCAAUAAGGUCGUAUUUUGAAAAAGACCCAAUCACCAACUUGGAAUGUAUGUGGUAUCCUGUGACGGUCUGCGUACUGUUUCAUGUUGUCCUGUGCUUUCGGCAAUUUAUUUCGCAAGACUUGAAGUAUGUGUUCCCUAGAGUUGAGCUCAACAUCAACUGCCUCUACUAAGGAAGUGCCAACAAUGUAUUGGGGGUAAAGAUGGAGAUUGUUUACCAUAUAACACUUGAUAAGGUGAUACCCCGGUAGAAGUGGGAAUAGACGAGUUGUAGUGCCAUUCAGCCCAAUGCAAAAAAUUGCCCCAUUUAUGAGGCUGAUCACAGACAAAACAGCAGAGGUACUUGUUUACUAGUGUUUUCGGAAAACUACAGGCUAGUUCUAAUAUUACAAGCGAGACCGAACUAAAAAUCUCAGGACAUGUUGUGCAAAGGUUUUGAUCGAAAACAGUUUGAAAAAAGGGCCACGAAAUGCACUUAGGUUACUUAGAGAGCAAGAUGAGUUUUAGAGUAAAAAGGCACUGUCUCUCGACAAGUUUGAGAUUGCAAGUAAAAGCAAGAUAAAAUUAAAGGUAAGGGUAAAAGUUUAAACACAUAAACUUAAAGGAAAUGUAGAAUUCAUUGCAUUAAAAGUAAAAUGGUCUACAAAUCAAUUUACUUACAUUAUGUAUAACUCGUGUCUCUAGACACCGAUAGUUUAAGUGUUGUAGAAUUUUUAUAAAUUGUUUGCGACCUAUUUUCAGACUAGGAAACUCUUAUUUAUACAUAAAGAAAAUAACGGGCAAAAGACUAAUCCCAUGAUCAGCACUUGCUCCAUCUUUGGCUGCUUGUCCGACGUUCCCACAAAGGAACCACCUUUGAGCUUGAAAUCGUGCCUUUCCCACCUUGACUAUUUGACUUCGACGCAAUCACGCUCUUGAUCACGCGCACUAAGCUUGCUAUUAUGUCGAAAUCCUCAAAUUAGAAUAAGAAAGCUUUCGAUUCCUACAAAUUUAAAAAUCAACUAAAUGUUGACCACAUUAAAUGAACUUGUCUAAAUUACACGCUAAAAAGAUGCCCUGCAUGCCUUUCUCCAAACCUUCUCUUUCUUUAUAUCUUCCCUGGUACUAUUCCCAAAAAGAUUGCUGCUUCGACUCUUUAUUACCAAAAAGUUUGCUGCUUUACGCAUUAGUAGGUUGUUUUCUUUUAGGGCAUCUGCAAUACUUCACCGCCAAAUAUCUGAGGACAUUGAGGUGCUCAGGGAUGUUUUUGACGAUUUUUUACACCUUCUCACCAUCCCUUCACCCAACGUGGGACAGUGGAGGUUCAUGCAACAACUCAUCCUCAGUGGCCAUGCGCUUUUCUGCGUUGUUAGAGCAGCCCAAAUGCUUCAUCAGCCCCAUCCAAACUUGCCAAAGAUUCAAUUUGUGUUGAGUAACCCCUACUUUGUAGAAUCAUAUGAAGCCACAUAUUUUAUGAUCAUGCUGAGGGUGUCGGCCAGUGAGGGUUUCAACAGGGACCACGUUUUGUCCCUCUUCAAUGAUCUUUUUCUUUACAUCUUUCGUUUACUGCCGGCCACUUAAGGCCUUCUUAAUCUAAUGCUCCGGCUAAACAACCAUGAUUUUUCUCUAAGCAUUUUUCUUUGAUGUGAUGAUCAUCCUCAUCAUUCUCUAAAGCUAGGGAACUUAGAUUUUCCACAUAAGGUUCUGCGUCGAAAGUCUCCCUUUUCCACAUAACGUGUUUCCUAAAAAGCCUCGAAGUUUCUUGAUGUUGCUAGGUGGUGGCCAAUUGCUCAGUGCUCGAAUCUUUUCAAGGUCAGGACCAACACCAUUCGAAGACACGAUAUGGCCUAGAUAAGAAUUGGAUUUUUGGGCAAAUGCUCAUUUGGAUUGUUUAAGAAAAAAACUGGUUGUCCAUUAGAUAGCGAAAAACAAUAUCUAAAUGAAUGAGGUGGUCAUGGAAAGUGUGAAUGUAGAUCAGAAUGGCAUCAAAAAAUACGAUGACAAAGCAACGAAGGUGAGGUGAGAAUAUCUGGUUCAUAAUAGCCUGAAAUAUGGACGGUGCGUUACAUAACCCAAAAGGCAUAACGAGGAAUUUUUAAUGGCAUUGAUGAGUGUGGAAUAUUGUUUUAUGGAUGUCAUCUGGGUGCAUACGAAUCUUGUGAUAUUGUUAGGGUUUGGUUCCUUGUUGGGAUAGGACAAGGGAAUCCUCCUUUAAGAAUUUAGAGAAAGAGACUGGAAUAAUUUUCUGCUCCUUUAUUUCAUGAUUCAAUUUGGUUCUUAUAGCCACAGAGUAUUGAUCUAAUGGCUGUCAUACAAUUGAUCAUAAGGCUGCCCUUGCUUUAGGGAGACAACUAACGGCCUAGUGCCAGCAAUUAAAUAUAAGAUAGAGUACAAACAGAUGGAAUCAGACACAUUAUUUGUCAGCUAGCGGUGACUUCUCCCAUCCUUUGCAUUUGAACCGCCACUCACACAUAGUCCUUGAGGUGAGCUGGCUUCUUGAUGAGUCUUUUGGGCUUAGUGUUCAGUUGGGCUGCAGUUGGAGUUGGGCUUUGGCUAACAUCACCUGGGUCUGGAAAAAUCACCUUGUCCUCAAGGUGAUAUUUCUGUUGAAGCAUGUUCCAAUCCUCCCAGCUAGUAUCCUCAGGGGCGAGCCCUUUCCAUUGAACCAAGACCAUAGGAGUAGGUGGAUCGGUAGUAGUGUCCAGCUUUUGAUUAAUUAGUGCAAGCGGUUCAACCAAGGGGUGGUUCUCAAUAGCAGAAGGUGGCAGGUCAUUGGAGUAUGUGACAGGUCCAUGAUGUGGUUUGAGGAGAGAACAAUGGAAGACGGGGUGAAUUCUGGAUUGUGGUGGUAAUUCAAGACGGUAGGCAACCUUUCCAAUGCGUUCCGUGAUGCGGAAGGGUCCAUAAAAGCGUUUGGAUAACUUUGUGUAGGCAGCAUCUGAGAGACUCUUCUGACGAUAAGGGCGGAGGCGGACAUAAACCCACUGUUCUGGAAUAAAUUCAACUUCCCUGCGUUUCUUGUCAGCAAAGUGUUUCAUCUUAUCUUGUGCCUUCAGCAGAUUGCGGCGCAGUUUCUCAAUGAGUUGUUGUCGGUUGUCCAGCAUGGAAUCUACAGCUUCAAUUGUAGAUGAUCCCUGAAGGUACCUAGGAAUAGAAGGUGGUUCUCUGCCAAAGGUAAUUUGGAAGGGAGAGAACCCAGUUGAGGAAUGCACUGAAGUAUUAUAGGACCAUUCUGCCAAGGAGAGAAAUUUCGACCAUUGGGACGGUUUGGAGUGGACAAAUGAGCGUAAGUAUUGUUCCAAGACGCGGUUGUACACCUCUGUUUGACCAUCAGAUUCGGGAUGAUAGGAGGUGCUCAUGCGUAGCUUAGUACCGCAUAGAGAGAACAGGUCACGCCAGAAUUUGCUGAGAAAAAUUGGGUCCCUGUCGGAGACAAGACUGCGGGGAAUGCCAUGUAAUUUGCAAAUGUUGUUAAAAAAGAUAGUGGCAACCCGGUGAGCAGUAAAGUUGGGUGCAAGGGGGGCUAAGUGGACGCCCUUGGAGAAGCGAUCAACGACAACUAAGAUGGCAGUGUGGGUAUUGGACGGUGGUAAGCCGGUGAUGAAAUCUAGUGAUAAGUCUUCCCAAAUGGCAUUUGGGAUGGGUAGGGGUUGGAGAAGGCCAGGGGUUUUUCUAGUUUCAUAUUUCAUCUGUUGGCAAAUUAAGCACUCAGUAAUGAAUGUCUUGACAUCAUUACGCAUGUCCUCCCACCAGAAAUUGGCUUGUACUCUCGCAAGCGUCUUAGUGAUACCCAUAUGGCCGCCCAAGGGGGAAGCAUGGUAUUCCUCUAAGAUGGUUAAACGGAACGGCAGGUCAGGGUCCAACCAGAUUCUGUUUUUGUAAAAAAUGAGGCCAUUUUGAAUUUUGUGGUGUGGAAAAGAUUGGGGUUUUUGUUGAAUUUGAGUGAGCAAGGUGUUGAAUGGUUGGCUAGCAGCCAAUGCUAGUUUAAGAUGCUCUAAGAAGGUGAAGUUUGGCAUAGAGAGAGAGAGAUUCAUACCUGAGGUUGUCUCUGGAUGGCGGGAGAGUGCAUCGGCUACGACGUUAGUUUUACCGGACUUGUAUUGAAUUGAGUAAUCAUAUCCCAUCAGUUUUGACAAGUAGAGUUGCUGCUCUGGUGUUUGGAUGACUUGGGUUAAUAACUCUUUGAGGCUUUGGUGAUCGGUAAAAAUCACAAAGGGGUGGCCAAGUAAGUAUUGGCGCCAUUUCUUUACGGCGGUGGUGAUGGCAUGGAGUUCUCUGAUGUAAGUGGAAGACCGUCGUAAGCGAGGGCAAAAGGGUUUGCUGAAGAAGGCGAUAGGGUGAGAAUCUUGCAUCAGUACGGCGCCCAUGGCCAGGCCGGAUGCGUCUGUUUCCAAGACAAAUGGUUUGGAGAAGUUUGGUAAGGCUAAGGUCGGAGUCUGGGUCAUCGCUUUCUGGAGGGCUUGGAAAGCAGCAGUAGCUUCGUCGGACCAGAUAAAUGAGUCCUUACGAAGUAGAUUGGUUAAGGGUAGUGCUAUGGAUGCGUAACCUUUGACGAAUUUUCUGUAGAAUCCAGUUAACCCAAGGAAUCCUCUUAAUUCAGUGACUGACUUGGGGAGGGGCCAGUUGAGUAUUGAUUGGAUUUUGGAAGGUUCUGGGAAAACGCCAUCAGUGGAGACCAUGUGACCCAAGUAUUCAAGUUGUCUCUGAGCAAAUAGGCAUUUAGAAAGUUUCAAGAAGAAAUUGCCAUUUACUAAGGUCUGGAAUACUUGUUCCAAAUGCUGAAGAUGCUCCUUUAAGGAUGUGCUGUAGACUAGUAUAUCGUCGAAGAAGACGAUGACAAAGCGGCGGAGGAAGGGACGGAACAGGUCAUUCAUGGUGCCUUGGAAAGUGGAUGGUGCGUUGCUGAGGCCGAAAGGCAUGACUCGAAAUUCAUAGUGCCCUUGGUGGGUGCGGAAUGCUGUCUUUGGGAUGUCUUCCUCAUGCAUCCGGAUCUGGUGAAAGCCUUGUCUGAGGUCUAGUUUGGAGAACCAUGAAGCUCCGCCAAGUUCGUCGAGUAACUCGUCGAUGGUGGGCAUGGGGAAUCUGUCGCGGAUGGUGAUGUUGUUGAGUGCACGGUAAUCGACGCAGAAACGCCAUGUACCGUCUUUCUUUUUUACGAGCAGCACCGGUGAGGAGAAGGAACUAUGGCUUGGUCGGAUGAUGUGGGCGGCCAACAUGGUUUGAAUUUGUCGUUCUAUUUCGUUUUUCUGGAAAUAUGGGUAGCGGUAUGGGCGGACAUUGAUUGGUUUUGAGUUGGGGAGUGUGGUGAUGCGGUGGUCUGAGGGUCGUGAUGGAGGUAAGUUGGUGGGUUCAGUGAAAACUGUCUGGAAACGAUGGAGUAGGUUUUGGAUUGGUGAGAUUGGGUGUGGGUCGGGUGAGUUUUGGGUCGCAGGUCGGGUUACAGCUUGGAUAUGGAAUAGUUCAGAAGCUGAAUGGGUUUGGACACAUCUUUUGAGUUGUUGGGCUGAGAUUGCGUUGGGCACAGUUGGUUUGAUUCCUGUGAGGGUAACUGUUUGGUUAUUUGAGGUGUAGGAAAGUGUGAGGGAGGUAUAAUCCAUGAGGACUGGACUGAUAGAUCUCAGCCAAGGGGCUCCUAACACCACGUCAGCUCCACAAAGUGGUAAGGAGUAAAAAUCAAUAUUGAAGGUCUGUGUUUGUAAUGAGAUGGGAAUGGAUGAACAUAAACUAUGACAUUCCAGUAUGCUACCAUUACCAACCAUGACUUUAAGGGUAUUUGUUGGAUGUGAAGGCAACUCUAAAAAUUUUGCUAUACGAGUUUGCACAAAAUUGUGAGUACUACCGCCAUCGAUAAGGACUGUAACUGGGUGGUUUGAGAUGUGGCCUCGUAUUCGAAUGGUGGCUGGGUCGGUACCGCCAGAAAGGGCGUGAAAGCUUAUGUGAGCCUCUUGGUCUGGUGGUUCAGGGAUAAUGGUGGUUGGGUUAAUAUCUUGGUCAUUGGUAGUAGUGUCAGUUUGUGUAGGUGGGUCGGUGUCGAAACCGUCAUCGGAAAUGAGGAGGAAGAAUCGGCCUUUGCACUUGUGUUGUGGGGUGAAGGUUUCAUCACAGUUAUAACAUAGUCCCUUUUCACGACGAGAGGCCAUCUCCUCCGUCGAGAGUUUGCGAAAAUUGACACGUGAAGGGGUUGGAGCAGGGAGUAGCGGUGGUAAGGUUGAAGAGGAAGGAACCACAGAAAGAGGUGAGGGGUUGUGGAGCUUACCCUUAAAGUGGUGCCGGCGGUCUGUGAGUUUGUCUUCCUGGAGUUUUGCAAGGGCGGUGGCCUGAGAAAGGUUCAUCGGUCGGAGAGCCUGAACUUCACGGCGGAUAUCCGGCGUGAGACCGGAGAUAAAACAGCUCAAGAGGAACGGUUGUGGGAGUCCGACGAUGCGAUUUGCAAGGCGUUCAAACUCAUGGAGAUAUUGGUUGACAGAAGAACGUUGAGUGAGUUUGAACAGAGCACUGGAUGGGUCGUCAUAGUAGGAUGGGGCAAAACGGGUUUCAAGGGCUUGCAACAAACCAUACCAAGAAGUGAUUUGUUGGUUCCUAUGCAUCCAUUGGUACCAGCUCAGUGCUUGACCUUCCAUGUAGAAGGAAGCAACGGUGAGUCUAUCUUCCUCAGAGGUCUGAUGGUAGUCAAAAAACUGGUUUAUUUUGAAUAUCCAGCCCAUUGCAUCAGAGCCAUCAAAUCUGGGUACAUCUAGUUUCAUAUGAGGAGGGGGUGGAUUUGGUGGUGGUGGAGGUGGUGGUGAUGGUGGAGAUGGGGUGGUGGUGAGUAUGGCGAGUUGGUUGAGGAUGGUAUCGACCUUUUCUGAUAGUUCAUCAAGGCGUUCUGAGUUUGUGGGUGCCAUGGAAAUAGAGUAGAGGCAAUGAAAGCACCAAUUUGUUAGGGUUUGGUUCCUUGUUGGGAUAGGACAAGGGAAUCCUCCUUUAAGAAUUUAGAGAAAGAGACUGGAAUAAUUUUCUGCUCCUUUAUUUCAUGAUUCAAUUUGGUUCUUAUAGCCACAGAGUAUUGAUCUAAUGGCUGUCAUACAAUUGAUCAUAAGGCUGCCCUUGCUUUAGGGAGACAACUAACGGCCUAGUGCCAGCAAUUAAAUAUAAGAUAGAGUACAAACAGAUGGAAUCAGACACAUUAUUUGUCAGCUAGCGGUGACUUCUCCCAUCCUUUGCAUUUGAACCGCCACUCACACAUAGUCCUUGAGGUGAGCUGGCUUCUUGAUGAGUCUUUUGGGCUUAGUGUUCAGUUGGGCUGCAGUUGGAGUUGGGCUUUGGCUAACAGAUAUCCAGAACCCAUGUCAAGCUUGGUGAAACAUUGAAUGCCAUAUAGUUUGUCAAGAAGUUCGUCAAUGGCUGGGAUCAGAAACUUGUCAUGAAUGGUAAUGGCGUUUAAUGUUCGAUAAUCGACGCAAAAACGGCAAGUGCUAUAUUUUUUGCGGACAAGCAAAACCGAUGAGGAAAAUGCACAAGAGGUUGGCUGUAUGAUCCAUUGAUUUAGCAUUUCUUGGAUUUGAGACUCAAUUUCUUGUUUUUGGAAGUGUGGGUAGCGAUAAGGUCGAACAUUGAUGGCAUUAGUGUUGAAUGUGAGGGGAAUUUGCUGAUUGGUUUUCCAUGGAGCAGGUAAGGUUGAGGGUGUGGAAAAUAGAUUGGAAUAUGAGGUUAUGAGCAUUUGUAUUUCAGGAUUGAGAGGCUUUGGUGAUGUGUUGGGUGUGUCAAUUUGAUGUGGGUCAAGGUGAAAGGCCAAAAGUGUAUCAAUGGAGUGAGUGGAUAUAAGGCGGUGAAAUUGAUGGAGGGAAGCCUCGGUUGGACUAGGUUUGGGUUGUCCGAGAAAUUGGACGAGUUAUCCCUCUCUAAAAAAUGUCUUGAGCCAUUGAACUCCAAAAACAAGUUCAGCUCCACUAAAAGGUAAUAUAAAGAGAUAAACUAGAAACAUGUGUCAGUCGAGGUAGAGGCAAACCUGAUGGCACAUAGAUUUACAUUGAAGUUCUUCACCAUUACCCCCAAGAACUUGAAAGGUUUGGGUCGGUUGUAGUGUUUGGCCCAACUAUUGAGCAAUUCUAUCUUGGAUGAAGUUAUUGGUACUCCCAUUGUCCACGAGGAUGGUAAGUUGUUCGUUGUGGAUAUGGCCCAAUACUCUUAGGGUUUGUAGUAUGUUAUGACCCAUGAGGGCGUGAAAGCUGAUUUGCGGGUUUGUUCCGAAUUCGGGUGUGGAUUCAAUAUUGGAUUCAGAGUAUGGUUCAUGGGUUAAUAGUAAUUAGGUCAUGGCUUCACCUAUUGGAUCUGCUAGUUCAGGUUCGACGGUUCGUAGCGGUCAUCACAAUGAUAGCACAGUCCUUGCUCACGUCGAGCUUGAAGUUCUGUCGGUGAGAGGCAUUUGAUGGAUGGGCGUGUUUUUAGGGAAGUUGGGUUUGAUGAAUUUGUGGGGAUAGGGUUUGUAAUGAGGCUGGGACGGGGCUGUUGGCGUGGUGUAGAGUGUUGGGAUGAUGAAGAUGGGAAAUUGUCAAGGCGACAAUGAAAUAGCGUCUAAGAUAUAUCCAUAAUUUUUUUCUUCCUGCAAUUUUUCCAAAAUAAUUGCAUGAGAGAGAGAGAGAGACAUUGAUUGGAAAGCUUGGACCUCUCUUUGGAUUUCAGGUUUGAGGCCAGAGAUGAAACAACUUAAGUAACAUUGUAGGCGAAGGCCAAUAAUGCGAUUUGCUAAAGUUUAAACACGAGAUUGGUAGUUUUGAACUGUGGUGGUUUGACAGAGUUUGUAGAGAGUGCCAUUUGGAUCUUCAAAGUAUGAAGGGGAAAAAGGCAGUUCAAGAGCAUGGAGAAUAGUAGGUCAAGAAUGAAGCUAACCAUUAGAGUGCAUCCAAUGGCACCACGUGAGGGCAUCUCCUUCCAUGUAGAAUGAUGCUCUAUUCAAGCAUUGUUCUUCCGGUGUGCGAUGGAACUGAAACAAAUGCUUGAUUUUGAAAAUCUAGCUCAGGGGUUCCUUUCCAUCAAACAUGGGAAUAUCAAGUUUAAUGAAUGUGUUUGGAAAAAAUUUCACUGUUCUUAGAUCUGGUGGAUAACCUGUGAAGCCUGGUGGUCCGAUACGGAUUCGCAGUUGAUUGAGUACGGUUGAAACAGUUAUUAAAUCAGUGCGAAAAGCUUGUUGGUUUUGCAGGAUUUCAUUCAUGGUGUAAAUUAGGUCAGCCAUGGAAGGAGGUGGGGGAGGUGGAUCCAUAGCAAUGAAAGCACCAAUGUAAGGUACUCUCUUAUAACAAAGAGGAUAAAUGAAAUGUAAGGAAUAAAAAUAGGCUUCGUGAGUGGAGUAGAUUUAAUGAUUGAACAAUUAUUUCUGUACCUUUAUUUCAUAAAACAUUCCAAUACAUAUAGGAUAAGAAUUCAAUCCUAGUACUAAGGGGCAGCUAUAGGUAACUAUCAACCUAUGACUAAGAGAAUUGCACAGCUGUAGAGCAAAAGCAACAUUCUAGUAUUUAGGUGACUAGGCAGUAAUUCAAGUGCUCCUAUGACCCUUAAUGGACACAUCAUAAUCCUUCAAGUACUUGAGGAGGAUCUUGAUUCUCUUGGGCCAGACUUGAGAAGGUUAGAUCAUGUUGUCCUCGUCAACUAUCCAUUCAUCACCAGUGCCUUGGCCCAUAACAAAUAGCCUUUUAGUUUUUUUUUUUUUGAGGGAGAAACAAUUUUCAUUAAACAAAGUCUGGUAUCAAAUCAAACGCCAAGACAUCAAAAAUACAACUAGGAGCAUCUCUAAAUCCAAACACAAUCUGGAUUUGAAAUAGCAAAUUUUGCAAGAUAGUGUACUGCUUGAUUAGCCACACGUCUAACGUGCACUAAAUCGUAACUAUGGAAAGAUGAAAAUAACAAUUUACCGUCAUCCAAAAUGAGACCUAUGUAAGAUUGACCAUGGUGCUGGUCCCUAAGAGCUGUGAUAGUGUUGAGAGAGUCAGGUCUUAGGUUUAAGAAAAGCAUAUCCCUUGCAAACUUCAAGCCAAGUUUCAAUGUCAUAGUCUCUGCUAUGUCUGAAUCCGGUAAAACCAAUCUCUUACAGCAGGUUGUAGCAGCAGUAUUUGUGUUUGGUUUAACUCAAUAUAAUAUCUAUUCAUACUUGGCUUGUGAUCUUGAAGUGUACUUCUGUCAAGGUCUUGAAUUUGAUUCUCUCUCGUGCCAAUUUCUAUGAGCUAACUUGUCUUCUUCAAAAUAUAUAUACACACACACUAUAGGAUCAAUAUCAAUUAUUCUAUAUUGAGGAUUCAAAUAGAUAUUCUAAUUUUUAUGAUUUGCUCUCUCGAAAAUUUAUUGAAAACAAAUAUUACUUGAGCUGAUUUAACAACUCUAGAGUGGAUAACUCACUUUAAAGCAUAAAGUAAGAAAUAUCAACUUUCGACGAAAAAUAAUGAUAUGUUCUAUAUGCACGUUCAUAGAAAACCAUUCAUGAUUGAAAUAUUUAUAUCUGAUUUUCUCACUUUAGAAGAAUUUAAUCAUACUUGAACAAAGAGUUCACCUGCAUGUCUUGUAGGGAGUAGAGCUUCGUCGCCGUCCAUGUAAAAUUUGAACAAUUCAAACCUCAGAUUGCAGCUAGGAUAUAAGAUUCUUCCUCCAACACUUCCCAAAAAUGACCAUGGAAUUUCUUUACUGAUCAUAUCAUUUAGACAUGAAUUGCAUUCGUCAGUUGACAAAUCUUUUGUACAUUGUUCAACAGUAUACAAGGUUUGUUUAUCAUUCAAUAUCAAUGAAUUUGUCGUAAAUUUUUCAUCAUUGUUCCCCGUAACAUUGACAAGUUCGGAUAAUUGAUUUGAUAAUGCAUUUGUGAACAAGUUUUGGUCCGGGAUGGGAUCAUUGGUAACAUUUAUAUCGCUAAACAUAGGUCUUGUUUCAAAGUGAUUGAAGAAAUACUGAUUUGAAUAGCGAAGUAAGCAAUGGCUGUACCAAAUUAUACCCUGUGGGGAGUAUUGACACUUUGAGUAUAGUUCUUCCGUUGCGUUUUUGACGCAUUGAACACAGAGUCUAGAAGGAAGAUCACCUCGACACAUGAAGAGACCAUACACAAUUUCUUCCACUUUAAGGCUAUGAAAUUUUUUGCCGAUGGUGGCGUUCGACAACAAAUAAGACAGAAGUAAUUUGAUGUUUUUGUCAGUGAUUGUGUUGUGGUUUCUUGAGCAAUUAUAGGAAAGAUAAAAUGAUUCUUCUGAAAGUUUAGAAUCUUGUUUGGAAUCAUUUGUUCGAGGAGCUAGCUCAUUUGGUGAAAGAACAGUAAUAGACCUAUAAAAUGGAUAUAAUUCAUACCUUACAUUACAGCUAGGAUAAAGAAAUCUCCCUCCCACCUUUCCAUCACAACUCUUUGAAACUUUCUCAAUAGCACUACUGAGACAGGUUCUGCAAUCAUUAGGCGACAAAUCCGGCGUGCACUGAGCUAGACAGUAAAGGGUCUGAUUUUCCGAAUCUUGUGCUUCUUUGGUUGCAAACUUCUCGUUUUUGUCACCAAUAAGUGGACUUGCUGCUUCAUCUACAGUUCGAUUCAUGGUUGUAAACAAUAAAGACACAAAGCUCUUCGUGUUUGUGACAUUGGCGGUAUUGCACCAGUGAAAACCUGGCAUCAUAUCGAUCGUGGAAAAGAAAGAUAUGUUAGAGUAUCGAACCAUGCACUCGCCGUACCAAAUCACAGCUUGUUUGGACAAAGAGCACGCUGAGGAUAGCUGAUUGGUUGCUUUAACUAUGCAGUCCUGACAUAGCAGAGACGGUAUGUCACCUCUACACAUGAACGAUCCAUAGACGGACUCAGAAGGAUUUAUACUAGUGACUGUAUGGUUGUAGAAUUUGGUGUUUCCUUUGGCUUUUGAUGACAAUGAAGAGAAGAGGUUUAAGAGAUUGCUUUGGAAGGUGCUGCUGGGUUUGGUAACGUUGUUGGGACAAAUUGUAUUCAAAUAUAAUGGAGAGUCUUGUGCCAUGAUAGUUGCAGAAAAGAGGAGGCUAAUAACAAGGAUGGAGAAAUGAAGAAUUUUAGAGUAAGCCAUGGAAUUUCUUUUUUAAUGAGUCUGUUUGAUUUGAAAUGAUAAUACAGAUAUGUAAAAAAAGUUAGACACUAUUUUAUACAGCUUUUUUUUAUAAAGGUCAACAGUCUCCUUUAAAAAAAAAAAAUAAAGCUGAAGACUCUAGGUGGUCUUUUAAAGUAAUCCUUAUACUUUAGUCAUACAUUAUCCCCUUGAUGAAUUUGGGUAACUUACCUUAAUGACAAGUAGGACUUGACUAUGAAAUAAAGGAGAUAGAGAUCACAUAUUAAAUUAAGAAGUUUGAUGUUAUUGAGAUGAAAAUGAUAAUUGAUUGUAAGAAUAAAUAAGAAGAAAGAUGAUAUUUUUUGACAGAGGUAAAUUACGUCUAAUUCAUCAGCAGGUAAUGUAGAAAAAACAAAUUUACAUGUUUGUUCAUAGCAUACUUUUUUUAAAUAGAGAAGAUUAAGUGGUUUUUUUUUUUUCAAAAAUUUAUUUAGCUAAAAAGUCAAAUUAAAAGUCAUUCAAUAAAAAUUUACAAGGUCUAUCAAACUUUGGUGACCAAAAAGUUAUCUUACCUUUCUUAGCUUUUUUUUGUUUUUUUUUUGUUUUGUUUACAUUUACUUUUCUUAGCUUGGAUACAUUGCAAAAUCCAAUUAUAUUUCAUUUUAUUAAUGUAAUACUCAAAGUAUGAAGAUUAUAUACCUAGUUAACAAAUUACUUCUUUAAAAUUGCCUACUUAAUACAUCACAUAUGAAUAUUUUAUUAUUAUUGUUGUUAAAUAAAUUUUUUUACAUUUAAUUAAAUUUUAAUUUUUCUAACUUUCUUUAGUAAAUUAACUCCACCAAACCCAUUAAAGUACCCAACAAACCUAUUCGCAGGGGUAUACCCAACAAACCUAAGUGGUACCGAUGAAUUUUUCUGAUAUAAAUUAAAUUUUGACUUUUUUUUUAUCAUCCUAUUGAUUUAUCGUGUACCCUUUGUAGUUUAAAUUAUAGAAUUCAAAUAAAAACUUCAAAAACACGUUGAAAUAUUUCAGAUUUUAGAAUCUGAAUAGGACAUGCGAGAUAUUCAUAGAGUGAGAAAAAUGAUAACCUAAAUCUUUUCAUAAAAGGAUUUUUCUACGAUCCCUCCUUGUUUUAUUUGACCAUCCUGUUUUUCUUUAAGGAUUUUCCACAGUUCCUCCAUGUUUUAUUUGACCAUCCCGUUUUUCUUAAAAAAUAAAUUAAAAUAUUUUUUAAAAAGUAUUUUCCAUCAUUCAAAUUAGAUGCUUCGCUAAGACUUUUUAUUUUUUGAAAGAGAUGCUUUGCCGUCUUUAAACACUUGUGAGGAAAUCAAACUAAUUUUUGUGGAAAAGCUAAUUUUUUUAAUGGUAUUUAGAUUUUCAUUAAUAUUUUUAAAAACUUAUUAUACGGUCCAAGGACCUACGAAUCAGAAGGAAGGAUUUUGGAAUUGUAUUCUACCUUCCAUUGAUAGUGUUAUUUGCGAUAUGGACUACAACGUAUUAUAUGGUUACUGAGUUUUCACAUAUUCUAGUGUAUCUGUUUGGAUCUUUUCGUUAUGAGCAUCUUCUUUUUGAAUGAAGUUUUUCCAAGGUUGUGGACCUGUAGUGGGAUGUGGAAUGCUUCUUUAUGUCAUCAUCUUUCAAUAUUGAUCUUAUCUUCAAGUUCUUAUCACCUGUGGUUUGAUAAAUAAUUGGUACGUUGAAUUAUACUUUACAUCAUUAAGAUGUAUCAAUUACUCCUUAAAAAAAUGUAUCAAUUGCUAAUUUAAUUACUUUACUUAACUAAAACAAUUAGGGUAUGGGUAAUAAGUUUCCAUAACAAUGGUUAACGAAUCUAUAAAUAUAAAAUUUGUUUUGAAAAUAUAAGUAUUGACUUUUGAUUAAGUAAUAAUUACAUUACUUUUAAUAAAAAGCUACUUGUUUUGUCCGCGUAAACUUAACUCAGUUGGUAAGGACAUUGCAUAGUAUAUGCAAGGUUCGGGAUUCGAACUCCAGACACUACCAAAAAAGUUACUUGUUUUGGUUGUUUAACCAAUGCCUUGAGGGAACUAUUUAGCAUUCUCCAAACAAUUAUUACUACCUCCGUCCUAAAAUAUGUGACCAAGUUUGACUAUGUGAAUUCUAAAACAAUUAUUACUCCCUCCGUCCUAAAAUAUGUGACCUAGUUUGACUAUGUGUAUUAUCUAGAUAACAUAUUUUAACCUCCUUAAAAAAAUAUUUUAACAAUAUUUUUUUUACUAUUAUAUAAAAACAAAUGAGAGUAUAUAAGAUGAGCGACUUGUCUCAAUGAAUAUUUUUAAAAUAUCAAUUUUUAUAGUUUUUAAUAAUACAUAAUUAAAGAUAUUUGAUCAAUGCAUACGGGAUUGGAAGGGAAGGGGACGUCAAGUUAUUUCAUCUACAGUUUGUCGAUGAUACCCUUAUUGUUGGUGAAAAAUGUUGGUUGAAUGUGCGGUCGAUUAAGGUUGUGUUGCUUUUUCUUGAGGAGGUGUCGGGGUUGAAGGUAAAUUUUUAUAAAAGUAUGGUGACAUGUGUUAAUAUCCCUCUGACAUGGUUGGCAGAAGCUGCUUAAGUGUUAAAUUGCAGAACUAGAUCGAUUCUGUUUGUGUAUUUGGGGUUACCCAUUGGUGGAGAUGGUAGGAAACUCAAUUUUUGGAAGCCUUUGGUUGAUCGAAUUAGAGCUCAAUUGUCGGUUUGGAAUAAUAAAUUUUUAUCUUUUGGUGGUCGCCUAUUACUUCUGAAGUAUGUCCUGUCCUCUCUUCCAGUUUACUUUCUUUCUUUUUUCAAUGCUCCUACAGGUAUAAUAUCCUCUAUUGAAUCUAUUUUUAAACAUUUUUAGGGUGGUUGUGAGGUCUAUAAAAAAUUGUUUGGAUAAAAUGGGAUUUUAUUUGUUUACUUGUGAAUUGUGGUGGUCUGGGGGUUCGGAGGCUGGGGGAAUUUAAAGUAGCUUUGUUAGGGAAAUGGUGUUGGAGGUUAUAAGGGGAGAGGGAUGGGUUGUGGUAUCGUGUUUAACAGGCUAGAUAUGAAGAGGUGGGAGGUCGUAUUUAGGAAGGGGGUCGAGACUCUUCAAUAUGGUGGAGAACAAUCAGUCAUGUGAGGGAGGGUGUGGGGUCGGGGGUUGGAAAUUGGUUUAAUGAUAAUAUUAGGAAGGGGGUAGGGAAUGGUAGAAAUACUUUCUUUUGGACUGAUAACUGGUUGGGUUGAGCACCUUUAAAGCUUCAGUUCAGCCGUUUAUAUGAGUUGUCAGCUCAUAAUAAGUACUCGGUGGAGGAUAUGGUUGUAUCGGGGUGGGGAGAAGAUGGUCAUGCUUAGGGCUGGAGGAGGCGGCUGAUGGCAUGGGAGGAGGAUAGUGUGAGGAAUUGUUCUGCUUUGUUGGCUAACGUUAUUUUGCAGGAAAAUAUUCAGGAUUCUUGGAGAUGGUUGUUGGAUCCUGCACACGGUUACUCAGUUGGUGGGACGUAUCGUUUCCUAACUUCUGUUGAAGAACCGUUGGUUUAUGGUGCAAAGAUGUCUGGCAUAAACUUGUUCCUACUAAAGUUUCCAUUUUUGCAUGACGUCUUCUCAAGAUAGAAUUCCGACAAAAUCUAAUUUGGUGAGACGACUUGUCCUCCAACCACAGGAUAACUUGUGUGGUGGAGGGUGUGGUAAUAUCGAGACGGCAGAUCAUCUGUUUCUUGGAUGCAUUGUUUUUCGACAGGUUUGGCUUCUAAUAUUUCAUUGGCUUGGAAUUUCAUUUGUUUGUCCAGGACAUAUCAAAGAUCAUUAUACUCAAUUCACACAUUUGGCGGGCUUGCCGCAAGCAUCAUACUAAUAUUUAAAGGUUAUAUGGCUUGCUUCUAUUUGUGUAAUAUGGAAGGAUAGAAAUAACCGUAUCUUCAAAAAUAUGGUAAUCGAUCCUCUUAGUAUGUUGGACAACGUGAAACGGUCUUCUUUUUUAUGGCUAUCGUCGAAUUCUAUUUCUUUAGCUUUUAGCUUUCAUGAUUGGUGGAAACACCCACUUCUUUGAAUGGAUGUCAUGUAAUUGUGUUUGUUUUGUUUGGUGGUGGCACUUUUCUUUUGUGCCGGGUCUUUGUAACAAAUUUUGGAUGCUUCACCACUUUAGCACAUCUUGUGCGGGGUGAAGUUCUCCUAUUUUGAGUAAUAUAUUCUAUUUUGAUUUGUUCAAAAAAAAAAAGAUAUUUGAUAAAAAAUGUGUAUUGAUACGUGUAAAACAAUCAAUUUAGUUAUUUAUUUUUAAACGGAGUAUUAAGAAAAAAAAGUCUAAGGAGACAACAAUUGACUAAUAACGUUUAUUUUUUCUUUCUCUUUCUCGUGAUCCAUCGCUAACUGUUAGAUAGUAAAAUAUUGAGUGCAUGAUAUUGGGCACGUUAGAUUCAUAUAUAGUAGAGUAGGUUUUGCUAUAUAAUUUUUUGUAAUUUUAUUUUGAUGAACAAUGUCAUUGUAAUGUUAUUGGAAACUCAAGCCAUCUCUUUGUCUGUGGGUUUUUAAUCUUGUAAUAUUGCUUUAAUAUAUUUGUGUUGUGUAUUUUACAUCAAACUUAUUGUUUUACCUUAUAUGUGCAAUAUUAAUUAAAAGCAUGACAUUUGCAUCUAUAUAAGGAAUAAACACAUGGAGGCAAACUUGCUUGACCCUAGUAGAGCGAAGCAGUGUUGCCUUUUUUCUGGCGGCAUCCUUCUGCAUUGUCUUGAAUAUCCAAAAAUCGAUCCAAAUUUAAUCACAUAUAUUUAGAUCAGAUUGGAUAGGAUGAUUUUUUUUUCUUGAAAGUGAUCCAAACUAUACCGCAAACACACUCGUAUUUGUCACUAGUGGCGUAUUGAUGGAUUUCAUUUCCUAGGGAUUUUUCCGUUUGAUGGCUUGUUCAAGUUUAGAAGCACCGAUCAAAUUUUGCUAGAUACUAAUAUAUAAAAGAAUUGGCAUGUUUGGGGUAAAUUCUGAGUUGUAUGCAAAAAAUUCCCAAAGUUCCUUGAUUAUGUUGAAACCACAAUAUUGAACACAGUUAAUAAAAAUUUUGUGAAGGCAUGGACAAACGGUUUCUUGCAUCUAGGCUGUAGAACCACCAACAUUGUUGAAUUGACUCAUAGAAAGUUGAAAAAUAUAUGAGGAAUAGUGUGGGAGAUUUGGCAACAUGUUGAGAUAUAAUAGACAAAAUGUUGACUAUCCAACUGUCUGAGAUACGAGCAAGUUUUUGGUGGAGUUGUACCUUCUUAGAACACAGAUACAAAGACAACUUUUUGUACUAUGAGUUGGAAGGUUGUUUUAUAGAGUCACAUUGAGUUUUAUCUUUGAGGAAGCAAAUCUCUCCAAAACAACCAACAUUGUUAAAAAAAAUUGUGGUUGUUCGAUUAAGAUAUCGUACGAGUUGCCUUGUUCAUGUAUUCUUACAAUGAAGAUAAAAAAAAAAAACUUGUCUAUUCUCUUGGAUGACAUAUAUCCUCAUUGAAAAAGGUUACAAGAAUGUGAAGAAGAUGUUGAUGAUGAGUUUUCCGUGAUGGAGGAGUGGAAUGACUUUAAAGAAUGUCUCAAAAAAUCCCCUUAAAAAAUGAAACUUCACAUCAAAUAGGUGAUGUGUCAACUAGCAUUUCCGGAAAACACAAUGUUGUCCCCACCUUCAAGAAAGGUGGUAACCAAGGAAACAAAGAAUAGGGUGAGGUCUACACCAAAAGAGUCAUCUACGGGUCGAAUAUCAUCUAUGCGGGAGCAUGUUGAUUCCCAAUUUUCCGAUAGCCAAUCGUCAUAAACUAAGUCGUCAUUUCCAAUGAGGAAAGUGCACGUAUUGACAAUUCAUUUCUCUCAACAAUUAAUCGCACUCACCUACUAUAUACCCGAAUCCGAAUUUACCAUACAUUACGCAAAUAUCAAAGAUCAUGAGACUUUACAUUGAAAAUAUUAUGAAUCUUAAAGGGAAUGGUAAUUGUGGAUACCGGAUUAUAAUAAUGUUUGAAAUCUAUGAGAAAAUGUUACCAAUAUGAUAGAAAUAGUCUAAAGCUAAUUCGGGGGGUCUAAGGAUGUUAAAAUGCAUCUGAUGAAGUUUCAAAUAAAACAUUUUUUCUUUGAAAGAUGUUUCAAAGAUAGAAAUUUAAAUUCCUUCUUAUCUUGUGAUCCACAGAAAUAACUUCUGAAUAAAAAUUUCUUAAUAAGAAUCCCAAUUCAUAGAGUUUGAGGUGCUCCCAAGCAGAAUUAAAGAUUUUCUGACCAUCUUUUUAGCAAGGUGAACAUUCUCUACAAAAAAAAAUAUUAGACAAAAGUUGUGUACAGCACACUACCCCAAUAUAUUAAUAAAAAAAGAGUACAAAAGAAGAAAAGAGGGAUAUAACCCAAACCUAAAGUUGGGCAUACCAAGGAGAGACUUGGUUGGAGGGAUGUCAGGACUCCAAACUCUCCUGGCCUAAUGAAUUUUCUGCCCCAUGGAGGAUUUCUGGAUAUAAGCUUCUUUAAGGGUCAAAUUACCUGUCUUAGCAUUAGUCUAAAUAAGAGUAUCUUCUAAAGGAGCUUUAGGGAUGGUAAUGUGACUAAAAUGGCUCAACAGUUGGGGAAAAACUUGAUUGACAGAAGGUGGGAUGCUUCAUUGAAAAUUAAAAAUAAAAUCACUGACACAUGAAGAGCACCAUUAACAGAGAUAGAAAUGUGAGCAGAGUUUAAAAUCACUUCAAUCCACUUGCAAAACUUAAAGUUAAAACCAAAAGGCAUUAGCAAUAUCUACUUUAAAAGCAAGGUUGCCUCCAAAGGAUUUUUUGUGAAUUUGAUUGAUUGCUUCAGAAGCAAGGUAGAUGCAAUCUUUGAUUUGUCUCCCUCGAAUGAAACCUUUCUGAUCAAGAGAGAUAAUAUUGGGCAUAAUAGCUGAUAAUCUGUCAGCUAAGAUUAUGGAAAUGACCCUAGUGGUAUACGCUUGGGACCUGGGAGUGUGCUCCUCCUCAAUGUCUCAGGUUCGAUUCCCUCUAGUGUCAAUUUGGGUGGGCUAAUUUAGCUUCUUCAAAAAAAAGAUUUUGGAAAUGAUUUUAUAUUUAAAGUUUUCAAGAGCAAUUGGCAUGUAUUGAGAGACUGAAUCAACAUUUUGGGAUUUAGGGAUCAGCACAAGAGUAUUAGCAUUGAAGUUAGGUAACAUCCAACUUUUGUUGAAAAAUUGUAAGACUGCAUUCUCAACAUCAAUCUUAACAAUGUUCCAAAAAGUUUGAAAGAAAACUUCUCCAAAACCAUCCGGACUAGGAGCUCCAUUGCUAUUGAGAGCAAAGACAACAUGGUGAAUUUCAUCUAUGGAUGUAAGAGUGGUCAACAUGGUGUUAGUAGGAUCAGUAAUUAAUUUUGGAAUCACUUCAUCCACCAAGCUGAUAACCUGCAAAAAUGAAGAAGUACAAAAAAAAAAUCAAAUGGUUAGUGAUAUGAGUGGAAAUUUGCUUUGGCUUAGUGAAAAGCAGGAAGUGAUUUGGUUUGUUUUGGCUUUAAUUUUAGAAAUUCUGUGAAAGUAGCUAUUGUCUCUAUCUCCCUCCAGAUGCCAUCUAACAUCAGCUUUUUCCUUCCAAAAAGUUUCUUCUUUGGUUAAGGCUUGAUCAAGGGUAAUCUGGGCUUCUUUUUGUUGGUUUAGUAACUCAUCUGUAUGACCAUCAAUAUCUAUUUGAAUUUGAAUCAGAUAUAAGUUGUUUACAGCAAGGCUGACAAGUUCAUGAACAUUAACAAAUACUUCUUUGUUCCAUAUAUAUAUUAAGCUUAGCUUUGAGAUUCUUGAGCUUUUGACUGAGCACAAACAUUGGCGGGCCAAUAAUCGUCCGAUUCCAACAAUAUUAAAUCACCUAUUUGAGAGUGUCAUUGAGGGACCACGUUUUAAGAAACUUGAAUUGACUAGGAAUUUUAAUCUCAUUAAACUUUAAAGUCAAGGAGGAUAGGAAAGUGAUCUGAGCUGACCUUGAUUAGAGAAGAAACUGGCAGGGAAAAAUAAGCAUCUAACCAGGCUUGGUUGCACAUUGCGCUAUCUAAUCUUCUUUCAGUAUGCUUUCUACCACCUCUAUUAUUAGACCAAAUGAAAAGAGCACCCCAAGUAGGUAGGUAAAGCAUGUUACAAGCAUCAUAUGACCAAUUAACAAAUUCAUUCAUAGGGAGACUAUUAGGGGGCUAGAAUCUCUAUGCUCAUGAGCACCACUAAUUGCAUUAAAAUCUGCAAUACAACACCAAGGAAUGGGGUGGAGAUUAUGCAGUCUUGAAAGUUGAUUCCAAAGAACUCUUCUGUGUAAGUAGUUUGUGGAGGCAUACAUUGCUGAAACACCAAAAAUGCAGUGAUUGUUUGAAGAGGUGAAGGAAACAUGUUGUUAAGAGGAUUUAAGGAUGUUAGAAUUAAUGGAAGAUUUGCAUAUACACCAUAGGUUAGGUAUUGUUUCUGGUAUUGGCAGCAAGCAUUUUCAAGUCAAAUAAGCCAUGAUUGGGGGAAACUAGCAAAAUCAAGCCAAGGUUCAGCUAUAAGGAUAAUGUCAGGUUUGUGGGAAGUAAUAAGACUUUUGAAAGCUGUUAUACCCUGUUUUUGGACCUAAAAAUAUUGGGCCCAAUUUCAUCCUUGUGACUGUCUCUGAGUCUUUUCAGAUUGAUUUUUAACAUUUCAUCAGUAAACCUUGUUAAAUUCAUUUCAAACUUGCAUCUGAGUCAGUGUCAAGUCAAUUUGAAUCUGUUUAGGUCAUUUUUAGCCCUAGGGGCAUUUUGGUCAUUUCACACAAAAUUUCGGCAUAGAGAGGUUACUUUGAAGUACCUCAUUUAGGCCAUUGGUUCGUUUUAGUCCGUUUCGUCAAUUUUAUUUUUGUUUCGCUUUACGUUUGGUCAAAUUGCGUUUUUUAUUCAAUUGUAUUUUAAUUGCAUUUUGGUCCCUCAAUUGAGGUCCCAAAAUUGCAUUUUUUGUCCAAAAAGUUUUUAAUUUCAUUUCAGUCCUUACUUUCUUUUUUUUUCAGUCCAGUCCCUUUUCUUUUCAAAUUUGCAAACAGGUCCUUCAAGUCAAAUUACAGGGCAGCGCCCCUUUUUCAGUCCAAUGCCACAUGUCAGCUUUCUAAUGGUCCAAUCACUCACACAUCAGCUAUAAAUACUGUUCACAUUGCCACAUAAUCCAGGGAUUCAGUGCCAACUCACAAAAAAAAACAGAUAAAUUAUUUUCUCUCUCUUUUCUGUUAGAUCAAAACAGAAUCAACAGGAAAAAGCUUCAAGCUCAUCAAUGGCAGAAGCAGUUACAACCACAAUCCACCAUUGAAACCGAUCACAAUCCACAAAAUCCAGCAAAACUUGGCACUGAAUUCAACAAGAACACAACCAAAACCACAACGAUCUCAAGUGGUACCAAAACAGAAUCCAAAACAAAUCAACAAUCAAGAUCAGAACGCAGCAAGAUUCAAAGAAAUUCGCGUGAUAGCGAAGGAGAAGAAAGGGAGAAGAGUGAUGGAUUUUCAUCCUUGAAGCAAACAAAGCAACAACGAAGCCAUUCCAGAACCUCGUCGGAGCUAAAAGCUCAACGACGAAGAACCACGCCAGCGUCAGAAACACGUCGGAGCAAAAAGAAGCUCGACGACGAAGUCCUCGACAACGCGAAGCUCCGUCGAAGCCUAAAGCUCAACGACGAGACUCGCAGUCCAGAUCAAGACACAAGGUUCACAACGAACUCCAGAUCGUGAAACAAGAGCCUCAGCGACGAAGAGGUAAUCCUCUUCGCUUUCCUCUUCCUUUUCCUUCCGUUUUUUUAACAAAUUUUGUCAAGAUUCAAACUCAGAUCUACUCCGAUUCGAACCUUUUCUGAAAAAUCUAAGCUCGGAUUCGAGAAGUAGAAGAAAAAGGAUGUUUAAAAAUGUAAAAAGUUUUUGAAUCGGAGAAGUUUUGAGCUCCGGCGCGGUGGUGCCACCGCCGGCCACCGCGCCGGAAAAUUGAACCACGCCGGAGAAGACGACCGGAUUUCUAGAGAGAGAGGAGAGCAUGUUUUUGUUUGAGAAGAGUUUAGAGAGAGAAAGAAGAGUGUAAAAUAAAAAAACCGGUGCUAAUGUGUUUAUAUAGCCAGUGAACCGGACCGGUCCAGGACCGGUCCAAUCUCCUUCAUUCCUGGCCGUUGGAUCUAGGGUUUCCUACCCUAGAUCAAUCCAACGUCUCCUGUGCAAUCUGAGUUUUGUGUGUUGGGCUUUGGGUUGGGCUUAGGCUUCUUGUGCGCUUUUGCUUAUUUUCCUGCUAUCUGCACCAUAGUUCUUUGCUGUUCGAACCUCUGCAUGCUUAAAUUUUCUCUAAAAAAAAUCUCCAAAAAUUAUCACAUGUUUCUUGAUGUAUUUUCAUGCUUUUGUGAUACUUUUCAAUGGUUUUAAAAUGAUAAAAAAUGUAGGUGUUAUUUUCUUGGUUGAUGUGUUUCUUUUUAGGCUAAUAUUGUGAUUUUCUUGCCAUAUCUUUCUUCAUAAAUUUAGACACAUGUUAUGAACAAUUAGUAUGCAAUUCUAUGGUAUAUGUCAUACUGAUUUUAUGAUUGUGUUGCUGUUUGGGUAUGGUUUAGGUGUUUCUUGCAUUUUAAGCAACUUUUAUUCUCAUUAUUUUCAUCAUUUCUUUACCAUUUCAUUUCAUGUUCAAUUGAUUGUUUUAUCAACUCAUGGCAUUUUUCUUAUCUUGUUUUGCUAACAUUUUUUGACUUGUUCUUCACUCAUCUCAUAGCAUUUUACUACAUCAUCCUUAUCCCUUUUAGAUUAGGGUUUAUUUUUUUUGCAAUUUUUCUCUCUUGUAUUUCCAAUGGUUAUGUAAUACUUUAGGCUAGUUUAAAUUCAUCUUUUAAAUUUUUGCAAGACCAUAGAAUGUAUCUAGGACUCAAUGUAAAGGACUAUGGACACUAUAAGUGAUGUACACCGACACAAGCACCGACACAUGCACACACCCCACAUGGAUAUUCUAGAUGCAUGAUUAGGGAAUGUAUGUUUAGAUGUAUGCUUAGGUUUUACAAUGCUUAGACAAAAAUCAUUUUUUCCAAAAUGUGAAUAACCUCACUUGAAAACCCUUUUUUCCAAAAGUAGGAGUCAAAACUCCUCAUUUUCCUUUUAUUUUCUUAAGUAAAAAUCUUAAUGAAUUUUAAUCAUACUUAGACUUCAUUUUGCAAAAUAACUAACUCCACCUCACUUUUUUUUUCCAAAUCUCAUGCCCUUGAGGCCUCUCAUCUCUAUUCUUCAAAAUCUUUUUUCAAACUUAAAAUCAAUCAACAAAAACAAAAACAAUUUUUGAGCAAGAACUACGCCGGUUUUGAUCCCGUAAAACGGUACGUAGGCAAGGGACUUUAACCCCUCCAAGCCGAAAUAAAAAUCAAAAAUCUUACAACUUCUCUCCCCCAUUCUUAACUAAAUAAACCUCCCAUUUUCAAAAAUAAGUAAAAAUAAAGCGUAGACAUAAACUAAGAAAACGGUUCUUAUGGAAUACCAUAAUCGCUCCGGGUGCCUAACACCUUCCCGUAGCGAAAACGACCCCCGAAUCUAGAACUUUUUAAGGGUUUUUUCUCCUUUUACCCUUCCCAAGAAAAAAGAGAGAUAUCAACGGUCAAAAGGUUCAAGUCCAACUAAUGGCUUGGCACCCAAAAACCACGAUAACAAAAGCCAUUCUAGAGGGUUCAUUGGGCAGAUGAUGAGUAAAACCGCAAGUGCACGGUUCUACCGAAGUAGUAAAAAGAGAGUAUCGUUCUAAGAGGAAGUUGUUCAAUUUAAUUAACUUUUAGAAGAUGAUUAGAAGAAAGUUCAGUUGUAAAGAUGGGAUUUUGUACGGUUGAAAGAAUAAUAAAAGGCGUCUUGGGAUUAUUGGUUCAUCAUAAUAACAAACCCUUCACAAACAAACCCUAAACCUAAACUUUAUAUUUGACCUACUUUCUAAUGACAAGUUUCUCUUAAGCGUAUCAAAGUUUCUCUCGAAAUCAUUGAGUGUGUUCCUCUAGCAACCACGCCUAUUCUCGUGGUUGAUUACUAUUAUAAUCCUUGAAGAACGAAAUUUUAUAUGUAUCAAGGUUUGCUAGACUAUUCUCAAGUUUCGCAACCCUUAUCUAAUUUCACUUGCUCCAAUAUCAAAGCUCUGUUGUCUAUGAAUUGAUAUUUGUGAUGAUGAAUUAACAACUAGUAACCCUCUGUUGUCGCUUUAUGAGUUUGGUAUUUGUUAAUUCAUUAUAAAAACGGUGAAAUUAGAUUAGAAAGUAGAUUUAUAUAAAAUUAGGGUUUAUGGCUUGGUUUGAUUAGGAUUAUGUCAUUAGACUCAUCCAACAAUCCCAAGACAAGAAGAGUCUACUCACUCAUGUUCAUCGUAGACAUAGAAGAGAAGAAGAACAUAAAAUAACAAGAAAGUAAAAGAAAAAACUUUUAUUAAGAAAUUGUCACUAUUGAAUUCCAAGAACAAAAGAUGAAUUGUUGUGAUAGCUAGCUACUCUAUUUAUAGUUUACAAUGACUCAAGCCCUAAGAAAUAUAACACCAGAAUGUUCCACAAGAAACCACGGGCUUUUAGGUCAGAAGUAAACUAAUAGGUAGCUUGUCCGGGAAGCAAAAAGCAGCAAAAGUCGAUCCUAAAGGUUGGCACAACCGUGUGGUUGGUUGGACGGGCCGUGCCAAGUCUCUGACUUGGGGGAAACAUAAUUUUGUUCCCAAUCUUCAUAUUUUAGGCACAAAUCAGCUCCAUAUCCUCUUUCUUUACUCCAAGAUUGAAUCUUUAGCAUAUUUGUUCCUGAAAAUAAAUAACUUGCAAUUGAAGUAAAACAAUUCUAAAAAGGAAAUAAAAUCAAAUAAAACAAAAUCAAAUAUAAAUAAAACGGACUCAAAUAUUAUAUUAAAAACACUAAUUAUUGACUCAUCAAACUCCCCCACACAUGAAUCUUUGCUUCUCUUCAAGCAAAAGGCAUAAACAUAGCAGCAUAAAAAUAUGUGUUUAAUUAAAUAUGUGUUUGGUUCACAAGGGGUGGGAAGGGAUUUUAAAACCAAAUUACUUUUUUAUCCCUCUAAUCUUAAAACAAUAUCAUGAUUUUUAAAUUAUUCACUUUAUGAAAAAUUAAACAUGAAAACUUAGUAACUGAAAACUCCAUAAAUAACCAAACACAAAAUUUUUUUAAAAAAAAAAUAUUAGGUAUUCAUAAAUAUUAGAGCACUUCUAAAAUAAUCUAAUACAAUAUAAAAAUAUUUAUAAAAAAGUUAUUGUCAAAAAUUAUUUAUAAAAUAUAUUAAUAAAAAAAUCUGCUACAAAUUUUAUUAAUAAAGUUUUAAUAUAUAAUACAACGAAAAAUUAUAAAAAAAAUAUAUCAAAAUAAAAAAAAUAAAAGCAGUGUUAGUAAAAACAGUGAAUUCUCGUAAAAAAAUUUAGAAGACAUGAAUAUGUGGUUCUCAUUAAAAAAAUGACAUUGGCAUGUUACAAAAAAGAGGGUAAUAAGCAGUAUGUUGAAAGCACUUAAAUUUUUAAUAAGGACGAUUUUGUCAUUUAAAAAUAAAUAUGAGGAUAAUUAUGUCAAUGUAAUUAAAAUUGCAUUAACUCAUCUUUCUUUCCCUCCCCUCCCCUCUAGAAAACUCCAAUUUGAGGGGGGAGCAAUAAAUGAGCUUCUGAGGGAUUUUGCUCCCCUUCCUCUCCCUCCCCUCCCGUUCUAAAAAUUGAACCAAGCACAAAAAAUUUAAAAUAUCCCCUCCCAUCCUCUCCCCUUCAAAACCCGCGAACCAAACGGACCCUUAAUCUCUUAAUCUUACUAAGAUACAUACAAAAUAAAACUAAAAAUAUUUAAUAUAACACUAUAUUAAUGCUGAUAUUGUUGUGAAAGUGCCUCAAAAUUGGAAUUAUGGAGGUUUCAAAAUCGAUGGCCGAUUUGGAGCAUUCCGUGGCCGAUUUUGACAGCAGAAAAUAAAACAAAAACAUAUUUUCGGGUCUAGAUUUGUUCCAGUUUUAUUGAUGAUUCCUUUACUAUAAAUAUAGACAUUGUAUCAAAACGUCUUAGAAAUGCUAUGAAAAUUUGCAGAUCUUUUCAAGUAUUUUUAUAGAUGUGUCUACAAAUAAACGGCUCAAACUUCGAUUUCUAGGUCGAGAUUUCCGUUUAUUUACGCUUUAAAAAUUCAUAAUUAAUUUGACCCUUGUCGAUUUUUUUAUUUUUUUUGUGUAAAACCAUAUUUUAACGUUAUAAAUAUGCAAAUAAAAUAUCAUGAAAAAGUUCAACCUCAUGUUGCUUUUUUGGACUUAAACUAUGUUUCUCGCUUGUUUUUGUGUAAAACCAUAUUUUAACGUCAUAAACAUACAUGUAAAACAUCAUGAAAAUGACUCUCAUGAAAAAGUUCAACCUCUCGCUCGUUUUUUUUUUUUUAGUAAAUGUUUCUCGCUCGUUAUAUUGUGGUGAAUUGGCAAUUCGCAUCGCUUAGCAAUAUCAUAGAAUAUAUAUAAAAAAUUAAGAAAAAAUAAUCAUUUCAUUAAAUGUAACUAAAUUAAAAAAGAGCAAGAGAAUUCUAUGCAAAAAAAAAAAAAAAAAAACAGAGAGAAAAUGUUUUGUAAAUACAACUCACAUGAUAAUAGGUCUACAUGAACAUUUUCUAUCUCUUUCAUUCAUUGAGGGUGGAUGAUUUUAUGUCAUUUUUUGAUAUGGAAUCACCCAUCUGCAUCUUUUUCCCCUUUCUUUCGAUUUAAAUAAGUGGCUUUCACACAUUGUUUGUCCUCUGAGUGCGGCGUUUUGUUGUUCGUCGUCUUGUGCGGCGUUUGAUUUCGCGUCUGAUGAGUCAAUAAUUAGUGUUUUUAAGUGGUUAUUUGAGUUUAUUUUAUUUAGAUUUUUUGUGCAAAAAUAUUAGCACAGCCCAUGCCUGUGGUGACACAGCCCGUGCCUGCAAUCCAACAACCAGAGAGGAGCACCGUGCUUCCAGCCACAUGGCCGUGUGGGACUGACAGCUUUCCUUUUGUUGCUUUUGCUUCCUGAUCCAGCUGCCUUUUUAGUAUAAUUCUGACCUAAGACCAUGUUUUCUUGUGGAACAUUCUAUUGAUGUAUUUCUUGGGGCUUCCUCAUCUUUUGUUCUUGGAAAUAAUAAGUGACAAUUGUUUUUUUGAAUAAGUGUUCAUCUUUAUUUUCUUGUUAUUUACUUUUAUGUUCUUCUUCUUAUUCUUCUUCUUCUCUAUGUCUACUAUGAACAUGAGUGAAUAAACUUCUUUGUCUUGGGAUUGUUGGAUGAGUCUAAUGACCUAAUCCUAUCAAACCAAGCCUCGAACCCUAAUCUUAUGUAAAUGUAUUUUCUAAUCUAAUUCACCGUUUUUCUAAUGAAAUAACAAGCAUUAAUCGAAGGAUCGAAAGGUGAAGUUUAAUAGUUGUUAUUUCAUCAUCACAAAUAUCAAGCGAAGGAUCGAAAGUUGAAGUUUUGAUAUUGAAACAAGUGAAAUUAGACAAGGAUUGCGAAACAUGAGAAUAGUCUAGCAAACCUUGAGACAAUAAAGUUUCGUACUUAAAGGGUUUCAAUAGCAAUCAACCAUGAGAAUAUGCGUGGUUGCUAACGAAAUACAUUCAGUGAUACCAAGAGGAGAUGUGAAAAGCCAAAGAGUUGUCUUUGUAAAAUAGAUCAAACGUAAAAUUUAGUUUUAAGGUUUGCUUUGUAAAGGAUUUGUCACCAAGAUGAAUCAAUAAUCCCAAGGCGUUUUUAUUAUUGUUCUUUCAAUACAAAAAAUACAACUUUCUAACUUUUAAAAUUUCAAUCUAAUCAUUGUUUAAGAGUGAAUCAAAUUCAUAACUUCCUGUCGAAACAAUAUCUUUUUAUUACUACUUCGGUAAACCGUUCACUUGCGAAUUUACGACAUCAAGUUUUUAGCGCCGAUGUCGGGGAGUUAAGUAAUUUGAUUAACUUUUUAAUAAUGGUUAGACUGAAUUUAAAAAUAAAUGGAUUUUUGAGUGACUCUCUCAAACCAUUGCUCUUUAAUGGUCUUUGAGUUUAUUUUAUUUAGAUUUUAUGUGUUUUUAUUUACUUUCUAGAACUAUUUUACUACAAUAGCUUGUUAUUUAAUUUCUUGAACAAAUAUAUGAAAGAUUGAGUCUUGGAGCAAAAGAAAUGAGAUUUGGAGCUGAUUGAGGCCAAAAAUAUGAAUAUAUUGUGUAAAAAUGUUUCAAACAAGGCCAACAACCAGAGAGGAGCAAACGACCCGUGUCUCCAGCCACAGGCCUUGUGCGACUAACAGGUUUCCUUUUUGCUGCUUUUGCUUCCUGAUCCAGUUGCCUUUUUAGUGUAAUUCUGACCUAAAAGGUCAUGGUUUCUUUUGGAACAUUGUAUUGAUGUAUUUCUUGGGGCUUAAUUUAGGGUUAAUAGUGUUUUUCACCUUGUAAUAUAUACCCUUUAGGGUUAAUAGUGCAAAUCAAACAGAAAAUUUUAUAGGGGCGAAAACCGGAAAUGGCAUAUAUUAUAAGGGUGAAAAACACUAUUAACCCUUUAAUUUAAGGAACAAAUAUAUGAAAGAUUUAGUCUUCGAGUAAAAGAAAGAAGAUUUGGAGCUGAUUGAGGCAAAAAAUAUGAAGAUCUUGUGCAAAAAUAUCAAACACAGCCCGUGCCUGCAAUCCAACAACCAGAGAGGAGCAAACAGCCCAUGCUUCUAGCCACAUGGCCGUGUGCGACUGACAGCUUUCCUUUUGUUGCUUUUGCUUCCUGAUCUAGCUACCUUUUUAGUAUAAUUCAAACCUAAAAGUCCAUGUUUUCUUGGGGCUUAAGUUAGUUUUAGGCUAUAAAUAGAGCAACUAGAAAACAUAUAUUCUCAUCUUUUGUUCUUGGAAAUAAUAAGUGACAAUUGUUUCUUUGAAUAAAAGUUCAUCUUUAUUUUCUUGUUAUUUACUUUUAUGUUCUUCGUCUUCUUCUUCUCUAUGUCUACGAUGAACAUGAGUGAGUAGACUUCUUUGUCUUGGGAUUGUUGGAUUAGUCAAAUGACGUAAUUGUAACACACUAUUUUCCCAACAUAAAAAUUUCAUAAAAAUAAUCAGAGUUUUCCACAUAAACGGAAUGUCACACUUCUAUCUUAAAAUUAUAAAUGGAAUAAUUAACUAAUUAUCCUUCAAAAUUCAAUAAAAUAAUACUCAAAACUUCGCAGCGGAAUUUAUUUCAACAUCUAAAAUAGUCUUUGGCACGAAGGUCUCAUCAUAAACAUCUCAUAAAAAUUCAAUCAACAACUUAAUCAUGUAAAUUCAUAAGCAAUACGUAAGGAAUAGAAAAGCAUGCAAUAAAGUCCCACCCUGUUACGUAUCAGUGCACCUAAAGACACACGUGAGAAGGAAACCACUCACGACAGCAACUACAACAACUUAUUCUUGAUCACCUGCAAGUUACUCAUACGAAGAGCAACAUUUCCAAGCAGAAGGGGUGAGAUUUCACAAACAAUAAUAUUAAACAUAUAAUUAAUCAAUUAUAUUUAACAAUAUAACGACAUCAUAAUUUCAUCAUAGAUAAUAAUAUAAUCAUAUAACACUUCAUUAACAGCUCAUGUAUAGAACACAACUUGACGACUUAACAACGUGACUCGACAAUGCAACCUCGACUUGACUAUGCAACUUAACUUCUUAAUCAUGCAUGUCGUACCAAUCCAGGGCAUCAAGCCCUCAACGUAUUUAAGUAUUAAUAUACUUCCAGGGCAUCAAGCCCUCAACUUAAUUGAGCAAAGGCUCCAGAGCAUCAAGCCACCAACGUGUUGAGCAAAGGCUCCAGGGCAUCAAGCCCCAAACAUGAAUGAGUAUGCAUGGACUCAACAACUUACAUCUUAAAAACAUCGACCUCUUAUAUAAAUCCAAUAAUUUGGAACAACAUCUUUCAUCUUAGACCGACUUAUGCAGUUUAAUUAAUAAACAGCAGCAACAUAUGAAGCACAAUAACAUAUCCAGAUAUAAUAAUAUCAAGUGAUAAUCAACAACAACUUAAACAUCUUAAAUAAUUCACAUAAUUCAUACACAAAUAUAUUACAUUACUAUCAACAUUAAAUCAUGUUAUAACAGAUUCACAGAACAUCAGCAAUAUUAUAUUCAACCUCCAUUCCUACCCCAAGGAUCAACUCAUAACAUCUCGUGCGACAAAGAUCGCAAAACCCUAAACAAGGUAUUCUGUCUUACAGGAGCUCGCAAGGCGAGGGACAUUACUCGCUAUGGCGAGUUCAGGAAAAUGGUUGUUCGCCUUGGCGAACAAGCUACUCGCCUUGGCGAACAAGAAAUUGGGUGCUCUCGGGAACUUGACAUUUUUCACCCAAAAAUCCCAUUUUUAACUUUCCCAUGUUCAAUCUCAAUCUAAAAACUUGCCUAAUCAUUCUUAUGCAUGUUCAGGCACUCAAAAUCAUCUAAAGUUUGACUAAAGGAGUUAAUUCUCAAAAUCAGGUUGACACACUGAUCAACUUGCUAUGGCGAGUAAUCUGCUCGCUAUGGCGAGCUGCAAAGUGCAACUCGCGAGGCGAAUGGAAUUGCUCGCGUGGGGAGCGAUGAAGUUCAUCACUUGGGAGGCGAGGAUCAUCCCUCGCGAGGGCGAGCGAUGAAUCUCAGCUCGGGCAGAAUGCAGAUUUUUACGAAAAUCCACCUAAUCACAUGGUUUUAAACAUCACCCUAUGGAUUAUUUAAGGUCUGUAUACAUUUUCUACAUCAAUUCAACAAAUCUACAUCAUCUAUCCAUCAAUUAUGACUCUUAACCCUAAUUUUCCAAUUCUUAAAACUAACCUGCACAUGUUAAAUCUAACCAUCAGAUUAUCAGCUUAAGAGAAUUGAAUGUUAGUCUCACCCUUACCUUAACAAAUCGAAAUUGGUAGCCUCUUGGUUCUCUUCUCUUCGCUUGACUUUUCUCCCUUUUCUCCAAUACUGAACGUACGUGAAAACUAUUCUGACUUAGGUUUUCUCCUAUUUAUCUCUUCCCAUCUAUUUUAUCUUAUUUCAUCUUUUUUCCACAAAACUCUAUAAAUUCACAAAACAACACCUCAUCUCAAUAUUUUUUUAUUUUCAAAUCUUAUUCUAUUAAAUAAUAAAAUAAGAUCUCUCCAAUAAAAUAUCACACAUCACAUAAUCAUAUAUAAAUCAUAUAAAUCAUCUCAAUAGAUUCUAAACUCAACAAAAUAAUUAAAUAAACAAAGAGGGCGUUACAGUAAUCCCUAUCAAACCAAGCCUCGAACCCUAAUCUUAUGUAAAUCAAUUUUCUAAUCUAAUUCACCGUUUUUCUAAUGAAAUAGCAAGUAUUAAUCGAAGCACCGAAAGGUGAGGUUUAAUAGUUGUUAUUUCAUCAUCACAAAUGUCAAGGGAAGGAUCGAAAGAUGAAGUUGAUAUUGGAACAAUUGAAAUUAGACAACGAUUGCGAAACAUGAGAAUAGUCUAGCAAACCUUGAGACAAUAAAGUUUCUUACUUAAAGGGUUUCAAUAACAAUCAACCAUGAGAAUAAGCGUGGUUGCUAACAAAAUACAUUCACUGAGACCGAGAGAAGAUGUGAAAAGCCAAAGAGAAACUUGUCUUUAGAAAAUAGAUCCAACAUAAGAUUUAGGUUUAGAGUUUGGUUUGUGAUGGAUUUGUCAUCAAGAUGAACCAAUAAUCCCAAGAUGUUUUUAUUAUUUUUCUUUCAAAACAAAAAAUACAACUUUUUAACUGUUAAACUUUCAAUCUAAUCAUUGUUUAUGAGUGAAUCAAAUUCAUUACUCUCUGCCGAAACAAUAUCCUUUUAUUACUACUUCGGUAAACCGUGCAUUUGUGAAUUUACGACAUCAGUGUCUUAUUACGAUUUUCAUUUCGUUUCUAUUGGAAGAUCAACUUCAUUCAGUUACAAAUUCAAUCAAUGAUUUUGGCGCCGACGUUGCAGAUUCUGAAGCAUGAGUAUUUCGAUGAGUUAGAAUUUAUCAUAUUAUUUGUAGGCAUUUUGUCGUUGUAUGCUAUUAACUUGGGUAUUGUGAGUUUGUUCGCAAAUUCAUCAUUUAUGUUUUUAGCGAUGUUGUUAUUGUAUCUGAUGUCAAAAAAAAAUGAACAUUUUACUCCUUCCCUUUCAAAAUGAAUGUCGUUUAAGGUUUUUCCACAUAUAUUAAGAAAUGCAUUAAUUUAAAGAAAGAGAGAUGUUAUUUUACCAAAUUAUACUAAUCAACUAUUGAUUUGUUUUUCAUUAAAGAAUAAAUAAUACAUUGGAAGUAGUGUAUUUAGUACUCCCUCCGUUUCAAAAUACAUGUCAAAGUCAACCACUUCACAUAUGCCAAUGCACAAUUUUUACCGUUAAUAUCUUUAAUUAUUUAAUGUAAAAAAUUAUAAAAAUUUAAUAUUUUGAAAAUAUUUGUCGAGACAAAUCAAACAACGUCUUACAUGCUAAUAUUUGUAUUUAUACAUUAGUUAAAAAGUAUGGUCAAAGUAAGUCAAAUGAAUAGUGCACAUUGCAAAAAUUGUACAUGUAUUUUGAAACAUAGGGAGUAUUAAUUGAAAGAUAGAGUAGAAAAAAAAAAUUAUUAUUGCAUUAAAAACUGAAAAUGACAUUUAUUUAAUUUUUUUGAGCUAAAUAGAAACUCAUUUUAAAACGGAGUGUUUAUAUGCUAAAGCGUUGUAUUAAACUACGGUGUUUAGUGUUUGUCAAUUUCACUGCGGAGAUUUUAUUUUUAAAAAAAUGAGACACACUUGUAUCCUCUCAAUGGCACUCACAUAGAGAAAUCUAUCACAACAACGUAUACUAGCUAAUAGCAAGCUGCCAAGUUUAGAUAUAUGCAACAAAUUCACCAAUAUUGGAACUUGAAAGGAUAAUCUACGGGACCUCGUAUCUGUUCAUUCUUGAACUUGAUGGCCGUCGUGCUUCUGCUCUAUUUAACACUUCCAUAUAACAGAAAACUCAUUAGAAUAGUAAUCCCGAUGAGAGAUACGAUAAGUUCAUUGUAUCAUAUUUCUUGUCUCAAUUUAGCGUUUUAUAAAAGAAUAAAGGAUUAAAUAUAUUUUUGCUCUCUAUAUUUUGCGCGAUUUUGAGAAUAGUUCCUAUAUUUCAAUAAAUAUUUUUAAAAUUCCUAUAUUUUUUCUCCGUUAAUGCAAUUGGUCUCUGCCGUCUCUUAUUGCCUAAUAAGAAAGUAGAAUGUUGAUGUGGAAAGAUUUUUAUUUUAUUUAUAUUCUUUGGAAAAAUUAAAACCGGGUUUGAGGCAAAUAAUUUGAUUUGACCCGUGUUCAUCUUUUUUUUUCCUUCUCCAGCAUGGCCAUUGUUGCUGCAAGUUCCAUUCCAGUCGAUAACCAAUCAUCCCUUCAGCUUUUGCGUUCAUUUCAUUCAAAUCCAUAACCAAACAAUGAUGAAAUUAACUCUUUUGAAUUUUUUUCCCUAAAAUGGAAGAAAAGAUUAAUUGUUUUUUGUUUGGUUUGUUUUCAAUUUGCGAAAAUUUAUCGUGAUAGAUCUAUAGUAAAUAGCAACAUUGUUGGGUUAAUUGAAGAGGGUGGAGAAGUAGAUGAUUGUUUGUGGUGAUUGGUUGUGGAGUUCAUCAAACCUAUCGCAAAACACAUUAAACGAAAGAUUCAAUUACCACAUACCCAUUAGGAACAACACGAACUUUAAGUCCACACAUGCAAGCCAUCCUAACAAGGUCACGAUAUCCUCGCCAAUCAUAAACCCUAGGCUGAUUCCUUUCAACCACACCCCAUCAAAUCUCCACCAACAACUUUUACACCCACAACAGCAAGCGCUUUCAACGACAACAUCAUCGCUUUUGGACUCCAAAUCCUCCCCUCUAAACCAACAAAUUUCACUGGAAGCGUGACGAACACCGGCGAUCUGUGUCUAUGACGCUGCAGAGAAAGAUCAUGGUGAAGCUCAUAGGGAAGUUCUCUGCCGUUUUCCGGUGAGAUUGAACCGACGACAUCAGAGGAUUUAGAAGAGUUGAGACGAGAAGAAACUCUAAUUCCGAUUUCGGCUUUGAAGUAGUGAGUGAAGGUGAGAAGGACUGUGAUGAGAUCGCCAUUAAAUGUGAGAGAAGAGAGAGGUCUAUCGAGAGAGAGAAGAGAAAAAAGAGAGAUGAACGAGAGAAUGGCGGUGAUGUGAAAUUAUUAAAAUUCCCCUGCCAUCUGCCACAUCAGCAUCCCGUUAGAAAUUUGACAGCAGGGACUAUUUACGCUAACAGAGGAAAAAUGUAGGGAUUUUAAAAACAUUUAUUAAAAUGUAGGAACUAUUCUCAAAAUUGUGAAAAUUGCAGGGACCAAUAACAUAUUUAACCCAAGAAUAAAAUAUGAUAAAUUAUUGCUCAAACUAAUUACAUCAUGCCUAUUUCUGUGAAAAAAAUUAUUGCAUCAUAUCUCCUUAAUUAAAAUUUGUAUCAUCAAUCUAAGAUAUAUUUGAAACCUUGAGAAAACAGGUAAAGAUUCUCUCCAUUUAUAAAAAUAAAUAGAAGAUACAAUUCGGAAAAAGAUAGACACAAAAAAUAGAUGGUGGGUCCCAUCAUUAAUUUUUUUUCUUCUGUGUCUUUAUCUCUCCAAAUGGCACAAAUGGAGAGGAUCCUAACCCUAAGGAAACUAGUAGUUGAUAAGACAUUAAAAUAUGAUAAAUCAUUUUCGAAACUUAUUACAUUGUGGUGUUUGCCUGUGAUUUUAGCAAACAGGGAUUAGUUAUGAUUAUUACAAGCGAUAUCGAACUAGAAAUCUCAAGACCGUUGUGCAAAGGUUUUCUAUAGGAAAAUGUUUUGAAAAAAGGCCACGAGAUGCACUCAGGUUGCCUAGAGAGCAUGACAGGUUUGAAUAAAAAGGCAUUGUCUCUCGACGGGUUUGAAUUUGCAAGUAAAAUCUUAAAAUAAAGCAAGAUAAAAGUAAGUUUACGCAUGUAAACUCAAGGAAAAAGUAAAAUGCAUAGCAUUAAAAUAAAAGGGGUGGUCUACAAAUCAGUUUACAUGCAUUCUAUAUAACUCGUCUCUCUAGACCCCAGUAGUUUCAGUGUUUUAGAAUUGUGUAUAUGAUUUGCGACCCACUUUCUGGCUAGGGAACUACUAUUUCUACUAAAAAACUAGAUGGCGAACCACUAAGCUCAUGAUCAACACUUCCUCAAUCUUGGACAGCUAGUUUUGUAUCUCUGUCAAUAUUGUUUUGAGUUGGUUGGUUUUUCCUUAGUACACCUUGUACUAGGAGUAGGAAGACCUCUUUGAUUUGGUAAUAUAUUCCAUUUUAUCCUCUUCAUAAAAAAAGUACACUUGUUACUUUAUUCAUUUAUACUUUUUAAUAUGUGUAAAUAAGCCAUCUCAUAUAUCUAUACUAUAUAUAAAGAAAAUACAUAAGUUAUAUUGUUGGUCUCAUUAAAAACAACAAGAGUUUAUAUUAUAUUUGCAAUAGUACUGCGUAACUGAAAAAGAUGAGCAUGAAUGAUUUGUGUUACAAUAAGUCAUAAAUAUCAAUUCAUAUAAUUUUAAUGAAUCCUGAUAAGCAUAAAAAAUUAUUUAUAAUUUACAUAGGUUAGUACAAUAAAAUAAACAAAUAGACAGACACUCGUCAACCGCUAGUUUAAAUAAUACUUUCUCCUCUUAAAGUCUUUCCAACAUCUUAAUGCCCCUAGUUAAAUCACAAUAUUUAUUACCAAACUCAGCAAUACUUUUGUUAUACCGACAUCCAAGUCGUGCUAUUUUUCUUUUUAAUUUGAGUGGGGUAGCCAUGUUUACUUCUAGUUUGGCUCUUAGUCCUUUCUUCUUCACUGGCCAAUCUUUUUCUAGCCCUUGUUUUGGUCUUAUUAUUACUUAUUUUCGUCGUUGACUUCACCUAUCUUAACCAUUGACUUGCUUUCAUCUUUCUAUCUUUCACUCCUAACCCAACCCAAAAUAUAAAAUUUUGAGUAUGAAUGUCUAAUUUGUGUUGGAUGGUAUUAAAAUACUCAUUAAUAUUAUGAAUAAUUCAAAAUAGUGUCCACUACUGUAAAAUCAUAAUCAGUUUAAUCAGUAGAAUAAAAUGUAAAUUUAAAGUAACUAAAAAUAAAAAAAAUGAUGAACAUAUGUGAACAAACUCACAAUAUCCAUGUUUAUAGCAUAAAUCGAAUGGAUACAUGUCUAUAAAUAUGAUUACAUUAAAGUUUUAAAAAUACUCAUAUCUCUAAAUCUGCAAUGUUGACAACUCAAAAGUCAUUUGGGUUCUAAUAUAAGGAAUUACUAGAUACAUUCCAAAUUUCCAACAAUAGAAUAUGGAAUGACCUGCUAUUGAUAUUUGAAUUGCUUAUAGCCACAUUUCAAUACAUUCACACAAUCAGCACAUGUUUGAUUGAAAUUGAGAAAACAACAAAUGUUGAUUAGACUUUUUUAACUAUUCAAUAUGAAUCUUGCAAUUUGAAACGUAAAUCUUGGAUCAAACAACCACCACAAAUGUACUGUCUUAAUUAAUGUGUGGAUUGUCAAAGAUUUGUCCAAUAUAUAUCAAUUUUCUCCAUAAACUUAUCAAUUAACUAUUCUUUAUUGACCAAAAAAAAAAGAAACUAUUCUUUAUUGACUAACCAUACACCUCAUCAUUGACUUGCUUACACCAAUCCACUCUCCCUAUAAACACACUCAAAAGCACAUCAAUGGUAGUAAUGAGUACUCUCAAAAACUCAAUACAUCCAUGGCUAAUUUGGCUAAUUUCCAUAAAAUUCAUUACCUCUUCACCCUUAUUAUUUUCCUCACUUUUUUCACAUCUACUAAUUCAUGGGAUGACCCUUUUUUCCUAUACCAAUAUUGCUCAAGCAACCGAACAUCAGCCUAUACUUCAUUCCAAUUUGAUCUCACCACCCUCCUCUCUUCCUUAUCAUCCAAAGCCACAAAAAACACAAACACACAAUUCUACAACACAACAUUCAUUGGAAACAAUCCUUCAGACACAAUCUAUGGCAUGUUCUUAUGUAGGGAUGAUGUUCCCUCUCAACUUUGUCAACAAUGUAUACUAAAUGCAACACAAAGACUUUCCUUGCAAUGUUCUUUGUCUAAAGAAGGUAUUGUUUGGUACAAUGAAUGUAUGGUUUGGUAUUCGACAACCUUUAUUUUCUCCACGGUUGCAAGGACAACACCUACUUUUAACUUGUUGAAUACUGACAAAGUCGCAAACCCGAAAAGUUUCAUGAGUUUAUUGUUUUCUACAAUGAACAAAACUGCAGAUGAAGCAGCUUUUGGUGACAAAAAAUUUGCAUCAAAUGCAAUAACUAUAUCGAAAUUUCAAACCCUUUAUUGUUUAGUUCAAUGCACACCAAAUUUGUCACCACAUGAAUGUAGAAGUUGUCUAAGUGGAUUGAUAGAGGAACUUCCAGUGUGUUGUGAAGGAAGAGUUGGAGGAAGAGUUCUAAAUCCAAGUUGUAAUAUUAGGUAUGAAUUCUACCCUUUUUAUAUCUCUUCUAAUGGUUCAUCAAAUCCUUCAUCACAACAAAUUAUACUUCCCCAAACAAAAAAUUUAGAUGCUGAUUCAACUAUUUCAGAACACCCUUUUUACCUUUCACACAAUUGUUCUAGUAACAAAACCUUCACUUUUAGUAACACUUUCAAGAAACACCUUACAACCCUUUUUUCCUACAUGUCUUCUAAUGCCACUAAAAGUCUAUUUCAUAAAGCUGAAGUUGAAAAUACAACUUUUGGACUCUUCAUGUGCCGUGGCGAUGUUCCCUUUUCGUUAUGUGAGCAGUGUGUGAAAAAUGCAACACAAAGAAUAAGCAAAGAGUGUAACAUUUUUCAAGAGGGUAUAAUUUGGUAUACUCAAUGCAUGAUUCGGUAUUCGAAUUGGAAUUUCUUCUCUAUAGUGGACAAAACUCAUGUCUAUUAUGAGAUGAAUAUUACUAGUGAUUCUAGUCCCAACAAGGAGAGAAACUUGUUCAAUUUUGUUAUAUCAACUACCUUAUCAAAUGUGGCAAUUGUGGCAGGAGAUAGUGAUGAAAGAUUUGGAACAAAAUCACUGAAAGUGAAUGAUUUGCAAACACUUUAUACACUUGGUCAAUGUACACAAGAUUUGUCAAGUGAUGAUUGCAAAGGUUGUUUGGGAGAUGUUAUUGGAAAUAGAAUUCCUUGGCCUUAUUUGGGAAGUGUUGGUGGAAGAGUUUUAUAUCCUAGUUGUAAUUUGAGGUUUGAAUUGUUCCAAUUUUAUAGGGACAAUGAGACAGUUCCUAAACCAAUAAUUAAACGUUAUUCAUCAGGUGAAGUCUUUAUAUUCCAUUAAUCUAUAUUUAUAGUACUCUAUAAUUCAAAAUACAUCCCUAUUAGUAUUCAAAAUGAUAUGUUUUACUAGUAUUAAAGCAUUUUGGAACAUAUAUAUGAACUAUAGCUACUCCAUUUGAAUGAGAUGUUUUGAUUGUUCUAUGCAGGAAAAAGAAGAAAAUUGCCGCAAACAAUUACCGUGAUUGUUGUGGUCACAUUUAUUCCAGUGAUACUCUUGUUUGUUGGAUGCUAUUUGCUAAAGAGAAGAGCAAGAAAGAGUUUUAGAACUAUUCUCAGAGAAAACUGUAAGUAUUGGAAACAGGAAAAAAAUAUAUCAAACCCUUACUUUCAAAUAUUAAAGUUUGAAAACUUGGUUUAACAAUUUAAUCUUUUUGAUCCAGUUGGUCAUGAAAGUGCAAUUUUAGAGCCAUUGCAAUUUGAAUUAGCUGUAAUUGAAGAAGCAACCAACAACUUUUCAAGUGAAAAUUUCAUUGGCAAAGGUGGAUUUGGAGAAGUUUACAAGGUUGGUAAACAUGGUAACAUUUAUAUUUUAGCUCUAAAUUUUCCCAUAAAUAAUGAACUAUAUUUUUAGGGCAUUCUUUCGGAUGGACGACAAAUAGCUGUAAAAAGACUCUCAAGAACCUCUACGCAAGGUGCAAAAGAGUUCAAGAAUGAGGUUUUGUUGAUCGCCAAGCUUCAACAUCGAAAUCUAGUCACGUUCAUUGGUUUUUGCCUCGAAGAACAAGAGAAAAUACUUAUUUAUGAAUAUGUGCCAAACAAGGGACUUGAUCAGUUUUUAUUUGGUUUGCAACUUAAGCACAUUAAUUUCCUUAUUAUUUAUCAUAUAUUUAUUAUCCCUUGAUUACAGAACAUGCUACAUUCUAACAUUUCUCACUUGAAUAUUUUUGUAGAUUUUCAACGAGCAAAGUUCUUAAGUUGGUCUCAACGUUACAGUAUUAUAAGGGGAAUUGCUCAAGGAAUUCUCUAUUUGCAUGAACAUUCUCGACUCAAAGUUAUUCAUCGUGACCUCAAACCUAGUAAUAUUUUAUUAGAUGAGAACAUGAUUCCAAAAAUAUCAGAUUUUGGUCUUGCUAGAAUUGUAGAACUAAACCAGGACAAAGGAAGUACAAAUAGGAUCGUGGGAACAUUGUAAGUUUUAAAUUAUCAUCAAUUUCCGCUGGAUUCCUUUCUUAAAAUCUAAGCUCGUGUUGAUUUGUUUCAAAAUUGUAUUGUUUUAGAGGUUAUAUGUCUCCAGAAUAUGCGAUGCUCGGGCAAUUUUCUGAGAAAUCUGAUGUUUAUAGUUUUGGAGUCAUGGUUUUAGAAAUUAUUACCGGAAAGAAGAAUAUUAGGUCUUAUGAAUCACAUGUUGGUGAUGGCCUCCUGAGUUAUGUAAGUAUAUAUAUGUAUCUAUAUCUAUAGCUAUAUCUAUCUAUAGCAACUUCUUUCCCUUCAUUAAUAUAAUGUACAUAAGUAAUAUAUAUUCAAUGUUUUUUAGAUUGAUUUAUACAAUUGUAACAGGUUUGGAAACAAUGGAGGGAUGAAAUACCAUUAAGCAUAUUAGACCCAAAUAUUAAAGGAAGAUAUUCUGAAAUUGAAGUAAUUAAAUGCAUUCAGAUUGGUUUAUUAUGCGUUCAGCAGUUCCCAGAUGCAAGACCUACCAUUGUUUCAAUUGUUUCAUAUCUUACCAAUGACUUCAUUGAAUUGCCAACCCCACAAGAAUCUGCAAUUGUGUUCCAUCGUCAAAUGGAUGCAAAAGAGAUUCCACAAGAUUCAAGUUCAAGUCGGUCGAUAAAUACUUCCACACCUUUGACGAUCAACGACUUUUCUAUAACCGAAGUUCUUCCUCGAUAGUAAUUAGAAGUUACGUUAGUUUCUAGGAUCAAGCUACAAUCUCCUGCUUUAAACUCUUGGAAUAUACUUAGGUCACCAACAGAACUAUCUUAGAUGUAUGUUAUUUCUUUUUUUUUAAAGGUUAUUUCCUUUUGUUGUUGUAAUCCAAGAAUGUUUUAAUUGUAUAAUAAAAUGUAUGAAUACAAGAGAAUAAUCGAACAACCCAAAAGGUCAGAUAUUGCCAAACCAAAGCAGAAACAACAUAACAUGAUCUAGAUAAAGAAAAGAAAACACUUCACACUUCAAAACACAAUAUCACCAUGAAUUGAUUCAGACUUCAAAAAGCUACAACCCAAAAUAAAGAUAGCACAUAACUCUGCGAGUAGGAGAUGUAAUGAAUUAGCGCAUUCUUUGACAAGAAAAUCCAUCAACUCUUAUGUUUCCAUGCAUCUAACAACCACCGAGUACAAUGGAUACUAUUGAGCAGAAUCACUAAUCUACCAAUGAGCCUAGCUCGACUAAAAGUAUCAACCUCGCAAGCAUAAUGAUAAAUGUGUGGUUCAAUCAAGUAAAAAUGGUUCAUUACAUAAAAAAAUGGGCGACAUUGCUCAACCAAAUCAGAAUGAGCAUGAGGUGACAAUAGUCCAACAAACAUAUGUUACAUGAUUAGGCUUUACCGUGAAGAACAAACGUAUGUGAAAUCAUUGUCUUCCAUGCUGAGACAUCCUUUUCCAGUAUGUCACUGAAGAUAUACACAUUUUCGUGGAUAUAUUCAAAAGUGUUGUUCCGAUUACAAAAUCUCAUUCUAUGCUGUUUUUUCUUAGAUAUCAAUCUCAUAUAGCACAAGCUGGGAGAACAGUAGCUAUCGUAUCUUAUCGGGUUUAAACAAACAGACACUUAAAAACGGCAUUUCAUUGAAAGUUUCCAAAUGAAUCACUUGCAUUUCUUCUAUUCAUCUUUCCAAGUGACUCCAUCUCUAAAAACCAUUUAAUCAUCAAAGGGUAAAUGAGGUUAUUGGGCACAAUGCCCUUAUAGAGCAUUUGAUUAUACAUCAUCAAAGGGAAAAUUACAUUAAUUCAAACAAAGUUUGUACAUGAUUCAAAUUCAAAUUAGAACUAAUAUAAAAUUUAAUAAACUAUAGAGGAAUAAAAGUACUUGCGGACAUUUGAUUGUUUGAGAAUAGUGCAGAGCUAUUGGCAGAUUGAGUAGAACUUGAUUCUUGUGCAAGAAUGUUUGAAUUCUUUCUACCAUGCAAGAAAAACGCAGGUUCUUUCGGAGUUGGUAAUUCAACUGCAUAACUGCUAAGGUAAGAAGAAACUGUCGAGAUUGAAGGUCUAGCAUCCGGGUCAUGUUGAACACAUAAUAGACCAAUCUGAAUGCACUUAAUGACUUCAUUUGUAGAAUAAUCUUCUU
rnacentral:lncRNA from 1 species